rnacentral:lncRNA from 1 species
UCAGCUGGCUGACCUAAUUUUUUGUUUCUAGGUAACAGGCUUUAUAUAUCUGUAAUUGAUAGCCAAGUGAAGUUCUCAGCUGUGGUGAGGAUAUUUCUUUACAGAAGGUAUUGCAAACUGUUUUUUAGAUUAAUUAUUAUUGUAUAUAUACUUUAAUUUUCACAUCUUUUUCUCUGAUUCUUGUGGCUUUGCUUGCUUCCAUAUAUAUAAAACCAUAAAAUUGUAUAAUAAUUUUUUUUAUUAUAUUGCGAAACUGCGCACACAUGAAAAUAUCUUGUUUAGUAGUAGAAAUGAAGAAUUAAAGUGAUUUAUUUAACUAAUUUUUCUAGUGCAAUAAAAGGAGAUAGUCAUGGACCAGAGUUGGGUUGGUUUGCCAAAUAGAUAUCCAAUUCAUAUACUGAUGGGGGUCAAAAAAUUUAUAGAUUUUGCAUUUGAGAAUGUUGUUGGUGAUAAAAGAAUUUAUUGUCCUUCUAAGAGGUGUUGUAAUAUCGAUAUUUCAUUAUAAGGAAAGUGGCAAGAGACCAUAUCAUUAUAAAUGGCUAUUGGUUAAAGUAUUAAAACUGGAUAUUGGAGGGUGAGCCAUCUUCAUCUUUGAAAUCUAACUAAGAAACAGGUUAGUCAUGACUCGGGUAGUGAUGCUAGUAUGGUUGGAAUGGUGCAUAAUGCAUCACGUAAUCAAAUGUUCAAGUCACACGCAGCAUUGUUAUGGACUAUCUCCGACUUUCUAGCAUAUGCCAACUUGUUUGGGUGGAGUAUUAAAGGUAAAUAAGCAUUUCUUGUUUGCCAACAAAACACUAGAUCUAAUUGGUUGAUACAUAGUAGAAAAUUGUCACGUGGGUCACCGUCGAUUUUUACCAACAAAUCAUAGGUUCCGAAAAUAUAGUGCCAUCUGAUAAAACUAGAGAGUGGGGACAAGCACCUUCUCGGUUGUCUGGAGCUGAGGUGAAAAAGCAGUUCAGUAAUGUACUUACUGAGUAUAAGAUUGAAGACUUGAAAAGAGGAGAAUGAAUAAAAUAAAAGAAAUGAUAAGAUUACUUGGAAGAAGAAAAGCAUUUUUUAUGAACUAACGUAUUGGGAGUUCAAUUUGAUUCAUCAUAAUCUUGAUGUCAUGCACCGUUUUGAUUUUUGUUAUGAACUCAGAUCAAAAGUUUAAUGUGAUCAAAAUUUCUUAAAAAUAGUGAAAACGACUCCUCCUAAUAAUAUGGAAGAUGGCUAUAAAAGAUAAUUUCUUAAAAGUUUAAUGUGAUCAAAAUUGCUUGUGAACGCAAGGGUUUUAGUCACACUGUCAACGCUGUCAAUGUAGUGAUACAAUGAAGAUGAAGUAAAGCAUUAGUAGAAUAAUGAAGUUGACCAGUAACACAGUAAAGCAAAUUUUAUUCCAGAGCAUGAAAACUUUUAAACAGUAACACAGCUCUUAUUCCAUAGGCUGCACACGAGUGACCUGAAUCUUCUUCAGAACUUUCAAAUUUUAUCAAGCAAAGCUUUCAAAAUCCUUGCCUUCCUAAGUUAGGAAAGAUAGAUGUGGAGCAACCCAAAUGAAAUAAAUGGGUAAACAGAACAAGCAGGGCAAAAAUUAAAAAUGAUGGCAAUUAACAAAUUAAUAGCAAUGUUACAUUUGACUCUUUAGCCAUUUGUUCCUUCUCUUAGCAUUCUUCAAAGGUUUUGAAAAUUGGAUGUGAAGCAAACAAAAUAAAAUAAAUUUAGACAACACAUACCCUGUAUUCAGCAUCAUAUAUAUGUCGAAUAUCUAAUAUAAUAAAUUUCACAUCCAAAAUACUAGAAUUUCAAACAGUACUAGUAGUAAAAAAAUGACGACAACAACAAAAAUAGAAAAUUACAAGACUGCUGAUAAAAUUUCAUUUGCGUGCAUGUCUGACAAAAUUUCCGUGGUUUAAUGUGCGUUCAUGCAGGCAAGUCCUAACGUUUCUGUGAUCACAAAAUGAAACUGAAGAUAAACCUUUCAAGCUUGACGAAGCCAUGAGAAUUCAUAGCUCAGGCUCUGAUACCAAGUUAAAGUUUCUAAUCUGUUUGAUAAGUAAGAAAAUGAGAGAAAAUGAAAGAAAGAACAGAGAUCAUCUAAGAGCUGGAUUUGAUGAAUAAAUCUGAAUCAUCCAUUCUUUAGCUGAUUACAAAUGUAUUUAUACAAGGUUUCUAAGCACCUGAGAGUUGAAUAACUUAUGCCAGCUCAGCUAACACGUCAGUAACUCUACCUAUCUUGCUUAACAAACUGAAACAAUAACUAACCAUUUUAACUAUCUUAACAAUCCCAAUAAUUUCUCCGUUUGUGUGUUUUUUUGAUUCAUAAUCAAAUGGGUAAAUGUUGCAACUAUUUUUUUUANNNNNNNNNNNNNNNNNNNNNNNNNNNNNNNNNNNNNNNNNNNNNNNNNNNNNNNNNNNNNNNNNNNNNNNNNNNNNNNNNNNNNNNNNNNNNNNNNNNNNNNNNNNNNNNNNACUAACUUGAAUUUAUAUGCUUUUAGGAUUAUUUGAUAAUCAAAUGGGUAAAUGACAGGAAGAACUUUGAGUUUAAAAAUCUGGGCCUGAUGCCUGGUAGCCCUCCAACCUAUGAAGCACUAGAUGUUUUAAUGAGAAAACGACAAGACCAUUUAUCAAAUUUCUUGUGGAUAUAAAUACAUACACAUAGACGAGACCAACCUCCUCAAAUGAGAAUCAGAGUGAUUACAAGACCUUGCAAUGAGACAAUAAUACACCAUCAAAUCUCAAAAUACAAUAGAAAUUCAUGACAUAUAUAUAAUAAAAGACCACUCAUUGAGUCAUAUAUAUUGAGAAUAAAAUUUUUUUAAUACAUACAAAGAGCUUAGCUAGAAUGAAAUGUCUUUGGACUUGCGAUGAUCAAACAAAGGAAACAGACAGGUUGCAACUCACACUAUCACAGAUGUAGCGACACGAUGCAGUGAAUCACAAGAAGAUCACGAAGAUGGAAACGGGAACCCCUCAUAAUGUAAACUUUGAAUAGAGGAAAAAAGAAAAACGACCUUAUUCACAGAAGAAGAGUGACUUAAAUCUUCAUCAGUAUCCAGACAUUCUGCAAUCAUAGAGUAGAGAAAUUUUAACAGGAACAACAGAGAAAAUAUUAUGAAUAUGCUACACCAAAUUAUCCCUUUUUUGGUUUGUGAAAACUUGAUUUUUUAUGAAAUAUUUUCAAUCAAUAUUUCCACAAUAUACUUGUUCAUAGCUAACAUUUGAUGGUUUAAGGAUUUGUUAUAGGAACAAUGCACUGAUUACGUUUUUUUUUUAAUUUUUUUAAUCCGAUUAAUGAUAUUCAGCUGUUCUUUAAUUAUGUGUUCAUAGGGAAGAACAUUUUCUAAGUACUUUCCUUGCCUUCUAACUUUCCAAGGAAAGAUAGGUGUGAAGAAAAGCAAACCCAAUGAACAAACAGAGCACAAACUAAAAUAAAAGAACAGCAAUGAUGAGAAUAAAUAAUUGGCAAAGAAAGAAUGGAAAAAGUAUGCACGUUUUCAAGGAAUUAUAAAAUACGAAGGCUUUUAAUGAAAUUUUAUCAUAAAACUUAUGCAAGGAGUUCUAAAAUUUUAGAAGACGAGGGGAGCUCGCAAAAAAAAAGAAAAAGACUCAAAUUAAACUAGACUAAAAAGACAUUCAAUUAUGCAAAAUCUGUCCAUAAAAGUCUGAAAGGAUCAUUAAAAUUGCACUGCAAAUUUAACAGUAAACCGAGGGACCCAUUCUAAAUAAUUCAGAUGAAAUUGCGAAACAAGCUAUGGGAUUAAAUAAAUGAAAUAAAAUUAAUUACCAGUUGAGACUUUCUUCUAAAAAUCGCAACUCCAAGUCAUAAGAAGCUAUGAAAUUAGUCGUACUGCAUAGAGUAUAUCGACGGCACCGCCAACAGCUGAAAAUAAAAUUCUUAUUCAUCAAUUUAAACUAACUUUAUAACAAAUAUCUUAUCGAUAUUUUAUUUAAAAAGAAAAAGAAAAUUUUGUAAAAAUUUAUCAUGGGAGAUAGAGAGUAAUAUGUACAUACGUACCUUCUCAGCAUGUAAUUGUUGUAUGGUCGUGUUAAGAUCAUUACCAGCCCAACGCCGUUGAUUCGAUGUCUCUCCAUACCAGACGUUUACUCUUGGAGGCGUGAUUGAUUCUCCUGUAGUGAAAAAAUUCAUCUUGGGACAACCAAUCACACACAACUCUUGCAAAGAUGGGAAUUCAAAGGUGUAAUUGGCAGAGCAGAAACUUGUGAGGCUGUCUAAAUCACGCAGUUCCAACCUCUUCAAUUUGCGGAAAACAAUCUCUUCUUUUUCAACCCCGUCUUUGUCAUUUUUUACCACCUCUGUCAUUGCUCUGCAUCCAUAUAUACUCACUGUGACGAGUCGCACCAGAGUUUUUGCUGUGGAGAAUGUUACCAUGUGUAACAAUUUCUUGCAACCGAAAGCCACCAGAGCUGUUAGGUUCUGAAAAGAUACCGAUGAUGAUGGCAAUAGAAUUAACAGACUUUGACAAUGAUAUACUUCUAGACUUUCAAGAUACUGAAAAAUGGGGCCAAGUUUGGAGUCUUGUUUGCACAGCUGCUUCAGAUGAUAGUGCCAGUACAGCUCUAAUUCUUUUAUCAUUGCCAACUUCCCCACAUGUUUCUCUAAGCAUCCUUCCAUCGAAAAUACCUCUUCGUGGGAUGGAAAAAAAAGCAGUGAGAGCAUUUCGAGAUUGUGAAAUCUCUCAAGUACGUUCCAGAUUGGAAAACAAGCUGAGUCAUCUCCAGCAAUCUGUAGAUGUCUAAGACUGCCAAAAAGGUGUUGUGGGAAAUCGGCCUGCAAAAUCAUCUUCACAUCUUUUCCACUUAGUGAUAGUUCCUUCAAGUUGGGUACGAUCUGAUCAUCAUUAAUCAUAAUAACUAAUGAGGUCAAUUGAUGAUCUACGGUCACACGCAGUGACUUUAUAGCAUUUGUUUUAUAUUAUAUUUUAAAAAAAUUGAAUUAUUGAUAAAAUUUAUUUUAUAUGUUAAUUUUAGAGGUAAAAAAGAAAUUAGAGAAAAAGGUUGAUUUAUACUGGCUCAAAAUUAUUUUAUUGCACAAUAAUAAAUUACUAAUUUAUUUUGUAAGUUCUUCUAAAUGGAAAGACUGAGGAUUCUUUUAUAAAUACUAUGCCUAAAAAAGUUCAUAUAAUUAUGAAUCUACCAUAUUGAUCCCUUAGUCUAGACUAGCAAAGAUUAUUGUAUAAUAAAAGUUUUCAAUUUAUUGAGCAUUAAUUUAUCGAUGCUUUGUCAUAUUUUUCAAAGUUAAAAAUAAGCUAUUGAUAAAAAAUCUAGAAAAUGGCUUCAUACCUUUCCCAACGGCAAUGGGAGCUGUUGUGCAGGAAUACCAAGUUGAUCAUUCUCAUUAUUCUGCGAUAAAUCUGCAGCGAAUAUCUUUAAUUUGUCACAACGAUACACUACAAGAAUUUCUAGCGCGGGCCAUUCCGAAGUAUGCUUUCCAGGGUACAAACAUCUAAGUUUUGGUAGAACUUGGAGUAUCAGAGUGGUGAGCUGUGGAAAGACAAAAUAAGGGAUCACUUGAUCUGCUCUGUUUUCAGAAAUGAUCUCCUGUAAAUUCUCACAGAACCAUACUUCUAGGCGUUGGAGCUGCUUAAGGCUUCUGAUCAUAGACGCUGAAAAUAUGUAUUUUAAUUUGUGACAAUGCCACACAAUCAAUCGUGUUAAAUUUUGAAAGCGAGGAAACGUGACCGGAAGAUGAUUGUAGUGCCAAAUCUGGUCGACAUUAAUUUCAGAUAUCUCCAAAACCUCCAAGUUAGGCAACGCAACCUAAAAAAAUAAGAAUUUCUCGUUAGAUCCAAUAUCCAUAUGGGAAGCACUUGUUGAAAUUUUCUUCUUUGAUUACAAAUUAAUGCAAGUCAGAAUCAAUUUCCAACUGACAGCUGAGUAUGCAUUCUAAUUGAUACUACUUGUUAAGAGCUCAAUUAGUGAGCGCGUGAGAUUCUUUUUAUCCUUUUUUCCAUUUUCUUUCCAUUCUUUAAAUGAUUUAAUUAUUUUCCACGUAUGACAUCAAAAGAGAACGCAUUAUAGAAUAAAGAAAAUGUUAGCCUACGCACCUUCUCGUUGAAAAGUAGAGUUGAAAUAUCCAAAGUGAUUUCGCUGGAGCAAUACAUAGCCGUCGAUUCCUCUUGCGACACUUGUCUGUUCGGUGAUGCUGAAGGAGUCUCCACCUCACAGCAAAAACUUGUAACCUCUGGAAGAUUCCCCAGACUCAAAGAUCUUAAUUGAGCAAACUCUAUCUUCUCAAUUGCAUUAUCAACUUCUUCCCCAAUUGAAAAAAUUUCUUUCAUCUUGCUGCAAUUAAUAACUGCAAUUCUCUCAAGUCUUGGAAGGCAUUUUGUAGUAGAGAACCAAAAGAUAUUGCUCAACUUAUCACAAUUAUAUGCUUCUAUGUUUUUGAGUUGGUUGAAAGACUCUACUUUGAGCCGAUCAAUACAUAACCUCUCCAUGUUGAUCAAAUUGUGAAGGAUAAGUGACUGCAAAAGAGGAAAGGCAUCACAACCGACCAUCUCCCUUGAAUCGACGAUACAAAAGAUGUCAGGAUUAUUUUGAACCCAGAGAAGCUUCAAUUGUGAAAAGCCCUCCGUGUCCAAAUUGAAAAGAACAUUCUCGAUGCCUUGCAGCUUGUCCAACCAUAAGCAUUCAACGUUAUUGAUGCCCUGCAAUUUCGUGGAGCAAAUGUCCAUAAAAUCAAGCUUGAGCUUCAAUUCUCUUAAACUCUCACGAUUACUGUUGAUCAAAAAGUGCGGCCGGCUUUGAAACCAUUCUCUUGUAAUACUCUUGGGAGGCAUGAAUGACUCAUUUCCAAUGGAUAUUUUGAACCUUUCGAGCUUUCUGGCCAAAAAACCUUCUGGUAAAAUACUGUCAUUUUUAACGUCAAUUUCUAGAGUGGUUAGCCGAGGUAAAUGCAUCAAUUCAUCAAGGCUAGCAUUACUUCUUUCCCUGUUGUCUCUUUCAACCUCCCAUUCAAUGCAGCAAUUACCCAUAUACAGCUCUUCUAAUCGAGUUAAGCUUGAUAUGAGAUUGGGCGCAAUAACUUUUAGAUGGAAACAAUUGGUUAAAUCUAACAAUCUCAACUUAUUCAAUUGACCUAGUUCUUCUGGCAACUGCAUAAUAUCAGACAUCAGAAAGCUAAGGACUUCUAGAUUCUUCAACUUCCCAAUGAUUUCUAUGUCCCCCAACGCACUUUGAUCCAGACAUAGUGUGUGAAGAUUUACUAGAAGAUCAAUUGAAGAUGGAAAUGAAGAAAACUGCAUUCGAGUAAAAUCUAGAACUCUAAGCUUUUUCAUCCCUACAAAAAAGUUCUCAGGAAUAUUGAUUUCAAGAGAAAAAUCUUUGAGAGAGAUAUAUAAAAAUUCAAGGUUUGGGCAUUCUAAUCCUUCAGGAAAUUCACGAUUACUAUUAUUUCUUAAAGAGACAGCAUUGCAUUUUCGAAGUGCAUCCUCAUCUGGCCAGUCCCACACAUCCUCAUUUCUCACCGAAAACACAUGUUGGUGGCGGCAUGCAAUUGAUAUUGCGACAUCGCGAACAACAUCAUGCAUUGAAAAUUCUUCAUUGCUAUCACCCUCAAGCAACAAACAAGAGUCUCUAAGUUCAUGGACCAAUGCAUAUAAUUUGUCUCGUGCAUCUUCCAUCUUAUUGACUCCUUUAAAUAUACCCAAACCCAUGGAGUACUUAAACAGGUCCAAAGUAUGAAUACGGUUACCCAUUAGACUACAGAGGAGAAAAAUUUUCUUGAGUUGCUCACCUUUUAAAUGGUUGAAACUCAGCUCAAUACUUGAAUAAGUCUCUGCAGAUACUCCUUCGAAGUUCACCAUUGAAGGCGUUCGGAGUUCUCGCAAGGAAUUCUUCCAUUCAUGCAGACUCUUGCUUCUCAGUGCCUUUGCUACUGUGGUCAAGGCAAUGGGCAAACCUCCACAUGCCCUGGCGACGUCUAUUGCUGUAGAUUUCAACUCACGAUUUUCAACAUCAUCACCGGCCAUCAUCUUAAACAAUCUCCAGGCUUCUUCUUCAUUUAAAUUGUUUAUCAAAAAGUUGUCUUUAGAACCCAUUUUUAAAAGGACACUACGAUCUCUUGCCGUCAGCAGUAGUUUGCAGCCUUUAUGGUCUUCUCCAAAAGGAAUUCCAACUGUCUCCAAAUCAAGGUGUUUCCAAAUGUUAUCUAAAACCACAAGGAUCUUCUUGUGAUUUCUCAAUCGCUCAAAUAGUCUACUUGCUCUUCUAGAUUCAACUUCCUCGUGCAACUCCAGGCCCAACUUCUCGGCAAUUUCCUGUUGAAUCUUUUUUAUGUCUGGAGUUUGCGAAACCUCUGAAAAGACCACCAUAUCAAAGAGCUUGUCUUCCAUAGCUUGCCUGGCGACCUUCUUCACCAGUGUCGUCUUUCCAAUGCCGCCCAUGCCGUACACCCCAACGACACUAACAUUAACAUCGAUCAAUGCAUUUUGUAUGGCCUUCAAAGAAGAAAGUCUUGACUCGAAGGCCUCGUAGCCUUUGUGAGACUUGAGCCAUAUCUCCUCCGGAAUGGUACGGUAGGAAAUUCUAUCAUCAAAUCUUGCAGCUUCUUCUCGGAUUUUGACAAGUGCCUUCACCUCUGCCUCUGCUUUCUUGCUAAGCUGAUAGCGGGUCUUCAGAUUAGGGCACAGACCCUUGAGACAUAGCUUAUUUGUUGCCUCCUCGUCGUCAAUGAAUUUGUCUGCAUGGUCAAUGAUCUUGUUCGCAUUAACCAGCCAUUUCUCAACCUCCUCUUCAAUCUUUUCUCCUUUUCUUUCAUCCUCUGAAACUCUGCGUUGAAUGCUCCUACUUUUAUCCUUGAGCUUCUCGAUUUCAGCCUUGAGAUUCUCAAAGUUGUCAUUGGAGCAACGCAAGUAACGAAGUUGGUGUUGUGCUGGAGGAGCCAAGCAUUUUACAACCUCUAAAACGACAGUAACAAUGGAUUCCAUCACCUUCAAUACUUUUUCUUUUCUUUUUUUUUUUUUGGGGGGGGGGGGGUUUGUGGGAGGAUGGAUUGAUCUGAAGUGAAAGAAACAGAAAAAGAACAGGGGAAACGACUGGACAAUUGUUAAUCAAUGAAGAAGCCGAAGAAAAAACAGAUGACGGUGAAAGGGAACGGGACUAAAUUAGGAAGAGAAAUUGUAUUUGAGCAAAACAAGGAAAAAAUCAGUGUAAUAGAUGAGAAUCAAAGUGUUGUUGCGAUCAGAAAAUUGAAACAAGAAAAGGGUUUCUUGAUCCAAUGAGUAUACAGAGAGGUGAUGGCAGAAGGGAGCAAAGCUAGGUCAGGAGAGGGUUUCUUGAUUGAGAAUUGAACGCAAAGAGUAGGAGCUGAUGAAUUAUAACUGGUAAAACUGAUUUGAAGCAAUUCUAUUGAGCGAUCUGAAAAAAAUUAUUUUGUUCAAUAUCAUACAGUAAAAGGAACAAAACAGUAAAAAGAAAUUAUUUAUUUAUUUUGUCAAAUGUGAAUACAGAGAGUAUCCAAACGAGCAAUUAUUUCUUUCUCGUCUCAGUAAACUAUAACGACAAAACAGCAAAAGAGAAAAUUAUUGUCAAACGUGAAUCACGUUUCUAAUCUAUUAAUUAAAAUGAUGUUAUACAAAAAAUGCUAAUGCUGGGAUGAUUUAACUUCUAACUGAAAAUUGCUAAUAUCAAUGUCGGGGGUGAAGGACAUAAAUUAUUCGUAAUUGCGAUGUAACAUUUGCUGGCAUAUUAUGAAUGAAAGAUAAAUUAUAAUCAUCGAAAUGUGUGGGGUCAGCUGUCAGUUGUAAUAAAAUGAAAGUUUUAAUUUUUGAAAUAAAAAUUAAUAAUACCUGAUAAAGUGGUACCAUUGAAUCAGUCUACGGAAGUCAUCAGAGUUGUCAAUGGUUAGACCCAACUAUAAUAUGGUCCAACUAUGGUAUCCCAUUAAAUGAGCCCUAAAACUAAACUCAAAGCCACAAUUGCUAGAAGAGAAAUUUACACGAGAUAGGUCAUGAUGAACUUCUCUAAUGAUAUUUUCUCAUGUGCUAUAGUGAGACUCACAAUAAACCUUACUAAUUUUUUAAAUAUAAAAUCUUAUGAAUCCCAUUAUAAAACACAUCUAUAAUUUCGCUUUGAAAUUUACUGCUCUGCACGUCUAAGCUAAGCGGAGAAUAGACUUCAUCAACAACGCUUUUGUGAAUAUGUGUUGCAUUACAACACUCCAAUGUGAUCCUCAUCCAAUAUCCAUUAUUUGUGAUCCUUAUUCCUCUGCGUCAAUUAAAUAUUGUUCCAUGAAUUUUUAAUUAUUUGUCAGCUAAUAAUUAAGUCAUAUAAACAAAUUAAUAAUCUGAAUUAGUCUUUAGGUAUUAUAAAUAUUUGUAGAUUUUUAAUUAUAAUAUCAUUAUUUAAAAGUAAUGCUUCACUUACAUUAGUGGCAUGCCAUUACCACUGUCAUAAAACAUGUGAUCCUCAUCCAAUAGCCAUUAUUUGUGAUCCUUAAUCAAUGAAAUAUCUGACAAUAUCUGCGUCAAUUACAGUCCAGUCCAAUGCUGCCAUCAUUAUCGAACAGUCGAUAUCCAACACUUGCAUGAAGAUUCCAAGAAGUUGCAUGGCUGCCGACUUUUAGAUGCUAAGCCUCAUUGUGUCGAUGAUACACGAAACAGAGCUUAGAACUAAACAGUAGCUUAGUCGGAAAAUCAAACGCCAGUGCCGGUAAAAUGACCGAUAAAAAUAUAAGGAAAUAAAAAUUUUAAAGUUUUACUUCAUUGCUUUUUUAAUCUUAUUACUAUUUCUUCUUGCACUUCUAAAGAAAUCAAAGCUUUAAAAGAAAUCAGCCAAAUCACGAAGAUUGAAGUGAACAAAAAUUUUAGGUUUUAUACAACAUCUCUUUUUUUUUUUUUUUUGGUUCUAUUUGAAGUGAACGAAAUAAAAAUACAACAGGGUCAGCGACUGGGCAAUUGAUAGUCAAGUAGAAGCAAAUCAAGGCUAAAUGGGAAAGAGAAAUAAUAUUUGUACAAAACAAAGAGAAAAUUAGUGUAACAGAAGAGAAUCAAAGUGCUUUGGGAUCAGAAAUUGAAACAAGAAAAGGGUCGCUUGAUCCAAUGAAAAUGCUAAGAGCUGAUGGCAAAAGGGAACAAAGUUCAACAAGAAAACAAAUAGCACUAGCAGCGACCAAAAUAAACAGAAAAUUUGAGAUGGAUUUACAAUAUUUCUGCCUUUCUUUAUGCUUUAACAAAUAUUGCUCUAUCAAUAUAUAUAUAUAUAUAUAUUGAGCGUUUUUAUUAUUGGAGUCACAAAAGACCUACACAAUAUAGCAAGUGGCUAGGAAUAAAUAAGAUAUAUAACUUUCUCUCUAAUUCUCGCUCGGGCUUUUAAUUGUCACUCAAAACCCAGAAUUCAUACUUAAAAUUGUAAGCAAGUCAGACAUGACAGCGUCUGGUUGUCAUACGCGCCUUCUAGUUUCCGGAUGACAUGGCAUACACUUAUUCUGUAAAUCCAACAUGACAUGCCGUACUCUUUGUUUUGAGAUCAUAUUUCAAACUCUUCAUGCAAUGAAUGAAACAUAAACUACAAUCAUCAAAACUUUAGUGUUUGUUUGGUAAUGUAACGUCACGGUUGUUGUGAAUUGAAAUUAUUUCUGUAAAAUAAAAGGAUUUGGGUCAUUGAUUGUUAUUUCUGGCAAUAUUUGUUAAAUAUUAAAAAAAUAAAUUUAUAUUUAUUAAGUAUAAAAAAUAAAUAAACAAACAAAAAUAAAAGAAAAAAUUUAUACAUUACGUAAAAUAAUAAGAACAAUAUCAAUAUUUCACACUCUAUAAUUGAGUGAUGUGUUGUCCAACUGCCAUACAUUGGUCCCAAACAGAGACUUAAAUAUUAAAGUCCAAAGUUAUUGUGAUGAUGACUUAUAAUCGCCAAACUUGACAUACGGGUAAUCAUACAUUAUAAGGCGCUGAUUUCUUCCUAUCGGAACCUUAUUUUUCAUUUACAAAUAAAUAAAUUAUGUGACUUCACGGUUGGCGGGGUCCUUUGUGUCAUUUGGGCAUUUCACUAAAUGAUUGAUUGUAGCAGGAAGAUUCCUGGAAGUUGCCAUAAUGCUACUAACAUUUUAAAACUUGGAAAACCCUUCUAUCAAUCUUUUAGUGGUAGGCUCUGGUAGCUUGGUUUGAUUAUGGCGUAUGAUUAUUUGAUAAUAAAGUUAGAGGAUGUAUUAAUAUAAAAUUUGUUUAUUGGUGUUGAAGUUAAUUAUCUCAUUAAUAAUAGUAUAAAAAAUUAAUUACUAAGAAACACAUAACAGUAGUUAAUUGGUGUUAUAUUAUUGGGAUUCUGGGAUAUAAUUUUAUAUCAUAACUUUGUAGGUGUAUACUUACUCAUCAAACUAAUAAAAUUAUUUAAAAAUUUCAGUUGGAAAACAUAAAUUAUAUUAUUUUCAUUUCAAAUAAUCUAUAAGUUAACUCAAAACAUAAUCAAGCUGAGAAUUAAAAUAAUGCUACUGUAUGAGAGGAUUUUUAUUUUUUCCCGAAGUUUCACUAGGAAAUUAUUGAUACAUAGCUUUAUUCGGAUCAUCUCAGUUCAAACGACAAAUAAUUGAAAGACUAAGCUAAAUAGACCAGCCAACAACUUUGUACAAGAGAGUUCAAAAAUUAAAGUCAUGGUAUUAAAGUGUUCUAUAUUGAAAAGUACAGUGUAGUAAUAAAAUAAAAACUAAUAGUCUUUGGUAAGAUAUGACAUUUAAAUAAUAAUUUUCACAAAAAUACAAAGAAUAUUUAUAAAGUACUUCUAUAAUGAGGAGACCCUCACUUUGUUAAAGUGAAAAUAUCAAUAAUAUAAAAAAGACAUAUAUUUUAACACAUUAAAAAUUAUAUUUUUUUUUGUCUAUUGGUGUAUUGAAAUGUGUGUUAUUUAGUUUGUUAAUAAUAUAAUCACUUUGUUAAAAUGAGGAUGUCGUUGCUAGAGAAUCAUUAUAUAUACAUAUAUAUAUAAAGUGCUUCUGUCCAAGACCUACACUUUAUUAAAAUUUAAGAAAGCAAAUAUAUUUUAUAUGGUAUAAUAGUGUAAUUACAUCACACUAUUAUAUCAUAUAGAGUAAUAAUUUUUCGAACUUUAAUAAAGUUCAAGAUUAUAGAAUAAAUAAUUUAUAUAUAUUAUAAAUUUUUUUUAUCAUAAAGUGGAGGACAAAAUUAACAUAUUUAUUAAAUUAUAAUAAGUAUUUAUCAAAUAAUUUAACAUUGCAAUUUCUCCUAACUAGUAUAGUAAAUAAUACGACCUAGGAGGUACAUUCAAAAGCAUUUCAUAAGUUAGCUGAUAAUAAUAAAUGAUAUAUGCAGCCCAAUCAUCAUUGUACGGUGAGUAAUUUUUGAUGACUUAAUUUAGUGGGAUCAAAAUCAACAUUGAAUUUUUGACCAGCUGCCAACAACUUGUGAGCAGUUCACAGUGGGUACUGCACAUGAUGCCUGUUUCUCCUUUUGCAUCUAUUUUUGUUGUUAACAUUAAUUUCAAUAGCAGCUCGUUAAUCCCAUUUGUUGAUUUGGGACUAGAUAAGAAUUUAUCUUGGAACUCCAAUUCUCCAAUUAUUUUAGUUGACAAUAUAUUUAACAUUAUUAAUUGCAUAUUAUUUAAUUAUCAGUAUAUAAUAUUCUUUAAUUUUCUAAUUUUAUAGGAUUAGACACAAAAUUGAUUAUGCCUUUUGAAAUUUAAGGGUUAUGUCAAUUGAAUAGAAAACUUGGAGUUAAACUUGUGGAUGUUUUUGUUGAUUAUCAGUUUAUGCAUGAAUUUUUGUACGUUUACUUUGGUUUAUAAUUAUUACUUUUAAACAUUUUUAUUGGUUUGAUUUAUGGUCAAUUUGGUAAUCCUGUAGCUUUUAAAAUAAUUGCAAUUAGCUAUACUGUAGAAAUUGAUCAAUCGUCAAGAAAAUCAGCUGAACAUUUAGUAAAAUUUAUUUUUAAAAGUACUUUUAGUUUUGAAAGCGUCGUAUGAAUGAAACUGUUACACUAAAAAUUAAAUGUAUUGCCCACUUGGGUAAAUAAAGCUAUAUAUUACAACUGUUACACUAAAAAUUAAAUGUAUCUUAAACCCAAACUUCUUCUUCUUUUUUUUUUUUGACUAACAAAAUUAAAAACAAUAGUGAACACAUUCUUUAAUAAACAAUAAGUAAUAACUAAAAUCAUGUUAAAUUUCUUAAAAAAUUUCUUUCACGGUUUGCUAAAUAUUUUUAUUAGUAUUUUGAAUAAAUAAAAAUAGUUGAUUUAAUUUUUUUAAAUAAACUUAUUAGGUUCAUGUAAAGAUGUUUUUGUUAUUUUAAAAAGUGUAGAAAGUACUCCUAAAAAAAAGCGUAGAAAGUAAAACUUAAUUUUUUAAAUUUAUUUGCUGAGUGCAUAAAUAAUUGAGUGUUCAUAAUGAUUUUUAAAGUAUAGAUAGUCGGACCCUAAUUUUUUAAUAUAUGGAAAUUUUGCUAAUAUGUUAAUGAGAAUUAAAAAGAUAAUUAAGGGAGGCAAUCGAGACAUUCAGGAUAGUUAGGAUGGGACAUGAUUGUGAGCGGUUUGAUAUUGGUCCUAAUUUUGAUCACAAAUAUAUAAACAGGACGAGUUUAUCUCUACUUACAUUCCAUUUGAUAAUUAAGAUGAGAACGGAAUUGUCAAAUCUCAAAUCAUCCCGAACCAUUGCCAUCAAAGGUACUCUCACUAAUAAUAUCUAAAGAAAAAUCUACAUCUAUUUCAUACUCUUUUUUUUUAAAUGGAAAGAGCCCUCAUGGGGCUUGAAAUGUUAUCCUAAAUAGUAUUCAGAAUAUCAAGCCAUGAUUGGGUUUGAGACAAACAAAUAUUACAUAGUUAGGAUACGUAGUUAUAGUGUCCCAAUUUAUGUAGUAUCUAUCAUUUAGUGCACAUAUAAAAUAUUUGGACAUAUAAAAUAUUAAUCAACUUAAUUAAUUUAUAAAAUUUAAAUCUAAUUAAUAAGUGAUACAUAAAUGCCAAGUGCAAUACUGUAUAUGCAAAUCAUGUUUGUGGAUCAUUACAAAACUGGCUCUUGAAAACAAGCAAGAAAGCUUAAUUAAGAACUUAAAACAAAAAGAAUUAGAUUGAAAACAGUCAAGCUUUAUUUUUUCAAGGAUGGAGCUUAUAAAUCUUCAAGUACCAACAUAUGCUUGGUGUUGUGCAAAUUUUAAUGUACUCGCAAGCGCACGAAUCUAUUGUAGUAUCGAUCAAUGGUGACGAGUGUCGAUCCCACGAGAAGGUGGAUUUUAAUUGUGUAGAAUUAAUUUUGUAAAUGGGUGAUUGGAUUUGUGGUGGAAAUGAUUUGGAAUAUGCUAAAACUUAAAUUAAAAUGGCAAGAAUAAAUUUUAAAAUUGGUAUUGAAAUGGCGAGAAUAAAUUGAAGAGAAUUCUAUUGAAAUGACGUACUUGGGUAUCUGGAUCCGUAUCAACAUGCAUCAUGGGCUAAAUAAUCCUUAUUAAUGCCAAUUAAAUCAUGAGGGGGGAAUCCACACCUCAUGAACCACGCUCUAAUCAAUAUUGUGCUAAGGGCUUAUCGUGCCAAAUAAUAAUAACCUUGUACUAGGGGGCCGGUGAAACCAAGGCGGUACUAGACAAGAUUAGUAUUAUUUUUCGACGAGAAGUCAAAACAUCCACAAAAACUAGAGGGGAAGAGAAAAUAAAUUUACCAAAUAAGCCAUGACACAUGUUGAGACUUCACCUUCAACCCAAGCUUGAAAGAAAAUUAGCCACUCAUAAUUGAACUAGGGGCAAAAUGGAAAUUUAUUAAAAUAUGAAGAAAAUACAAGAUGGAGAAGGAAUUACAGAAAAUGGAUCCCAAAAAUGGAUUCAGAGAUCUCAAAUUAGGGGGGAGAGGCCCGCUUUUUAUAGAUACAUGGAGUAAAUCAUGACCAUCGGAUUAAAAACAGUUUGGACGCUCAGGAUUACGCCACGUCAUCAGUCAACAGUACGCGGUUUGACCACGCGGAUGAACAGUAAUGCGGUUUGGUUGAAAAUAAUCCUGUGUGAUGCAUGUACCGUACGCGAGAUUUUUCGUCCACUGAUAUGCUGCCACGUCACCAUCAACAAUUCAUAAGAAUUUUAGCCCAAUAGGAUCGUGACACCUCAUCAGUCAAUGCCACAUCAUCGGUCAAUGCCACGUCAUCGAUCCGUAUAUGUAAACAGUGUCGUGAACAGUAACGUAGACAGUACUGUACACAUGAAUAGUACCGUACAUGUGAAUAGUGCCAUUUUUCCUUUUAUGCUCCUCCUAAGGUUUUCGACCGUCCUGAGUUCAAAAGUGAUGUCCGUUUUGCCGUCUGACCUCUCCUUUAUUGUGAAAUGACUAUAAUGCCCCUAAAAUACAUAAAAUACUUAAUUAAAAUAAAACACAUGUAAUUAAAUCACAAGAAGAUUAAAUACAUAAAAGUAAGGGUUGUUAGUAAGACUUGAAAUGUAAAAUGAUGGUUUUCUCCUUUAUAAAUAUGCAUUUUCUAACACUCAACACACCCCCCAACUAGCUUAUUGCUAGUCCCUAGCAAAUAAAGCGAAAAUAAAAUUCAAAUUCAAAAUGAUUUUUUUUUUUUUAGAAACACUCGUGUUUAUUCAAUCAGAUUAAUGAUAGCAAUCAAAUAAAAGUAUAAGCAUUAUCUCCAGUCUAAAGCAACAUCACACCCACAUCAACCAUCCACAUGAAUCAGCCCAGUAGACUUCGUUAUAGCUACUUUCAAGAAUGACAUGUCAAACCCCAAAAUCUCACUGGAAGUAGUGACACUCUCACAAAGAAAUUAAAACCAAUAAAAAUAGUCACUCCAAUGAAUGUAAUUGAGAGAGAAAAUAAUAAAGAAGUGAUAUCACAUGCUCUCACCAAGAUGAAAUAAAUAUGCCCCCAGCUUAGAAAUAAUACGAUCUCAAGUCAAAUAAAAAUGCUAGUCAACCCAAUUUAUUUAUCUUUUUUUUUCUUUUAUUUAUUUAUUUAUUUUUAUUAUGCACCACUACAUCUUUUUAGCCCAUAUAACUAGUUUCUACUUCAGAUUAUAGUUCCCUAAAAUCGGGAAGGACUUUUAUUAGGAUGUAACGUAGGCUAGGGACAUGGUUAACAAAGAAGGGAAAUAAGGAAAACAAAGUGUAUGUUUGAGAAAAAUGCAGAGGAAAUUUUUUUUUUUUUGGAAGUUACAAGGUGGAUUUCACCUAUUAUUGUUAUUAUUAUUAUUAUUUUUUUUUUUUGCUUUUGCUUGGCACAAUGUCACUAAAUAAAAUAAUUAUUUACAUUUUCUCAAACAUAAAUAGGUGAUGGAACUUAUAAGACAUCGGGUAAUACUCCAAAUCGGAGUGGGUCAAGAUGAUAAGUUGACAAAGAAAAUAUAUAUAUAUAUUUUUAAAGGCUCAAAAGGGUUAACUAUGGAUAUUUAAUAAAAGGGAUGGUUAGAAAGGCUCAAACGGAUCAAAGAUGGCCUUUCCAUCGUCUUUUAGGGCUCUAAAUAAUCAUCUAUAUCUACUAGUUAGAUGGGCCUCCAAAUGUAGCUACACACAUUUUUUUUCUUUUUUUUUUAAUUUUAUAAUUUUUUUUUUAAGGGUUAACUCAAAAGAAAUCUAGAGAUCGUGUAUACAAUAAUAAACUGUUAAGCUGUAUAAAGAAUGGGCAAAAGGGUUACUCUCCAAGAAAAAUGAUAAUCUCAAAAACUCACUUGGUACUUAUUAUGACAUGUUCAUUCCUUCAAGCAACUCAUAUUUGUCUCCGACAUCAACAUGUAGAGUAGCAAACAUAAUGUAACAUCACUUAAGACCAAAGAUAAUACAAAUACUAAAAUUUGAAAUUAAUCAUGUCAUCCAAUGUUAAAACAAAUCACACAAUUUUUUUUUUAAACAACAUUCUACCCCCCAACCUAUUCUAAACGUGAAAGGAAAAUAUGCAUGCAGAAAUGUGAAAAUGAUGCAUAAAAACUAAUUAAAAAAAGUUACACGUAAAAUGAUAGAAAACGAAAAUGGUUUUUUUUUUUAAGAAGAUGUGUUUCUAGAGGCACUACACUCCAUAUUCAGCCAUCUUCGACUCAUAAGUUGGAAAAUGUAUAUUUAUAGAGGAGAAAUUAAAAAGAAGAAAAAUAAACAUAAAAACAGAAUAAAGAAAAAGAAAAUGUCUGAAUUUUUUUUUUGUUUUUUAAUUUUUUUUUAAACGAUGAAGAUGCGUUUCUAGAGUCACUACACUCCAUAUUCAGCCAUCUUCAACACAAAAAGUUAGCAACAGUUAGUUUCUACAACAAAAAAUUAGUAAAAACUUAACCAAAAUUUCACAAUUGUCGACUAUUCCCUCCCCCCAACCAGAACGAAACAUUGUCCUCAAUGUUUGAAAGGAAAGAAGUAGAGUUUAGAAGACAUCAACUGGGUGGUGCAACACAGAAAACAAUAUUUACAAGUGGAGAGUUAAAUCUAAUUUGUACUUCUUACUGCGGCUACUGUUACCAUCAUUAUUUGGAUGCUCCAACACAAAGGUCCAGGGGUCUGGCUCCGGUCUAUAAGCUUGUAACAUAUCAAGUAGCUCAUUAGCAGUGUGAGCACAAAUAAAGAGUUUUUUCGCAUUAGAGGGAAUGAAAUAGUUUUUUAUUGCAUGGUUAAGAAAUGCGAUAAAGCCAUCAUAAAAGUUAUUGACAUUUAACAAACCAAUGGGUUUCUGGUGGAUGUGCAGAUGGGCCCAAGAUGCUAGUGUGAUAAGUGCCUCUAGUGUUGCAAGAUCUCCUGGAAGGAAAAUAAAAUGAUUAAGCAUUUCAGUUAUUCUUUCAUGCAUACUUGAGACGACUAACUCUUCUCCAGUUGAUGAGUCAGACGAACUGUCCAAAGGUUUUAGGGCUCUUGGGAUGAUGCCUAACACUUGGCUGCCUCUGAUAAAAGCUGCUUCUGAGACCAUUUUUGAUAACCCUCGAUUACCUCCUCCAUACACCAAGUGUAAUUUUCUCUCUGCUAUACUUCGACCAAGAUCGAUGGCUGCCUCAACGAACUCUUUAUGUUUGCCAUAGGUAAAUCCAGAAAUCACACAAAUGUUCUUGAAUUGUCUAUUUGGAGGAGCUACCAUUGUGAUACUUCUCAAAAAAUAAUUUGUGAGUGCUUGACAAAAAAAAAUCACAUUUAAGAGUCUUGGUGACAGUGGGUCACAGUUGUGUAUGAGGUAACACGUCAGUGUCAAAUAACGCGUAAAGCACGUGGCUCGCGAGUCAAAAAGGAAACAGUAAAAAGGAAAAAGCAAACAGUAAUAAGGAAAAAGUAAACAGUAAUAAAAUUAUUAAAGACAAUAAUGCACACAAUAAAACAAUAGUGAAAUAAAAUAACAGUAAAGUGAAAGGAUAUUUACAGGUAGUUGCGACUGUAGCUCACAUCUUCCUCUGGUUUUACGUCCAGAAACGGCUUAAACGCCCUCUAUGGGUCGAGGAUAGGCUUCCUAUCUAGUUUUCUUAUAAACUGGCAAACAGGGUCGUUUAUAGUCAGAUUCCCGAGACUAUAUCGUGCAUGCUCUUUCUGGAAUAAUGGCCAUAACUGGAGAAUCGCUCCUUGCACAUAUCCAUUGGGAUGCGUUUCAAGAGAUAAAAGGAUAUCAUCCAAUGACUCCUUAUUCAAGCCAUCCCUAAUGAAUUGAAUCUUAUAUUCCCUGUUAUCAGACACCAUUCCUAAAGAACAUGGGUUUUUAUUCCUGCUCAUUCUGGCACACUUAUGACAAGCAACAGAAAUUCUUCGAGCUCGUCGUUUUCUUGCAUAAUUUCCUUUACCACAACCAGGCAUGUAUGCAAUAAAUUUUGGAGGUAACUCACCUGCCGAUCGUACUUUAGCCUCGAUUAACCAACGGAUGUCAGCAGGUAUGUUAUUCCUCAUGAGUAAUCGCAUGCGUUCGGACCGAGCUUUAUAGAUCGUAAGGAGGGCAUUCUGAGGAAGUGAAGGGAAUCGCUUGUGAAGCUUCGCUAGAAUCUCGUUUCUGUCCAUACUUUCACCUCAGAAUAUCAGUUAUUAUGAGAAACUGAAGUAACCGACUUGAUUGUCACGGAGUACCGUUAUCCGCCACUUCACCGGGGUAACAAACUAAAGCACACAAACAGAAAAAUAAAUUAAAACACACAAAGAAAAUUAAAAUUGUCCUCUUAUUGAAUUUACCUCAAGCUCCAACUGGAUGUCGUAAACACUUCUCUCAAUGUCUCUGAGUUGUCUUUCUAAACCCUCAACAUAGGCUACUAACUCUGGUGGUUGUAGAGCCCAAAUGCGAUGUGUUUUACAAAAUUGAAUCUGCCUUUUGAGAUGAGUUUUGACACAUUGAAGUGGUUUAAGAAUGUUCAGGAGGAACGGUCUAAGUAAGGUACUCAUGAUUAAAAACGAUAAAAGAAAACUUAAUAGUUAAACAAACACAUUUAUGCAAAAAUAAUUUCAAUUAGCAGAAGAAUAAUAUAAAGAAAAAAAAAUCAAAUCAACGAAAAGAAAAAAAAUCAAUUCAAAUCUGGUGGGUCACUCAAAUUUAUUUCGGUGUCUUCUCCAUGUGGUUGGUACUCUAGAUAUGGCUUUAAUCUUUGACCAUUAACUUUAAACGUGACACCGUUGUUUGGGUCCUUAAUUUCAAUUGCCCCAUGUGGAAAAACAGUAUGACCAAUAAAGGGACCAGACCAUCGAGAACGUAACUUACCUGGGAAUAGGUGCAAGCGAGAAUUGAAUAAAAGCACUUUCUAACCUGGAGUGAAUGAUUUUCUCAUAAUUUGCUUGUCAUGGAAGACUUUCAUCCGUUGCUUGUAAAUCUUGGUAUUUUCGUAUGCGUCAUUGCGAAUUUCUUCAAGUUCUGCCAGUUGUAAUCUUCUUUCUGAGCUGGCUUGCUGCAUGUCAAAGUUGAAUUUCUUGAUGGCCCAAUACGCACGAUGCUCGAGUUCCACAGGUGGGUGGCAAGCUUUUCCAUACACUAGCCUGUAGGGUGACAUCCCAAUCGGGGUCUUGAAAGCCGUUCUAUAUGCCCAUAAUGCAUCAUCAAGUCUUAAUGACCAAUCUUUUCUGUCCGGCUUCACCGUCUUUUCUAAUAUGUGCUUUAUUUCUCGAUUGGAGAUCUCAACUUGGCCACUGGUUUGCGGAUGAUACGGGGUCGCCACUUUGUGUGUGAUUGAAUACUUUGUCAAAAGAGUUUUGAAUGCUUUGUUACAAAAGUGGGCACCACCAUCACUGAUUAUUGCUCGAGGGAAUCCAAAGCGCGAAACAAUGUUGCUUUUCAAAAAUCCUAUCACCACCUUGUGAUCAUUGGUUCUACAUGGAAUUGCUUCUACCCAUUUCGAUACGUAGUCAACACCAACCAAUAUGUAUUGAUGGCCAAAAGAAGGGGGAAAGGGUCCCAUAAAGUCGAUACCCCAUAUGUCAAAAAUCUCAACCACUAAAAUUGGAUUUAGUGGCAUCAUGUUCCUUCGUGUAAUGCUCCCCAUUCGUUGACACCUAUCACAUGAAGAACAGAAAGUGUAAGCAUCUCGAAAUAUAGUUGGCCAAUAGAAACCACAUUGUAAAACUUUAGUUGCUGUUUUCUUAGCACUAAAAUGGCCUCCACAAGCUUGUUCAUGGCAGAAUGAAAGGAUAUUCUGAAUUUCACUUUCUGGGACACAUCGUCUAACAAUUUGGUCUGCACAAUACUUGAACAAAUACGGGUCAUCCCAAAAGAAAUUCUUUAUCUCUGCAAAGAAUUUAGCCUUAUCUUGCUUGGGCCAAUGCUCUGCAAGUUUACCUGUAACAAGAUAAUUAACUAUAUCAGCAUACCAUGGUAAUACUUCCACAUUCAUUAAUUGUUCAUCUGGAAAUGACUCAUUCAAUAUUAAUGGCUCUGUAAUUGUGUCAAAAUGGAGACGAGAGAGGUGGUCCGCCACAACAUUUUCUGUCCCUUUCUUAUCUUUGAAUUCCAAGUCAAAUUCCUGCAAAAGUAACACCCAACGAAUUAGUCUAGUUUUUGCAUCUUUCUUUGUGAGAAGAUAUUUAAGAGCAGCAUGAUCUGUGAAUACAAUUAUUUUACAACCAAUGAGAUAAGAUCGAAAUUUCUCUAAUGCAAACACUACUGCUAGCAUUUUUUUUUCAGUAGUUGAAUAGUUCAACUGUGCAUCAUUCAAUGUCAUACUAGCAUAGUAAAUAAUGUGGGGAAUUCGAUCAACUCUUUGUCCUAAUACUGCUCCUACUGCAUAAUCAGAUGCAUCACACAUGAGCUCAAAUGGUAAGCUCCAGUUUGGGGGCUGAAUAAUGGGUGAUGAUGUCAACAACUGCUUUAGUUUUUCAAAUGCCACAAGACAUAAAUCAUCAAAGAUAAAAGGUACAUCCUUAGCAAGUAAAUUGCAUAAGGGUCUAGAAACUUUGCUAAAAUCUUUAAUGAAACGUCUAUAGAAACCAGCAUGCCCAAGGAAAGAUCUUACCUCUCUGACUGUUUUGGGUGGAGGAAGAUUAGAAAUGAGAUCCACCUUGGCUUUGUCAACCUCAAUACCUUUGCUCGAAAUGAUGUGACCGAGAACAAUACUUUGUUUUACCAUAAAAUGACACUUCUCCCAAUUUAAGACCAAGUUCUUCUCGAUACAUCUCUGCAGAACUAAUGUUAGAUGAUGUAAACAUUGAUCAAACGAGUCACCAAAGACAGAAAAAUCAUCCAUAAAGACUUCAAGGAAUCGUUCAAACAUAUCAGAAAAAAUGUUCAACAUGCAUCGUUGAAAUGUAGCAGGUGCAUUACAUAAUCCAAAUGGCAUUCUCUUAUAUGCAAAUGUGCCAAAAGGGCAAGUGAAAGUAGUUUUCUCUUGAUAUUUUGGUGUUAUGGGAAUCUGAUUAUAUCCUGAGUAGCCAUCUAGAAAGCAAUAAAAUUCAUGGCCUACCAAUCUAUCAAGCAUUUGAUCGAUAAAUGGUAAAGGAAAAUGGUCUUUACGUGUGAUAGAAUUCAAUUUUCUAUAAUCAAUGCAUACACGCCAUCCUGUAGUUACUCUAGUUGGUAUCAAUUCAUUAUCAGCAUUGGUAACUACUGUGACUCCUGACUUUUUGGGGACAACUUGUACAUGACUGACCCAUGAACUAUCAGAAAUGGGGUAAAUGAUACCUGCAUCUAAUAGCUUAAGGACUUCAGUUCUAACAACUUCUUUCAUGUUAGGAUUUAACCGACGUUGCAUUUCCCUAGUAGAUUUAGCAUUUUCAUCAAGGUGAAUGUAAUGCAUGCAGUCUAUUGGGUUUAUAACUUUUAUGUCUGCUAUGGUCCAUCCUAAUGCUCCUUUAUGCUCUUUUAAAAUAUCCAACAACUUACCUUUUUGUUCGUCAUUUAGGGAUGAUGAUAUGAUUACCGGCAGAGUACUUUCUUCUCCCAAAAAUGCAUAUUCCGGAGUGUUGGGUAAUGGUUUGAGCUCAAGUUUCGGUGGUGAUUCUGAUGAUGGGAUGAGUUUCUUCUCUGAUGGUGCUAGUUGUUCAACUCUUGACUUUCAUUUAUUAGUGUCCAUGGAUGGUGCUGAGUCAAGUAGGGCGUUGACCUCAUCAACUGAUCUGUCAAUAUCAAAAUCCAAACCAAAGUGAGUUAAACAUGUUUGUAAAGGAUCAUCACUAAUGUUUGAAAGAAAAGUAUUAUCAACUAUUGUUUCUAUUAAAUCCACAUCAACAAUUCCAUCAUCUGCACUGUGAGGUUGUUUGGCAAUGUUGAAGAUGUUCAGUUCCAUAGUCAUGUUGCCGAAGGACAACUGCAUAUUUCCUGUCCUGCAUUGAAUGUGAGCAUCCGCAGUUGCCAAGAAAGGUCGGCCUAGAAUAAUGGGGAUGUGCUUCCUUGAAUCCUGUAUUGGUUGAGUGUCAAUUACAAUGAAAUCAACAAGAAAAUAAAAUUUGUCUACCUGGAUAAGCACGUCCUCCACAAUGCCACAAGGUAUUUUCGUGGACCGAUCUGCAAGCUGUAACACCACUGGGGUUAGGUGUAAUUCUCCAAGUCCAAGUUUCACGAAUACAGAGUAAGGCAAAAAAUUUACACUAGCUCCUAAAUCCAACAAAGCAUUCUCAAUUGUGUGGUUCCCUAUGCUACAUGAGAUAGUGGGAGAGCCUGGGUCUUUGCAUUUUAGAGGAAUUUUAUGUUGGAGGAUAGAACUAACGUUUUCUGUUAAAAAUGCCUUCUUUUGAACAUGCAUAUUUCUCUUUUUAGUACAAAGGUCUUUAAGAAACUUGGCAUAAGAUGGAACUUGCUUUAUAGCAUCAAGUAAAGGGAUGUUAACACUUACCUGUUUGAAGAUUUCAAGAAUCUCACCUGUGGAUUUUCCCUUUUUGCUUUUAGCUAACCUCUGAGGAAAUGGAGCUUUGGGAACGUAUUCUCGUGAGUUGCUCGUCCUCUCUCUGGGUAAACUCCGAGAUUUCCUUGCGAAUAGCAUUGGUUUUAUGCACUGGGAAAUAUUUAUUCAAAAAUUUUGUAACCAUUUAUUCCCCAUGAUGCAAUGCUAUUAGCAGGCAAUGUAUUAAGCCAUGAACAAGAUCUAUCCUUUAAAGAAAAUGGGAAUAGUCUAAGUUUAACAUCAUCGUCUGAAAAAUUUUCAUAUUUAAAUGUUUGACAAAUGGCAUGAAAAUCAUUCAAAUGAUUAUAUGGGUCCUCAUUUUCUAGGCUAUAAAAUGUUGGGAGACAAUUUAGCACACUAGGUUUUAGUUCAAAACUCCUAGCAGCUACAUUUGGGUAUCUUAUGCAUGAUGUGCUCAAAUUAGCUAAAGGACUAAAAUAAUCCUUAAAUGGCCUCUCAUGUGGUGCUUGUAAAUCCAUUUUAUGUUUAACGUGUUUGUGUGUGCGAAGUGUUUUCUCAAGUUCAAGGUCUAUAGGUUCAAGAUUAGGUAAUAAUGACCUACGACCAUGCAUGCAAAACAAAUAAAAUAAAAAUAAAGAUGAGAACAAAACAAAUAAAGAAGAGGGAGAUAUUACGAUACUAACCUUAUUGCGCUAUUACAACAUUUCUAUAAAAAUACACAAAAACAAAUACGUGAAAUAAAUUAACUAAAAAUUAAAUUAAUAAAAUAAACAAAAAUUACAAAGAAAAAUAAAUUGAAAAUUAAAUUACAGAAUUUUAAAGAAGAGAAAAAGAAAAGAAAUACUAACCUUUAUAUGUAGAUUCACUUUUUUUUUCUUUUUUUUUAAUAAUUAAAAAAAUACAAGAAAACAAAUAAAAGAAAUUAUUCACAAAAAUUAAUUCUAUGAAUUAAAAUUACUUACCUCCCCGGCAGCGGCGCCAAAAACUUGUUGUGCAAAUUUUAAUGUACUCGCAAGCGCACGAAUCUAUUGUAGUAUAGAUCAAUGGUGACGAGUGUCGAUCCCACGAGGAGGUGGAUUUUAAUUGUGUAGAAUUAAUUUUGUAAAUGGGUGAUUGGAUUUGUGGUGGAAAUGAUUUGGAAUAUGCUAAAACUUAAAUUAAAAUGGCAAGAAUAAAUUCUAAAAUUGGUAUUGAAAUGGCGAGAAUAAAUUGAAGAGAAUUCUAUUGAAAUGACGUACUUGGGUAUCUGGAUCCGUAUCAACAUGCAUCAUGGGCUAAAUAAUCCUUAUUAAUGCCAAUUAAAUCAUGAGGGGGGAAUCCACACCACAUGAACCACGGUCUAAUCAAUAUGGUGCUAAGGGCUUAUCGUGCCAAAUAAUAAUAACCUUGUACUAGGGGGCCGGUGAAACCAAGGCGGUACUAGACAAGAUUAGUAUUAUUUGUCGACGAGAAGUCAAAACAUCCACAAAAACUAGAGGGGAAGAGAAAAUAAAUUUACCAAAUAAAGCCCAUGACACAUGUUGAGACUUCACCUUCAACCCAAGCUUGAAAGAAAAUUAGCCACUCAUAAUUGAACUAGGGGCAAAAUGGGAAUUUAUUAAAAUACGAAGAAAAUACAAGAUGGAGAAGGAAUUACAGAAAAUGGAUCCCAAAAAUGGAUUCAAAGAUCUCAAAUUAGGGGGGAGAGGCCCCCUUUUUAUAGAUACAUGGAGUAAAUCAUGGCCAUCGGAUUAAAAACAGUUUGGACGCUCAGGAUUGCGCCACGUCAUCAGUCAACAGUACGUGGUUUGACCACGCGGAUGAACAGUAACACGGUUUGACCCGGAUGAACAGUAACACAGUUUGGUUGAAAAUAAUCCUGUGUGAUGCAUGUACCGUACGCGAGAUUUUUCGUCCACUGAUAUGCUGCCACGUCACCAUCAACAAUUCAUAAGAAUUUUAACCCAACAGGAUCGUGACACCUCAUCAGUCAAUGCCACAUCAUCGGUCAAUGCCACGUCAUUGAUCCGUAUAUGUAAACAGUGUCGUGAACAGUAACGUAGACAGUACCGUACAUGUGAAUAGUGCCAUUUUUCCUUUUAUGCUCCUCCUAAGGUUUUCGACCGUCCUGAGUUCAAAAGUGAUGUCCGUUUUGCCGUCUGAUCUCUCUUUUAUUGUGAAAUGACUAUAAUGCCCCUAAAAUACAUAAAAUAUUUAAUUAAAAUAAAACACAUGUAAUUAAAUCACAAGAAGGUUAAAUACAUAAAAGUAAGGGUUGUUAGUAAGACUUGAAAUGUAAAAUAACGGUUUUCUCCUUUAUAAAUAUGCAUUUUCUAACACUCAACACUUGGCCCAAUUGUUGUUAUUAAAAUUUCAAUAUACAUAUAUAAGUAUGAUAUAGCAAAAAUUUGAUGGUACAUAUCUCGGAAUAUACUAGUUCAUGGAUGCAUUUGAUUAUUAUUUCCAUAAAUUUGAACCGAGAAGGAUGACAUGAUAAAAUUUGAUUUUAUGGUAUGGUUGAUUUCAGAUCUCAUGCCCUCAUUUCUUAAGAUAAUCAAAUUUUCUCUGGCAUCUUUUGCAACUGUGGAAAUAUCAAUUAUGAUCAAUCAAAACGAUUUCAAAACCUUUCAAUGAGACAUAUUUAUAAUACAAUAUUGUGAAAAUUACAACAAAAAUUUAAUUUAUUAAAUAAUAUAUUACUAUCCAACAAGCACACAAAAAUGAAUUCGUACAAAUCUAAAAUACUUAGCAAUUUUCAAAUAGAAUUUACCAUGUACUACAAGAAAAUAGGGUAUAUGUGACCCCUAAUGUGAAUGCAAAUUUGCAAAAGCAGCCAUUACGCAUGCCACUAACUUCUAACUUUGUAACCUCGAGUUGCUUUUGUUACCCUUUAUGUGACGGCCGCUGUCACAUAUGUUACUAACCACUCGUCACGGGAUGAGUAUUUUGCGCAGCUAACCCGUGCGGCACUUAGACAACUUUACCAAAUGUUGCUAAGUAAGCCUAGAGCUUCUCGAACUAGAGAAGAGAGCAAUUGAGCUGAAUGAGAAAACUUGUAUUGCACAAAGAGAGAAUACAAUGCUUGAGUUGCUUACAAAGCUUGUUGUUGUGAGUUUGUUGGAUGCAAAUGCCUAAUGCCAUCCCAUAUUUAUAGGGGAGGCUUGCCAAGCUCUAGAGAUUCUAGAGAAUUCUACCAUUUCCUAGCUAUUUACAUGUGCUGGAAAUGUAAAGAGAAUUCUAGAGUAUUUACAAGCUCACAUGUGCUAGAGUUGCCUAGAACUUUCCGGAAUUGGGCCAAGCUAGAACUCUUGGCCUUGUGUUGGCUCUCUAGCCCAAAAUUGUGGGUAAUUGGGCUAGCGAAUUGGGCGGACCGUAACAUCCUCCCCCACCUAAGCUCGCGGCGUCCUCGUCGCGAUCUCGUCCUUGCUCCUUUAGGGACUUGUUCCGCGAUUUGUCGUUAGUCUUCUUGUGCUUCACUCUUGGGGAGGUUCCGCCACUUGCUCCGCAUAUGAUCGUUUCCUUCUUUCGGUUGGUGUUGCGGCGUCCCCUCUUGUGUUUCCACAACUCAUCAUGCUCGGAUGGCUUUGUGCGUUGCUCAACCACUUGUCUUGAUGGGAGCUUCGGAGGCAUGGCGUCCUUGCCUUUAUCAUGGACGGUUCGUGCUUGUUGUGGGACUUGGCUUGGAGGGCUUUUGGAAUCCUCUCCCUUGUGGUGUUGCCGGAUGGAGACCAAGUGGUCCGAAUUCUUCUUGAAUCCUCAUCUGCAUUGCAUGACCGAGACCGCCUUUUUUACGGGUUGUGCACGCUCGACCGGUGCCACGCAUGCCUUACUCCCAUCGAAGAUGCUAAGGGAGUUCGUUGCUGGAAGUGGGAAGGCAUGUACCUUGUCGAAGAAUUCCAUGCCAAGGAUCAUUGCGAAGUCAUCCAUCGGCACAAUCGAGAAGUCGAGCUUCCCAUUCCAUGUCCCAAGCGUAACGUGUACGCCUCGUGUGGUUCCCCUAAAUGGCUUGGCGGGUGAGUUUACAGCCUUGAUGGUGCCUCCGUCUUGCGUUACCUUAAGGCCUAGACAUUUAGCCUCUUCUUCGGAGAUGAAGUUGUGUGCUGCUUCGGUGUCAAGGAGCGCACGAACGGUUUGACCAUUGAUGAGCACACUUACGAACAUGAGCCCUUUCCUUGUAGGUGUUGGUGGUUGGCUCACGAGUGUGCUAAGACGUUGGAGCGAACCCAAGUUGUGUUGAGGUUCCUCCGUAGGCGGUGUGUGUCGGCCCUUGAGUUGUGCCACGAGGGCACUCAGCGACUUUUUAUCCAGGCAGUCGCGCACUCAAUGAGGACCGUUGCAUAUGAAGCAUGGGCUUCGCGGCUUGGGUGACUUCUCGGAUUUACUUUGCCCGCCCUUGCCGCUUGGAAGCUUUUUCUUGCUCCACUCCUUGCAAUUGCGGUCGUUGUCCUCAUGGCUCUCUCCCCCACCUUGAUCGUAGCUAGACCUCUUGUCCUUGAGAUGGGCGGAGUAUUCGGUGAGAGACUCCGCAAUAGCAAUGGCGUCGUCAAGUGUUUGUAUGCCACGCCUGUCAAGCUCGGUCUUAGCCCAAUCCUUGAGGCCAUCUUGGAAGUAGAAGAGCGAAUCCUUGUCGGACAUGUUGCUUAUCUCCAACAUAAGGGUAGUGAACUCAUUGAUAUAGUCCCGAAUGCUACCCGAAUGCUUGAGGCGACGUAAGCGCGCUCGCGCUUCCUUCUCCGCAUUGCUUGGGGCGAACUGCUUUCGGAGUUCUUGCUUGAAGUCGGCCCAAGUGUCGAUGGUACAAAUGCCUUUGCCCAUCUCGCCAUGCUUGCGACGCCACCAUAGUUGUGCAGGGCCUCUAAGAUAGGUGGGUGCAGUGCACACUUUCGAUGCCUCAUCACGGACACCCAUGGCAUCGAAGUAUUGAUCCAGCCCGAAUAGGAAGUUGUCCACGAUUGUGGCAUUGUGUGUGCCAUCGUAUGUGUCGGGCUUUGGCACAUCAAUACGGUGCGCAUCACUCGAGUUUGUGGAAGCUGGACUUGCGGAGAGUGUGCGCUUGUGCCAUGCCCAAUCUGAGCGGACUUCAUCCACUUCCGCACGGACAGCGUGUAGUUCGUCCUGAACAAAACUACGAAGUUUGAGCAACUCAUCAUGGAAAGAACGAAACUCACCUCGGAGAGUGUUCGCUUGCUCUUGGAUGAGAGCUUUUGUUGCCACCGUGAACUCGGCGUAUUCCCCCUCGAGACUGUCCACUCGUUCCUCCAAUCCCUCGAGGCUAUCUUGAGCGGCGGACAAUGCGAUUUCGAGAGUAGUCACACGAGGCUCCAACGCAUCCACUGAUGCGGCUUUGGACUUGCCGCGAGUCUUGCUUUGGGCGCGUUCUCCCUCUCGGCUGCAGCUUGGUUCCGAUGGAACAUCCACACCAACAACACCCUCUUGUGCUACGUUCGAAGGGUUGGCCAUUGCUCGUGAGCUAACUUGCGUGCGUGCAAACCUUAGCUCUGAUACCACUUGUCACGGGAUGAGUAUUUUGCGCAGCUAACCCGUGCGGCACUUAGAUAACAUUGCCAAAUGUUGCUAAGUAAGUCUAGAGCUUCUCGAACUAGAGAAGAGAGCAAUUGAGCCGAAUGAGAAAACUUGUAUUGCACAAAGAGAGAAUACAAUGCUUGAGUUGCUUACAAAGCUUGUUGUUGUGAGUUUGUUGGAUGCAAAUGCCUAAUGUCAUCCCAUAUUUAUAGGGGAGGCUUGCCAAGCUCUAGAGAUUCUAGAGAAUUCUACUACUUCCUAGCUAUUUACAUGUGCUGGAAAUGUAAAGAGAAUUCUAGAGUAUUUACAAGCUCACAUGUGCUAGAGUUGCCUAGACCUUUCCGAAAUUGGGCCAAGAUAGCACUCUUGGUCUUGUGUUGGUUCUCUAGUCCGAAAUUGUGGGCAAUUGGGCUAGCGAAUUGGGCAGACCGUAACAACGUGACGGUACAGAGCCGUUCGGUAUAGCACUAUUUUAGAAAUUUAAAUUUAUUUCCAGUUAGAAAACUAUUCGCUGGACUAGCCACCAUCGUAAACCUAACUGGUUGCCGGCGAACGACAUAAAACACCGGGCAUCUUCUUCUUCAUCGUAUUCUCCCUUCAUCUUUUGAGGUAAGCUUGUGAUUAUGAGUUUCUUCUCUUACUUAGCUUGUAAUUAUAGAUUUUGAUUUUUUUUUAAAAUUCGUAUUGUAGCCAUUAUUGUCAAUUUUUGUCCCGCCAGCAAUAUUUUUUUAUUCGUACAAGUUGAAGCCCCUUUGUUCUUGUUCCAUUGGUGAGUUUGCUCACUCAAAUUAAUUUUGUUCUGCGGAAUUUACAAAGUUCAAAUGGAUUCAUUUGAAUUACUAUUGAAUUUAGCUUUAAUUCCAACAUCCAUUCUAAUGUUUUGCUAUUAGAUUUAGUUUAAUUUUAUGUUUAAAGCAUCUACAAUGAAUAGCGGAGCUUGGGUUUUAGUUUCAUUUUCUGGAUAACUUGUUUUAGUUUAUCUUGUAUGGUCACCAAGUGCUUGUUAUAUUGUCUGAUAAGUUAUAUACAUUGCUGAUUCUAUAUUAAUAAUGUUACGUUCUAUUUUCAGAAAUUAUAAUACAAAAGUUUUUACAAUGGCGUGCAUCUACAAACUGAAUUGACUUGUAGAAUAAGAGCUUGGAGUAAAUGAAAGUUCAUAUUGUGUAAGAGCAUGUAGAUGUAAAGCAUCAUUACCAUAUCUACAAAGUGCUUUCAUUAUGUUCAGAUGCUCUUCUUGAACUUUGAAAGGUGCCUCGUUCAAGUCCUAGCUAUAACUACUAGCUUUGAUUAAUUAAGUUCCUAUACUAGCUGAAAUAGAUUUAUUUAAUUAAUUAAUUGUGUAUGUUCUAAUUAUAUUAAAAGUAUAUGAAUUUUUUUUUAACAUGAAUGACUUGUAAAUGACUUAAAAACCUAAAGGAUGUGUGAAAUAAUGCUCAUUUCACUUGAAUGAGCCUAUUAAUACUUUUAUGUCUAUGAUUGUCAAAAUUGGCUUAAGCACUUCAGUUAAGUGGUUUACCUAACAGAGAAAAAAAUUUAAUAGGAAACUUCAGAGUUCUAACAGAAAUAUAGUUCACCAUGCAGAUAUAGUUAUUUUACGGUAUACAAAUCAAGUUGUCCUAAUCUCAAUGUCCUAUCACCGAUUUUAUUUGAUAUAGUCAUUAAUUUUUACCAUGGUUUUUUGUGUUUAUGAGUAUGAAAUAGUGGGAUUUGGUGUACCUUAGCAUCUUUUGGAAAUUCUCUUUAAGUGUGGCCAACAGAAAUAUACAUAUAAUCAAGUUUCUUAAUUGUGUAUAUUAGUUUUGGGUACGAAUGUUCCUAUUCUAGUUCUAGACAAAGCUUCUUCGUUUUGGUCUUCAGAUUUCCAGUAGGUUAAGUUAAUCAACUAUCAUAACUGGCUAGCUAGUUAUUGUCUGCCUUGGCGCCAUUACCCAGGCCAUUAUAUUGCAUAGCAUAAGGAAUAGUGAUUAGGUGAUUAUUAGUGAUUUGUUGAGCUUAUUAUUGACCAAACAAACAUAUUCACCUUUGCCCACAACUUAGUUUGAUUAGUUUUAGACCACAAAGAGCCUUGAUCUAUUCAUUGGCUUUAUUAUUUUUAUUUGGUUUUUCUUUCAACAUAAUUGUUGAUUUCUUAUAAAAAUAUUCAUUGGUUUUUAAACACCUAGUCAUUGGCUAUAUGAAGCAAAUUAAAACUUAGGCUUUGGAUCAAUUUCUUCUAACAAGAUACAAAUGAGCAUAACCUUUCUCCUCUAAGUAAUUUUUUUUAAUAUCCUUGAUUUGUAAGGAUCUGGAGGCGUGAAAUCCUCUAGAUUUUUUUUAACACUGUCAAUGUCCUUUUUAUUCUGAAAAGGAAAUAAAAGGUUUUAUCUUUCAUACCCUAAUAGUAAGCUGGCCUUGUCUUAACAUGGCUUCUUGAGGAUUUGCAAGAUUCGUUUAGAUGAUUAGAAUGAAACUAAGCGACUGGAAAGAGUGGAUGGUAGACUAAAGAGAAAGUGAUUGAUUAUUUUAUGAGGCCAAUUAACGUAAUGACAGAUCCGGUUUCGAUGUUUGUAAUUUGAGUAUGAGGUAAAUCGAUUCUUUGUCGAGCCAGUCAAAUACAAAGGCAAAUUAGUAAAACAAGAGCCAGCAACUUUUACUCACACAUAAGGCAAUAAUAUAUUGAGAUCACGCAACAUUGCAAUAAAGUUAUCAUCAAGUUGUAGCCUUCUUAUUCAAUCAAUUAUAGCAUUAUCUCUAGCUCUGUAUUUUUCAAAAAAAAAUUAUUCAAAAGAUGUCUGUCAUUAGUUUUUCAAUGAUUAAAAUUAUAAUUUUUGUUUAAUAUAUAUAACGUAAAAUUUUAAAAGAAUCAGACAUGCAUUAGGGUAAAAAUAAAAAAUAUGGAGGUAGCUUUUAACUAGGCAAUUGGCUCAACUAUGGAUCAGUGUGAGAUCGCUAUUUUUCUUAUAAAAAAAAUAUUCCAGCCAAACAAUUGUCGCAAAAUUUUAAUCGAAAUUACAAAAUAUAUAUAUUUUGAAUACCUGUAAAUAAACCACUUAGAAAGCUAUCGAAACACGAAUAUUAAUUUUUUAAAAUAUAUAUUUUUUCAAGCAAAUGCAGUGACAGAUCUGGUUUUGAUCCUCGUGACUUUUGGGUGUAACUGUGUAAGUACGGGUGAACGACUCUCUAGUCCAGGACAACUUGCACGUGACAUUUUAGUAUUAAGCAAACGGAAUUUUUUUAAAUUAAAUUAAUCUCAAAGUGAUAGGCUUCUCAUGAAUCAUGUAAUGUUGUCGUUUUUCAAGACAUGACAUUGCCCAUCACUUGUUUGUCACAAUGUCCAAAUAAAUAAUUUUUUUUUAAAAAAAAAGUUAUUUUCAUUCUUUCUUUUCAAGUAUCCUAAUUCCUUUCGCAGUUUGAUUCCUCUUUUCCUGAAAUUUGUUCCUUCCAUUAAACUAAUAAUUUAUUUAAAGGUAAUUAAGCGUCAGCCCCAAUUAUUUAGUAUUUCACACAGCACACCCACAUCUUUCGAUCAUGUGCACCUCUUCCUUAUUUCCGUUAAAAAAUCAACUAUCAACUAAUUCUAACUGUUUAGGCUGUUAUAAAUUUAAAAGACUAUACUACCCCUAUUUUGAAAUGAAUUGGGUAUAUAAGUACUAAAAUACCCUUACAACUAAUAAAAUUUAAAUCAAAAAGUAAAAAUUUAUUAUAAUAUUUUUAAAAUUACAUGGAAACAAUUUUUUUUCCGGAUUACGAACCCAAGAUUAUAAACCUAGUAAAUUACAAAAUCAGAGGCAAAGCAUGAUUCCAAUGUGAAAGAAAAAAAUCAAACACACAUUCAUCAAUACAUUACAAAAUAAGUCCAAUAAUCCCACCAAAACAAAUAAAACCCAAUAAGAAAGAAACCCGAAACUAAUGAUACCAAAAUCCAUGACAACAAAUUUCAUUGUAAAAUUCUAUUACAAAAUAAAUUCAUACUAAGAAAAUUCAAUAAAAAGAAACUCAAUAAUCAAAAAUCCUAAGACUAAAGAUAUCAAACCCUAAAUUAAAUUAUAGAGGCGGCGAAGGAAAAAGGGGUUUUUUUUUAUUAUAUAAAUUAUUUUAAUCUUGUAUUAAUUACCAUUCUACCCUUCUUUCCGUUAACGUUAGAUUUGAAAGAAAUGGGGGUGGUGGACGUGGUCAGAAGAUUGGAGGCACAAUGCAAAAUGUCGAAACAAUUGGGGCUAACGCUAAAUUACACAUUAUUUAAAUUAAAUUAUCCUAGUUGUAUUUGACUGUGACUGUGACUGUGACCGGAACCGUUACAAUCACUUAGUAUUUUUAUUAAUUAAUUAACAAUUUGUUUCAUCAUUAGACGGUACUAUGAUAGUUUUGUCACUAUGUUUGGUACCAUCUCUUAAAUCGUGUAACAAAGAUUUCAUGAAAAAUUAGAAAACAGCACGACAUGAUACAAACUCUUUUUUAAUACAUGUAGACCUUAUUUUUAAAAAAUGAACAUACAAACUUUUUUUAAUACGUGUAGACCUUUUUUUGUAUUUAAAAAUAGUUACACAGAUCCUCAAUUUGUGUGUCCCUCAAUAAAUUUUCAUGAUCAUUUUUUAAAAUAAGGGAUUUUUGUGAUUAUUUUGCCACGUCCAAGGAUGCCGCUAUUCUUGUCACCAAAAAUUAUUCUCAUUAAGAGUCAUGAUUAAUUGGACGUCAACAAUGUCCAAAUAAAUAAUUUUUUUUAAAAAAAAGUUAUUUUCAUUCUUUCUUUUCAAGUAUCCUAAUUCCUUUCGCAGUUUGAUUCCUCUUUUCCUGAAUUAUGUUCCUUCCAUUAAACUAAUAAUUUAUUUAAGGGUAAUUAAGCGUCAGCCCCCAAUUGUUCAGUAUUUCACACAACGCACCCACAUCUUUCGACCAUGUGCACCUCGCCCCUAUUUUCAUUAAAAAAAUCAACUAAUUCUCACUAUUACUGUUAUAAAUUUAAAAGACUAUACUACCCCCAUUUCGAAAUGAAUUGGGUAUAUAAGUACUAAAAUACCGUUACAACUUAUAAAAUUUAUAUCAAAAAGUACAAAUUUAUUAUAAUAUUUUUAAAAUUAUAUGGAAACGAAUUUUUUCCGGAUUACGAACCCAAGAUUAUAACCCUAGUAAAUUACAAAAUCAUAGGCAAAGCAUGAUUCCAAUGUGAAAGAAGAAAAUCAAACACACAUUCAUCAGUACAUUACAAAAAAUUGAUGGUUUAGCUUAUAGAGUCAUGUCUAUUAUUAUUACCUUGUAAACAAGUCAAAUGUCUCAAUAAUUUGACACCUCAAUAACUGAAACAAUUUAAACCCUUGUUUAGUAUUAAAGUUGGGCAGGUGUAGCUUAAAAGUUACAGUACCAAAGUGUUUAGUAAACACUAGCUAUUGCCGCUUAGAAAUUAAGUUGAUUUGAUCUCACACUUGUAUGACAAAACCUAUAGUGUCUUUAUUAUUUUUGUCAAAUUAUUAUUUAAUAAUUAUUUUAUUAUACAUUAUCAACUUUUAUUUAAUAGUUGCAACUUCUUUUUCUUUUUUCUUACUAUGCUAUAGCAUUUCAAUAUCAAAUAGGGCUUAAAUGAGAAACAACUUCUAAAUUAAAUGCGACGUCUCUCUUCUUAUUAUUUGCAUAAGUUUGCCUAGUGGAUUAAAUGAGCAUUGGUAACCAUAAAUUAUGUAGAAUUAUUUUAUUGAUAUAUUUUUUCUAUGAUUUUCAAAUUAUACACAAGAGCCAAAACGUUUUCAUGAUGGCAGAUUUAUUGAGAAAAAAAGUGUUCAUUCAAAUAAACCUCAUGAAUAUUCACAUGAAUUUAUGUGAUGAGAAAGGGAAAAAAAAUUCUUCCAUUCAUUCAUAUGAACAUCUUUAACUAUUUCCUAAAAUUUAGGAGGAAAAAAAUGAAUUCUUCAUUUAUUCAUAUAUCGAGUUUCAUAAUCACUCGUACUAGGUUCCUGGGUGUAAAUGACUGAGAUUUACGAUUUGAGGACAAUUUUGAUAUUUCAAUAGACUACAAAUGCAUGUUGCGUUCAUUUCACACCAUCUGAUACGAAAAAAAAAAUUGAUGUUUUGGCUUCUAGAAUCAUGUCAAUUAUUGCCAUAUAAAUAGGUCAAUUGUCUCAAUAUCAGACCUUUUAAGAAGCCAAACAAAUUAAAAAUCAGUUUAAUAGUGCUGUAGUUUUUAAAAUAAUUACUGUUAGCAGUACUGUAAAAAUAAUUAGUUGUAAAAAGAAUCAGUUAAAUAUUUGAUAAAAUUUCUUUUUAAAAUUACUGCAAAUUUUAAAAGUAGUCGUUUGUGUUUAGUAAAUUUUACUAUUAAACUGCUGUAAAAAUAUAAAUAAAUCAAUUGAACACAAUAUUGAAUAAAAUUUAUUUACGCAUUUAUAAACAUGUAUGAAAUUUUUUUUAUUGUGUAUAUAUGAUAAUUGAUAACUAAAAUAAAUAUUUUAAAUUAUUGAUUUUAUUUUUUUAUUUGGUUAUCUUAAUAUAAUUGGUAAUAAUAAUCUCUUUAAAUUAAUGAUUUUAUUUCCUAAUUAAUAAGGAUAAUUGUAGAUUUUUAUAAUAUAAUUGAAUAUAUAUAUAUGAAAUUGUACUAACUGUAAAACUGAUUUUCAAAAUCCGAUUAUGAAAAGAUACUCCUUCCACGCUUUUCAAAACCUGCUAUAGGACGGGGUGAUUUAGCUAAAAGUAAUUUUAAAAAAAAAUUGUCAAACACCAAAAUUGACAUUUAGUUUUUUAAAAUUACUUUUGGGAACUCCCAAAAGCAAUUUCAAACGGGCUUCAAGGUCUUAUUUGAUACUAAAGUUGGGCAGUUAUAUCUUAAAAGUUACAGCUAUUUAGUAUAUAAUAGUUGUUGUGAUAUUGAAAAUACAAAUUGAAGGACUCUUUUUGUCCCAAAACUGAUAUUGAAAUCCGAAAAGUUACAGAAAUGGUGUGUCCACGUAUAAAAGUGAAGAGACAUAUUUGAUUUUAGGUUUAAAACUCAGGGUCCACGUACUGAAACUUCCGUAAUAAACAUAGGGCGAUUUUAUUGCAAUGGUCACCUACACUGGCCUACUUAUUUAUUUGAGUUGGCACCGAGCUUGAAAACUGCGGGAAAGCAAACUGACUGACAAUGACAAUACGAAGCUUGGCCUUUGGCCGGAACCACAUUUCACCACACAUUAUGAUAUUAGAUCUUUCAUUAUUGAUCACAUAUUCACAUUAUCUAACUUCAACGGAAAAUUACCUUCUAGAAAGUGCUCGUAUAAUUGUUUAUAUAUAAGCAGUCUCCAAACUUAUCAUCAAUUUUCCAGAUUCACCGAAAAAUGAGCUGGCGCUGGGCAGGUAGUAUUGGCGCUGCUAAGGUAAAGAUCAACCCUCUAAUUAAGUCUCUUCACUUGAAAAGCUUAUAGAUACACGUAACAUGCUGAUAUUUAAAAUAAUGUUUGUUUAAUUUUCGCUGUACAGAACAAAUUGGAAGAAGAUGCGCGACUUCAAGACUACCAGAACGUGGGACUUGUAGUAGGCGUGACAGGAAUUGUAGGCAACAGCCUAGCUGAGAUUUUGCCCCGAUCAGAUACCCCCGGUGGCCCGUGGAAGAUCUACGGGGUGGCGCGACGUCCCAGGCCUAACUGGAACGCCAAGUACCCUAUUGAUUACAUCCAAUGCGACGUUUCCGACCCAGACGAUACGCAAGCCAAGCUCUCAAAACUCGCUGACGUCACCCACAUAUUCUAUGUGACGUGGGCCAGCCGUCCCACUGAAGCCGAGAAUUGUCAGAUCAACGGCGCCAUGUUUCGUAACGUGCUCCGUUCUGUAAUCCCGAAUGCGCCUAAUCUCCGCCACAUCUGUCUCCAAACGGGAGGCAAACAUUACGUCGGUCCAUUCGAGUGUAUUGGCAAGAUACCGUCUCACGAUCCGCCUUUUACUGAGGAUUUGCCAAGACUAAACGUAUCACUUUUUUACUAUAAUCAGGAAGAUAUAUUGUUUGAAGAAGUUGACAAAAGACGGGGUUUGACUUGGUCCAUACACCGACCUUCCGGAAUAUUUGGGUUUUCACCUCAUAGUUUGAUGAAUAUUAUAGGCACUCUCUGCGUGUACGCAGCUAUUUGUAAACACGAAGGUGCUCCUCUUGUAUUUCAUGGGACUAGAGAUGCUUGGGAAGGUUUCCAAGAAUUUUCAGACGCAGAGUUGGUUGCGGAGCAGGAAAUUUGGGGGGCAGUGGAUCCUAAUGCAAGAAACGAAGCUUUCAAUUGCACCAAUGGAGAUGUUUUUAAGUGGAAGCAUUUAUGGAAAGUGUUGGCUGAGCAGUUUGAGAUUGAGAAUUAUGGGUUUGGAGAAGAAAUGGGUAGUGAGAGGGUGAGAUUGGAGGAAGUUAUGAAAGGUAAAGAAAGUGCGUGGGAGGAGAUUGUGAGAGAGAAUCAGCUGCAGCCAACAAAAUUGAAUGAGGUUGCUGUUUGGUCAUAUGCAGAUGUGGUGUUGAAUAUUGGUGCGGGUUAUUUUGUUAGCAUGAACAAGAGUAAGGAGCACGGGUUCUUGGGUUUCAGGAACUCUAAGAAUUCGUUUAUCACAUGGAUUAAUAGGUUGAAAAGUCACAGGAUUGUGCCUUAAGUAUUUUUUUUUUUUUUUCACUUUUUGAUUUGGUGCCUCGAGUAAUUGAAAAGCCACGAAAAAUUAAUAGUUCAACCCGUGAUUGGUUUGGCUGGAAAUUGUACCCUUUUGUUAGAUCCUUGUUUUGUUAAUCAAAGAAUUUUACCUCAGGUAGAAAAAAAAAAAAAAAGAUGCCUUUGUUGUUGCUAAAGAGUUAAUAAAUAAAUACAGUACUGAAUUAUCAACCUUAGAAAACCUCCAUUAUACAUUUCUGAAUCACGUACCUUCAAGUUAUAACGACCCAAUGUUCAAGUAAUGCCUAAUCCUAGUAGUCUAAAGCUUCUUUAAAUGGUUCGUGUGUCGAAAGCACUCUCUUUCGAACCAACCGAUUCACUAGACCAGGAAAAAAAAAAGAUUGACUGUGAAAAUAUUAAAAAUUAAAAAUGAAGUCUUUCGAAAUUUUUUAACCGGACAGCAUUUGUUAGAAAGGGGAGAGAGAGAGCAAAGGGUAAGAAAAGAAAAUUAAAAUAAAGUUUAUGGACAUUUAUCAUUUUACAUUAAUUAUUCGUUAUAAUUAAAGGAUGAAAUUAUAAUUUUAUUUGGUCAAAUUGGUCAACACUUUCAUUUAAUAGAAAAUCUAAAAGACCAAGCCUAUUCUCAGGCAUUCUUGGGGAAGAAUAAACUAUUUAUGUCUAUUUUAAAACUUUGAUGGUAGAUCUAUACUAAACUAAAAAUUGUUACGGGAGAUUCUUGUACCACUACGUAGCUCGAAAGAGGAAGACUGAAGUGGUACUAAAUUUGCUAUGAAAUGAGUUUAACGACCGCAUGCAAACGAACAAUUAUAAGAAAAGUUUAGUUGAGGAGCGAGCAAAGAUAUGCUGACCAAUACAAUAUUUGAAAAAUAUAAACAUAUGUUUUUAAACUAUUAUUAUUAGGCUAAUGCUAAGUUACAUGCAUGUGACUUAUAACCCUCUCACAUAAAUAGUGAAUAAUGUUGGUCCACUCACUAUUAAUGUGAGAUGGUUGUAAGUUACAUGCAUGUAACUUAGGGAGAUCUUAUUAUUAUCAUCAUCAUCAUCAAAUAAAUAUAGUGCAAACAUGUCUAAAAACAGGCGGGAGCCGGGUUUGAUUUAUGUUGUAUACUUGUGUAGGCCGCUGUUCAGAUAUAGUCCAGCCCAAUGGAAGCAAUAUGUAAGCCCAACACGGGUCUUCAUCGAUUUAUGCAAUGCAGUAAAAAAACAUAUCUAAUGGAAACAUCUACUGAAUUUGAAUCAGUUACUGCAAUUAAAGUUACCAACCUUGUAUGAUUGAACGAAAAUAUUAAUAUUAAGUAUACAUUAUUGGUAGAAGAAAAAUGACAUUUUUUGGAGAAAUUCUAUAAUGCAUUAGAAGUAUUAUAACAGUUAUAUAACAAGUAAAUGAUACUGUGAUAUUUAUGUAUUUAUUGUGAAAGAUCAUUAUGUAAAAUAAUGGUUACAUUAAAUUUAAUUAUACAUGUCAUGCAUACAUCAAUCGAUUAUAUUACUACUAAUGAAUUAUAAAAUUUCUCAAUUCGCUGAUAUUAUGUUUAAUAUUAAAUAAAAAAAUAUCAGUAUUUGAUGACUUACGUAGUUUUUAACAUUUUUAACGUACCAGCAUCAACAGUUAUUGAUAUUAUAGGAUCAUAAACCUUCACUCAUGCGAAGAUUUUAUAUUUUAUUUUAUUUUGAAAUUUAUUAUUUCAUUUAUUCUUAACGAUGUCGUUUUGGACAUAAAAUUUAGAUAAAUUAUUAAGUCUUCAUCUUCUCUUUCUUCACAAAAUCGUUUCCCUCUCUUUCCUGACACAGUAUCUCAACAAAACAAAAUACCAAAAUAAAACAAAGGCCAAAACCAAAAGCAGAAACAGAUCAAGCAGCUCAACCUCUCUAGCCUCUUAAUGAAUAAUGAUAGAUCGAACCAGAAGCAAAACAGUUGAGUUGAAGAUCGAAGCUCUAGGUCAAAACACACUCUCUCUUUCUCAAUUUUUGUAGUUUUUUCUUUCGACUUCAUCAAAGUCUAAACCCUAAAUGCUCGCCUUCUCAAGCACAACAACUUCAAAAGGAUUUAUCAUUUUCUUGGAGAUCUUAUAGAGUCGUAUUCUUAGCAUCAUCAAAGUCAGCCGCGUCGAGCCGUCAUGGUCUGUGUGACAAGCUAAAAGGUCACAUUGACUUGAGCAAAAGAAUAGUUAAGCUUGUAAAUAGAGGCAGAACAAUUAGCAAGCUCGUUCACUCUAUCGUGCGACCCGUGCCUGAGACUCUUGGAAUCGAAUUAGAGGUAUUGAUUUUGAUUUGAUUGUCGACAUAUUUUUGUUUUUAGAUUUUUUUUUUUUUUAUAUUUUAUAGUGUUUAAUUAGCAAUAAAUUUGAAUUUCUAGAGUAAUUUAGGUGUACUGGCGAAUUAAAUGUUGAUUUUAUGUAUUUACUUUUUGAUUUGAAAUCCGCUUUCUCUUAAGUGUUAUUCGUUUGUGUUUCGAAUGCAGGUUUAGUGCUUGAUGAAUUGCCUCAUUCGGGUCUACUUUUUAUGAUGCAGAAAACUUAUUGUUUUUUUUUUCUAUCUAAAUUUGGUUGUUAUUAAUUAAUAAAAGUAGAGAGAUUCAGUUGUUAUUCUUGGUUCUUUAUGCAGAUGGUGCUCUUGCUUUUCUUCUGUGUUCUAUUCUUUUUGUUCAAGAUAUUUAUAGUUGUCGAUCCAAUAUUUAUUUAUUCAUUAGUUUUUACUGAAAGCAUAAAUACUCUUCCACUCGCCAAAAAUUAUUUUAUUCCAGUAGUUUUUCAAUUGUAAUGCCAGCUAGGUCCUACCAAUGCUAUUAUUUUAUGCCAGUAGUUUGAGUUCAGGUUCCCAGUGGUUUUCUUCAUUUUAAACGUGGUUAGGCAAUUGGAGUAUUGAUAACAUUCAAGCCGUUUUUAGUUCAACGCCGCAACUAGAGAAAGAUCCUUUUAAUUUUCAAGCCAAUUAAGUUUUCGGAAUGCUUCAACCAAGUUAUUUCUUUGGGGUUCCACAUCAGUUUUUGGGGUAGCCAUAAACUUAUGAUGAUGAUGAUGAUGAUGAUGCUCUCGCCAAUUGAUUAUUGCUAAUUUUCUUUGUACCUAUUAGCUGUUCCAGGCUAUCUUAUUGCCAUUUUUACAAUGUUACUAAAAUUUGUUGGUAUAGCAGUGCCCUUUCAUUAUAGUUGGCCUCUUAUGAGUGUAAUUAAUCUCAAAUAUCAACAUUAUAAAUUAUGAGUGUAAUUGAUUGGGUAAAUACUCGUUUAAUCCCUAAAUUUUGAUAUAAGUGUCCGUUUAAUCUCCAAAUUUUAAAAAGUGCGUAAAAACACUCUUAUUGUUCAAUAUGUUACAUUCUUAUCAUUGUUUGUUUCUUUUCUUUUACAAUAAUAAUAUUGCAACAAUAUUCUUGACAUUAAUUAAUUUAUUUAUAAAAAAAUUAAUUAGCAAAUUAACCAAUAAAUAUAAGUGUGAAAGAACUAAUAUUUUUUGUAUCUGUUAAACAAUCUUACUAAUAAUUUUUUAUAAAUAAAUUAAUAUUAGCCUACUUAAAGUAAUGUCUAAUAUUUUUACAAUAAUUUUACUAAUAAUUAUCACGUCGGUAACGUCGAUUUUUACCGACGAAUCAUAGGUUUCGAAAAUAUAGUGCCUUUUGAUAAAUCGAGAGAGUGGGGACAAGCACCUUCUCGGAUGUCUGGAGCUGAAGUGAAAAAGCAGUUGAAUAAUAUCCUUACUGAGUUUAAGAUUGAAGACUUGAAAAGUGGAGAAUGAAUAAAAUGAGAGAAAUGACAAGAUUACUUGGAAGAAGAAAAGCAUAUUUUAUGAACUACCGUGUUGGGAGUUCAAUUUGAUUCAUCAUAAAAUGUGAGACAUGAGGGAGAGACAAAAGCUCAGGCUUGUCUGCAACCAUGUGGGCCCUCAUAAGCAAUUCGUGUACACAACUUGGUUCACCAAGCCCAACAACUUGAAGCAGGCAAAAUCCGGGAACGAUCCUUCUCCUUCGCAACCCUGGCAGCCUUAACCUUGUAUUUCUGAUAUUUAGUUAAAGAGUAAGAAGAUUGCUCCUCUGUCAAUUACCUUCGAGAGAGACUUUCUUUUUCAUUAAUCGAUGCUUGCUUGUGAAAGCAAGGGUUUUAGUUACACUUUCAACGCUGUCAAUGUAGUGAAGUAAAGCAUUCGUAGAAUAAUGAAGAUGGAAGCCCCACAGCAUGAAAACUUUUAAACAGUAACACAGCUCUUAUUCCAGAGGCUGCACGCGAGUGACCUGAAUCUUCUUCAGAACUUUCAAAUUUUAUCAAGCAAAGCUUUCAAAAUUUCUCAACAAAUUGAUUAUUUGGUGUGGUUGCCACAUUUUGAGUAACUGCUAUUUGUUCUCAAGUACAAAAUCCUUGCCCUCCUAAGUUAGGAAAUAUAGAUGUGAAGCAAACCAAAUGAAAUAAAUGGGUAAACAGAACAAACAGUGCAAAAAUUAAAAAUGAUGGCAAUUAACAAAUUAACUUGUAUUUCUGAUAUUUAGUUAAAGAGUAAGAAGAUUGCUCCUCUGUCAAUUACCUUCGAGAGAGACUUUCUUUUUCAUUCACCAAAAUAAAAUAAAUUUAGAAUUUCAAACAGUACUAGUAGUAAAAAAAUGACGACAACAACAAAAAUAGAAAAUUACAAGACUGCUGAUAAAAUUUCACUUGCAGGCAUUUCUCACAAAAUUUCUGUGAUUUAAUGUGCUUUCAUGCACGCAAGUCCUAACGUUUCUGUGAUCACAAAUGAAACUGAAGAUAAAACAGAACAACUACCAAACCUUUCAAGCGUGACGAAGCCAUGAGAAUUGAUAGCUCAAUGUCAUGGGAUGAGUGUUUUGUCACUAAAACAGAACAAUAAUUUUGAACACACCAUGUGGCAUUUAGACCAUUUGAUAGUUUGUUUCAAACAUAUUUGUUUAUAAAAUACUUUUCUUCAUGGUUUUGGUCCCAUAAUUUUCUAUGUAUGUACAGGUUUUAUCGAUACCGCUUUUGACAAGUUACACUUACAUAGCAAUGCCCUUUUUGAUAAACUGUGCUUCUGUGAUGAAGAAUGUUUUAGCUGUAAGUGGAUAUCCUAAUCAUUGAUCCAUAUACUUAGGUUAUAUUAUCCAUCAGCAAGUAUGUAUAAAAUUAUUUUGUGUCUUUUUUUAUUAGAAAUGUUGUAAUUCUAUUUUACUCUUCCUGAAUUAUAACAUCAGGUGUCUAUAAUAACUAGGUUAUUCCUUCUGCAAAACAGAGCAGUGGUAAAUAUUUUUUUUCUUUUGUUUGUUUAGUACAUUUACAUGCUUUCAGCUUUUUCAAAUUUUGUAUGUGUCAAAGUUUAAAUUUAAUUUGUUGGUUUAUGCCACAACAAAAGGAACAGCAUCAAAGAGGAGCUGCUAAUGGACUUGCUAUGACUGUAGUGUCGCUUACCAAAACUGCCGGUCCAGCUGUAGGAGGUGCUCUGUGAGUGUCCUGUUGAUUUUGUAAAACUAUAUGUAAAUGAAGUUAUAAUUUUUUUUUUCAUUAAUUGGGGUUCUGGCAGAUUUUCUUGAUCACAAAAGCAUCAAGAUGCUGGUUUCCUCCCAGGUAUGAUGAUCUACUAAUGAAAUUUCUCACGAGUUGGUGAAUUACUUUGUGCUAAUUAGCUUAGUUAGCUGCUUAAACUAAAGUGCAGGUAACCAGAUGAUUUUUUUCAUUUUGAAUUUGGUCGAGGCACUAGGAGUAAUAUUGACAUUCAAACCAUUUCUAACUCAACGUGCCCCGUGAGUAGAGAAAAGAUGCAUCUGUUGAAAUAUUCAAAUAUAUGUCGAGCAAAUUAAAGCUUUCAAAAUCUAUCAACAAUUUGAUUAUUUGAUGUGGUUUGCCACUUGCCGUAUUUUGUUUUGCUGUUCUAAAGGCUUAAAUAUGAAAAUGGUGGUUGGCGCUCACACCAAUCGAUUGCUGUUAACAUUAAUUGUUCAGUACUUUUCUCUGUCGACAUUUAUACUUGUUCAUUGUCAGAACUACGACAAUUUAUCUUUACAAUGAUGCAAGCUAGAAAGAAUUUUUCAUGUUAAGUAAAAUAUUGAAGCCACAAAGAGUCUGAAUUAAGUACUAAGUUUUCUGCCAUGCUUUCAACGGUAACACAUUUGUAGCUCUUAUUCCAGGGGCUUCACAGUAGAGAGACCUGAUUUCGACCUUCUUCAGAACUUGGGGAUUCCGUAAUAACAGAGGACAACAGUUAUAUAAGAAUAUUAUUUUGUACAAUUUUCGUAUAACCUGACCAAUGCAAGUAUAAUUUGAUGAUCUUAACUCAGAUCAAAAGACCUUCAAUGAUGUAAAAUUUGAACAUAAAGAUGAGAACCAAACAUUAGAACUUAUGAUGAAACGGAAACAAAAACAUUGAGAUUGAAAAGAUAGAGAAACACAAGCUUUUUAAAAGGAAUAAAUAUUCAUUUAGUCUCUAUAUUUUGACUUAAGAGCGCAUUUAGUUCUUAUAUUUUAAAAAGUGCCUCAACCUCAAGACACCCCUACUGUGUUGGAAUAAUAUUUUUGGGAAUAUCAAUGAAAAGAAACGAAUGGUAAUUCAUCUAGCCAGCCUUAAACAAAAUAAAUAUUAAUAAAAACUUUUAUGUUAUUAUUUUAGUUUUAGGACUAAUUUCGUAAAUUAAUUUUUUUAUGCAUUUAUUAGUAAGAUUGCUUUAAGAAUAUUAAACAUUACUUUAAGAUGGCUGCUAUUGAUUUAUUUAUAAAGAAUUAUUGGCAAGAUUGUUGUAAAAGUACAAAAAAAUACUGGUUAUUUCAUAUUGAUAUUUAUUGAUUAAUUUUCCAAUUAAAUUUUUUAUAAAUAAAUGAAAUUAAUUUAAGAAUAUUAUUGCCAAGAUAUUAUUGUAAAAGUAAAUAAAAUUUAAGGAAAAAUGUAACGUAUUUAAUAUCAAGGUAUAUUGAGGUAUUUUUUAAAAUAUAAUAACUAAACGAGCAUUGAAGUUAAAAUAUAGGUACCAGACGAACAUUUUCUCUUUUAGAAAGUUUUAUAUUUUAUUAAUGAAAGUCUGAAUAACAAAAUUAAGGUUUUGGACUUCUUUUAAACUAAACUUAAAUAUAACAAAUUUACCAAAAUAACUAAACCUAACAUAUUACUACAUAAUAACAUUCUCCUAAUUGAAAUAAGAUAAAUGUUACUCAAAUUCUAUAUCUAGAAAAAAAAAAGAUAAAAAUCCUAAAAACAAUAGGAAAAUAGAUCUUAAACUUGUAAAAUAAUAUGAAAUAAAUAUAAUUUUCAAUCGAACCACGAGACUAAUGCGGCGCUACAGUAUUAGAUUAGUUUCCCCUCGUCGCGAACUUCGAAAUGUAUAUUAUACACCCUAAAUAGAUACUUAUAGCUCAAGUUGUUACCCUAGAGAGAUACUCCACUCAUCCUACGCAACCUAGAGAGAUACUCCACUCAUCCUACGCAACCAUCCGCUGCAUCAAAUUCGUUCCAAAAUUAAGAAUAAACCAGCUGAUGCAUUCCAAAUAAUUUAGAUGAAACGAUAAAAUAAACCUAGAGAUCAAAUAACAUGAAAUGAAAAAGAUAAUUACCUUGGACUGAAGCUCAUACAAAUUCAUUAUUUGACACCUGCGGCAAUUGUUGAAAUAAUAGUUAAUGAAAUAUAAAAUAAGACAAGUACAUAUUAAUGAAACACCACUGUGAAUCGAUAGCUAAGGACGGAGUAAAAUUUAAUUGUAAAUUAGGACAGUAGAGCAAGCAUCCAUAAACAUAACAUGAACGUAAUACAUCAAUUGAAAUAUCAUAGGAUAAAUUGGGACAUCAGAGAAAGAAAUAAGUAAAUAAAUCAGCAAAGGAAACAUGCAUAAACAAAUAAAAAAACAAAGACAAAAUAAGGAAGAGUUUGUGAUAAUUUUCUUCUAUGGUCAUUGAAGUCCAAAAACUAAUAAGGAUCGAGCAAUUGAACGGUUGCAAACUCAAUGGAAAUACAAUGGAACCUUAAAAAUGAACAGUGAAGGAAAAUGAAGAAAUCUGCAGGAAAUAAGACGAGUGAGAGUGAAGAAUUAAUUACCACUGAGUAAAUGCGAAUGAAGAAUGGAGACAGAUCCUUCUUCGCCCCAUUGAGAAGUGAGAUUCAUAGAUUGCAUUGAAAUUGAGAGUUGAGAUCAAGAAGCGAUUCUUCUUCUCCGUAAUUUCCUUUUUCUUUUAAUGUUGUUAUUAUUAUUAUUUUUUUUUUUUUUCAAUUUCAUGAUAUCUUUUUUGUUUUAAACAGUAUUGGCAUAUUACAUUUAUUUAUGUUAAUUUUACAAUACCUCCCUUCAGAUUGCACAAAUUACAUUAAAAAAAAAAGUGCUUUAUGUAUAAAACUUUCAAACAAAUUGGGCCAAAAUCUAACUUUACCAAGUUUAGAGUAAUUUUGGGCUCGACAUUCCAUUUCCGACAAACGAUUUUUCUUGGCGUUUGAUUUUUCUUUAUACUUUUCAUAUUUAUCCAACGGCUCGUCAAUGACAAUACCUUUGUAAAAAGUACUUAUUUUGAAUAUUAUAUUGUGGAAAUGUCUGGUCGGUAAUACAACUAUUUCUUAUAGUGUAAAACUGAUACACUAGCGUUCACAUUUUGAUGAGUAAAUUAAGGAUUUCAAGAUGAAGUACAUAAUUAGAUUAAUGCUAAGAAACUGAAGUUUGAUCGAUUGAAAAUGAAAAUAAUAAUGAAGGUAAUUAAGAAAAUGAACAAUAUAUGCAGAAGCGGUCCUAUUAGGACUUCUAGAUUUUCUCUUGGGCUUUCCUUAUUAUUGUUAAAAAAUGACACGAAGAACUUUGAGUUUAAAAAUCUGGCCCUGAUGCCUGGUAGCCCUCCAUGAAGCACCAGAUGUUUUGAUGAGAAAUGACAAGACCAUUUAUCAAAUUUCUUGUGGAUAUAAAUACAUACACAUAGACGAGACCAACCUCCUCAAAUGAGAAUCAGAGUGAUUAAAAGACCUUGCAAUGAGACAAUGAUACACCAUCAAAUGUCAAAAUACAAUAGAAAUUCACGACAUAUAUAUAAUAAAAGACCUCUCAUUGAGUCAUAUAUAUUGAGAAUAAAAAUGUUAUAAUACAUACACAGAGCUUAGCUAGAAUAAAAUGUCUUUGAACUUGCGAUGAUCAAACAAAGGAAACAGACAGGUUGUAACUCACACUAUCACAAGAAGAUCACGAAGAUGAAAAUGGGAACCCAUCAGAAUGGAAACUUUGAAUAGAUGAAAAAAGAAAAACGACCUUAUUCACAGAAGAAGAGUGACUUAAAUCUUCAUCAGUAUCCAGACAUUUUGCAAUCAUAGAGUAGAGAAAUUUUAACAGGAACAGCAGAGAAAAUAUUAUGAAUAUGCUAUAGACCAAUAUACUUGUUCAUAGCUAACGUUUGAUGGUUUAAGGAUUUGUUCUAGGAAUAAUGGGCUGAUUACUUUCUUUUUAUUUUAAUUUUUUUUUAAUCCAAUGAAUGAUAUUCAGCUGUUAAUUAUGUGUUCAUAGGGAAGAACAUUUUCUAAGUACUUUCCUUGCCUUCUAACUUUCCGAAAAGCAAACCCAAUGAGCAAACAGAGCACAAACUAAAAUAAAAGAACAGCAAUGAUAACAAUAAAUAAUUGGCAAAGAAAAAAAGGAAAAAGUAUGCACGUUUUCAAGGAAUUAUAAAAUAUGAAGGCUUUUAAUGAAACUUUAUCAUACAAAGUAUGCAAGGAAUUAUAAAAUUUUAGAAAACAAGGGGAGCUCUCAAAAAAAAAUGAAAAACUCAAAUUAAACUAGACUAAAAGACAUUCAAUUUUGCAAAAUCUGUCCAUAAAAGUCUGAAAGGAUCAUUAAAAUUGCAUUGCAAAUUUAACAGUAAACCGAGGGACCCAUUCUAAAUAAUUCAGAUGAAAUUGCGAAACAAGACAUGGGAUUAAAUAAAUGAAACAAUCUAAUAAAAAAAAAAUAAAUGAAACAAAAAUUAAUUACCAGUUGAGACUUUCUUCUAAAAAUUCGCAACUCCAAGUCACAAGAAGCCUAUGAAAUUAGUCGUACUGCGUAGAGUAUGACGACGACACCGCCAACAGCCGACGACACCGCCAACAGCUGAAAGUAAAAUUCUUAUUCAUCAAAUAUCUUAUCAAUAUUGUAUUUAAGAAAGCAAAUUUUGUAAAAAUUUAUCAUGGGAGAUAAGAGUAAUAUGUAUAUACGUACCUUCUCAGCAUGUAAUGUUGUAUGGUUGUGUUUAGAUAAUUAUUAGCCCAGCGCCGUUGAUCCGCUGUCUCUCCAUACCAGACAUUUACUCUUGGAGGCGUGAUUGCUUCUCCUGUAGUGAAAAUCUUCAUCUUGGGACAACCAAUCACCCACAACUCUUGCAAAGAUGGGAAUUGGAAGGUGUAAUUGGCAGAGCAGAAACUUGUGAGGCUAUCUAAAUCACGCAGUUCCAACGUCUUCAAUUUGCGGAAAACAAUCUCUUCUUUUUCAACUCCAUCUUUGUCAUUUAUUACCACCUCUGUCAUUGCUCUGCAUCCAUAUAUUUCUAUUGCUACGAGUCGCACCAGAGUUUUUGCUGUGGAGGAUGUUACCAUGUGUAACAAUUUCUUGCAACCGAAAGCCACCAGAGCUGUUAGGUUCUGAAAAGAUACCGAUGAUGAUGGCAAUAGAAUUAACAGACUUUGACAACGAUAUGCUUUUAGAAUUUCAAGAUACUGAAAAGUGGGGCCAAGUUUGGAGUCUUGUUUGCACAGCUGCUUCAGAUGAUAGUGCCAGCGCAGCUCUAAUGUUUUUAUCAUUGCCAACUUCCCCGCAUGUUUCUCUAAGCUUCCUUCCUCCGAAAAUACCUCUUCGUGGAAUGAAAAUUGAAACAGUGAGAGUAUUUCAAGAUUGUGAAAUCUCUCAAGUACAUUCCAGAUUGGAAAACAAGCUGAGUUAUCUUCGGCAAUCUCUAGUUGUUUAAGACUGCCAAAAAGGUGUUGUGGGAAAUCGGCCUGCAAAAUCAUCUUCACGUCUUUUCCAUUCAAUGAUAGGUCCUUCAAGUUGGGUAAGAUCUGAUCAUCAUAAAUCAUAAUAACUAAUGAGGUCAAUUGAUGUUCUCUCAAAUGAUUUUGAGUAAUCCAAUUACAAGCAGUGACUUUAUUGUAUCUGUUUUAUAUUAAUUUUACCCCCAAAAAAAAUUGAAUUAGUGAUAAAAUUCAUUAUAUGAUUUUUUAUAUGUUAAUUUUAGAGGUAAAAAAGAAAUUAGGGAAAAAUGGUUGAUUUAUAUUUGCAUGAAAAUAUUUUAUUUCACAACAAUAAAUUAUUAAUUUAUAUUGUAAGUCCUUGUAUAAAGAAAAACUAAGGAUUCUUUACCUAAAAAAGUUCAUAUAAUUAUUAAUCUCCCACAUUGAUCCCUUAGUCAAGACUAGCAAAGAUUAUUAUGUAAUAAAAAUUUUUAAUUUAUUAAGUAUUAAUUUAUCAGUGUUUUGUUACAUUUUUCAAAGUCAAAAGUCGUCAAUGAGCUAUUGAAAAAAAUAUCUAGAAAAUGACUUCAUACCUUUUCGAACGGCAAUAAGGGCUGUUGUGCAGGAAUAUCAAGUUGAUUAUUCUCUUUAUUCUGCGAUAAAUCUUCAGCAAAUAUUUUUAAUUUGUCACAACGACACACUGCAAAAUUUUCUAGUGCUGGCCAUUCCGAAGUAUGCAUUCCUGGGUAUAAACAUCUAAGUUUUGGUAGACCUUGGAGUAUCAGAACGGUGGGUUGUGGAAAGACAAAAUAAGGGAUCACUUCAUCUGCUCUGUUUUCAAAACGAUCUCCUGUAAAUCCUUACAGUCUCAUAUAUCUAAGUGCUGGAGCUGCUUGAGGUUUCCGAUCAUAGACGCUGAAAAUAUGUAUUUCAGUUUGUCACAGUACCACACAACUAAUCGUGUUAAACUUUGAAAGUGAGGAAACACGGCCGCCAGAAUUUGAUUGUAAUGCCAAAUCUUGUCGACAUUAAUUGCAGAUAUCUCCAAAGCCACCAAGUUAGGCAACGCAACCUAAAAAAAUAAGAAUUUCUCGUUAGAUCCAAUAUCCAUAUAGGAAGCACUUGUUGAAAUUUUCUUCUUUGAUUACAAAUUGUUGAAAGUCAGAAUCAAUUUCCAACUGACAGCUGAGUUUGAUGCAUUCUAAUUCAUACUACUUGUUAAGAGCUCAAUUAGUGAGCGUGUUGUUAAGAGCUCAAUUAGUGAGCGUGUGAGAUUCUUUUUAUCCUUUUUUCCAUUUUCUUUCAAUUCUUAAAUGAUUUAAUUAUUUUCCACGUAUGACGUCAAAAGAGAACGCAUGAUAGAAUAAAAUCUGUUAUAUAUAUAUAUAUAUAUAUGAAGAAAAUGUUAGCCUACUAUCACGGGAUGAGUAUUUUGCGCAGCUAACCCGUGCGGUACUUAGACAACUUUGCCGAAUGUUGCUAAGUAAGCCUAGAGCUUCUCGAACUAGAGAAGAGAGCAAUUGAGCCGAAUAAGAGACAUUGUAUUGCACAAAGAGAGAUUACAAUGCUUGUUGUUGUGUUUGUUGGAUACAAAUGCCUAAUGCCAUCCCAUAUUUAUAGGGGAGGCUUGCCAAGCUAGAGGCUCUAGAGAUUCUAGAGAAUUCUACCAUUUCCUAGCUAUUUACAUGUGCUGGAAUUGUAAGGAGAAUUCUAGAGUAUUUGCAAGCUCACAUGUGCUAGAAUUGCCAAGAACUUUCCGGAAUUGGGCCAAGCUAGCACUCUUGGCCUUGUGUUGGCUCUCUAGCCCGAAAUUGUUGGCAAUUGGGCUAGCGAAUUGGGCGGUCCGCAACAUCCUCCCCCACCUAAGCUCGCGGCGUCCUCGUCGCGCUCUCGUGCUUGAAAUUCUAGAUGUGCUCAGCGAAUUGCCAUAAGUCAUCUUCACGUUCCCAAGUGGCUUCGCUCUCGGGGAGGUUUUUCCACUUCACCAAGUACUUGCUAUGUGCUGGCACGCCCCUCCUCGAAACCGUGCGGUCCGCAAUGAUGUAGUCCACAUCUUUGUCGAAUGCGGUGACAAGCAGUUGGCACGCGCCUCGAUUCUCCGCGACUUGGUUCUCCCAUGUCUUCGUGAUAUGGCUUGAGAAGGCUCACAUGGAAGACCGGAUGGAUCUUGAGUCUUGGCGGAAGUUGGAGUUGAUAUGAGACGUUGCCCACACGUCGAACAACUCGGAAGGGUCCCUCAUAGCGCCUCACUAACCCCUUGUGGACUUUCCGCAAUGUCUUGAAUUGUUGGGGUAGGAGCUUGAUCAUGACUUGAUCUCAUUCAUUGUACUCAACAUGCCGUCUCCUUGUAUCCGCCCAUUUCUUCAUUUUCCUCGCGGCUUUGUCGAGGUAGGCUCGCGUGAUGUCCGCUUCCUCAUGCCAUUCGCGGGCGAACUUGUGUGCCGCGGGGCUUUUCCCGCCGUAAGUCGAGGCUAUGGCGUUGGGGGUCAUGGGCUGGAAUCCCAUGAUGAUCUCGAACGGACUCUUGCCCGUAGCCUCACUUCGCUGCAAGUUAUAAGAAAAUUGGACGAUGUCGAGUAGCUUCGCCCAAUCCCACUGAUGAGCGCUCACAUAAUGCCUCAAGUACAUUUCGAGGAGGCCAUUGAUGCACUCGGUCUGCCCAUCCGUUUGUGGGUGGAAGCUUGUCGAGAACUUGAGAUCGGUCCCCAACAUCUUGAAGAGCUCCGUCCAAAAACGCCCAGUGAACCGAGGGUCUCACAAUGCUCCUUGGAACUCCCCAAAGCUUCACAAUGUGCUUGAUGAAUAGGCAGGCUGCCUCAUCCGCUUUACAAUCGAUUGGUGCGGCAAUGAAUGUGGCGUACUUGCUGUAUCGGUCGACAACGACCAUGAUGCUUCCGCAACCUUCGGAUUUGGGCAGCGAAGUAAUGAAGUCCAUGGAGACAUUUUCCCAUGGCCUUGUUGCUAGUGGUAGCGGCUCCAAUAAUCCCGCUGGAAGUUGAUGAUCCACCUUGUCUUGUUGGCACACAAGACAAGUUCGCACAUCUGCUUCGAUGUCGUCCCUCAUGUACGGCCAAAAAUACGAGGCUUGAACUAGUGCGGUGGUGCGCUCGAUUCCUGGGUGACCAGCCCACUUAGAGUCGUGGCACUCCUUGAUUACCUCCUUCCGUAAGUUUCCCCACCUUGGCACGAACAGCCGAUCUCCCUUGGUGUGGAGGAUGCCUUCCUCUUGCCAAAAUCGCCUUGUCUUGCCUUCGAGCACCUUCUCCAGCAAAUCCUUUGCUAGCGGAUCUUGUUGGAGGCCUUCCUUGAUGCGUGAGACAAGGUCGGACUUUGGUUGGCUCAUGCUAAUUGUUGCCAAUUCGGCCUUACGGCUUAGAGCGUCUGCAACGACAUUGGCUUUCCUCGGUUUGUACUCGAGCCAAUAGUCGAAUUCCGUAAGGAAAUCUUGCCACCGUGCUUGCUUCGGGCUCAACUUUUUUUGUGUUUGAAAGUAGCUCGUCGCUACGUUGUCCAUCAUAGUCAUGAAGUGAGAGCCUAGCAAGUAAUGUCGCCACACCCGCAAGCAAUGUAUGAUUGCGGUCAUCUCCUUCUCUUGCACCGUGUAGCGGCGUUCCGUAUCGUUUAGCUUUCGACUCUCGAACGCUAUGGGAUGGCCUUCUUGCAUAAGGACUCCACCUAUGGCGAAAUCCGAGGCAUCCGUUUGAACUUCGAAGGGUUUAGUGUGGUCCAGAAGAGCGUGGACGGGUUCCUCCGAAAUUGCCUUCUUCAACUGCUCGAAUGCGCGUUGGCACUCUUCGGACCAAUGCCACGUUCUGUUUUUCUUGAGCAUAUCCGUCAAGGGUGCUGCCUUGGCUGAGUAGCCCUCGAUGAAGCGGCGGUAGCAGUUCACCAACCCAAGGAAUGAGCGAAGCUCGGGUACUUUCGAGGGAGGUUCCCAUUCGAGGAUGGCCUUUACUUUGGCAUUCUCCAUCAUGAUCUUUCCGCCCGCAACCUUGUGGCUAAGGAACUCCACUUCUUGUUGGGCAAACGAGCACUUCUCCAACUUGAGGAAGAGCUCGUUGUCUCGGAGUACUUGGAGGACUUGUCGUAAGUGUUGGGCAUAAUCCUCGAGUGUGGUGCUAUACACCACUAUGUCGUCCAAGUACACGACCACGAAGCGGUCGAGGAAUGGUUGGAGUAUCUUGUUCAUGAGCGUGCAAAAUGUAACAGGUGCAUUAGUAAGGCCAAAAGGCAUCACAAGGAAUUCGAAAGACCCAUACCUUGUAGUGCACGCUGUCUUCGGUUCGUCUCCCUUGGCGAUGCGCACUUGAUAGUACCCGGAGCGCAAGUCAAGUUUGGUGAAGUACCGCACUUUGCCAAGUUGGUCGAACAAGUCCGCGAUCAAGGGAAUCAGAUACUUGUUCUUGAUGGUGAUCUUGUUGAGCGAUCUAUAGUCGAUGCACAUCCGCAGCGAUCCAUCCUUUUUCUUUUGGAAGAGGACCGGUGCACCGAAUAGGGCCUUUGAGGGGUGAAUGUAGCCUGCGUCCAGCAAGUCUUUGAGUUGUCUCCGCAACUCCUCUAAUUCGGGUGGCGCCAUGCGGUAGGGCGCCAAGGCUGGUGGCUUCGCGCCUUGUUCCAGCUCGAUCGCAUGAUCUACCUCUCGCCGAGGUGGGAGCUUCUUCGGAAGUUCCAGAGGCAUCACGUCCUUGUAUUCAUUGAGAACGGCUUGAAUUCGCGAAGGGACUUGGCUUGGCGACGUUCUGCUCUUUCCUUCCUUGUUUAGUUCCCGGAUGGAGACCAAGAAGCUUGGGUCCUUCUUGAAAGCCCUUUUGAAUUGCAUGGCGGAGAGUGUCUUCUCCUCGGACUUGCCUCGCUCCGUGGGUACCAUGCAUGCUUUGCUCCCGUCGAGGAUGCUUAGGGAGUUUGUAGCGGGCAGUGGGAAGGCAUGGACUUGGUCGAAAAAUUCCAUGCCGAGGACUAUCUUGAAGUCAUCCAUGGGGAUGAUGGAGAAAUCAAGCUUUCCGCUCCACGUACCGAGUGUUAAGUGCACGCCUUGUGCAAUUCCCGCAAUUGGCUUGGCGGGUGAGUUUACUGCCUUCAUUGUGCUUCGUGAGCUAACUUGCGUGCGUGCAAACCUUAGCUCCGAUACCACUUGUCACGGGAUGAGUAUUUUGCGCAGCUAACCCGUGCGGCACUUAGACAACUUUGCCGAAUGUUGCUAAGUAAGCCUAGAGCUUCUCGAACUAGAGAAGAGAGCAAUUGAGCCGAAUAAGAGAAAUUGUAUUGCACAAAGAGAGAUUACAAUGCUUGUUGUUGUGUUUGUUGGAUACAAAUGCCUAAUGCCAUCCCAUAUUUAUAGGGGAGGCUUGCCAAGCUCUAGAGAUUCUAGAGAAUUCUACCAUUUCCUAGCUAUUUACAUGUGCUGGAAUUGUAAGGAGAAUUCUAGAGUAUUUGCAAGCUCACAUGUGCUAGAAUUGCCUAGAACUUUCCGGAAUUGGGCCAAGCUAGCACUCUUGGCCUUGUGUUGGCUCUCUAGCCCGAAAUUGUGGGCAAUUGGGCUAGCGAAUUGGGCGGUCCGCAACAUCCUCCCCCACCUAAGCUCGCGGCGUCCUCGUCGCGCUCUCGUGCUUGAAAUUCUGGAUGUGCUCAGCGAAUUGCCAUAAGUCAUCUUCACGUUCCCAAGUGGCUUCGCUCUCGGGGAGGUUUUUCCACUUCACCAAGUACUUGCUAUGUGCUGGCACGCCCCUCCUCGAAACCGUGCGGUCCGCAAUGAUGUAGUCCACAUCUUUGUCGAAUGCGGUGACAAGCAGUUGGCACGCGCCUCGAUUCUCCGCGACUUGGUUCUCCCAUGUCUUCGUGAUAUGGCUUGAGAAGGCUCACAUGGAAGACCGGAUGGAUCUUGAGUCUUGGCGGAAGUUGGAGUUGAUAUGAGACGUUGCCCACACGUCGAACAACUCGGAAGGGUCCCUCGUAGCGCCUCACUAACCCCUUGUGGACUUUCCGCAACGUCUUGAAUUGUUGGGGUAGGAGCUUGAUCAUGACUUGAUCUCAUUCCUUGUAUUCAACAUGCCGUCUCCUUGUAUCUGCCCAUUUCUUCAUUUUCCUCGCGGCAUUGUCGAGGUAGGCUCGCGUGAUGUCCGCUUCCUCAUGCCAUUCGCGGGCGAGCUUGUGUGUGACGAUGGUCUGUUUGGUGAUGCUGAAGGAGUCUUUACUUCACGGCAGAAAUUUGUAACCUCUGGAAGAUUCCCCAGACUCAAAGAUCUUAAUUGAGCAAACUCUAUCUUCUCAAUUGCAUUAUCAACUUCUUCCCCAAUUGCAAAAAUCUCUUUCAUCUUGCUGCAAUCAACAACUGCAAUUCUCUCAAGUCUUGGAAGGCAUUUUGUAGUAGAGAGCCAAAAGAUAUUACUCAAUUUAUCACAAUUAUAUGCUUGUAUGAUUUUGGGUUCGUUCAAAGACUCUACUUUGAGCUGAUCAAUACAUAUCCUCUCCAUGUUGAUCAAAUUGUGAAGGAUAAGUGACUCCAAAAGAGGAAAGGCUUCACAAGCUACCAUCUCCAUUGAGUCCACGAUACACAGGAAGUUAGGAUUAUUUUGAACAUGGAGAUGCUUCAAUUGUGAAAAACCUUCUGUGUCCAAAUCAAAAAGAACAUUCUUGACACCUUGCAGCUUGUCCAACCAUAGGUAUUCAACGUUAUUGAUGCCCUGCAAUUUCAUGGAGAAAAUGUCCAUAAAAUCAAGCUUGAGCUUCAAUUCUCUUAAACUCUCACGAUUACUGUUGAUCAAAAAGUGCGGCCGGCUUUGAAACCAUUCUCUUGUAACACUCUUGGGAGGCAUGAAUGACUCAUUUCCAAUGGAUAUUUUGAACCUUUCGAGCUUUCUGGCCAAAAAGCCUUCCGGUAAAAUACUGUCAUUUUUAACAUCAAUUUCUAGAGUGGUUGGCCAAGGUAAAAGCAUCAAUUCAUCAAGGCUAGCAUUACUUCUUUCACUGUUGGCUCUUUCAACCUCCCAUUCAACGGAGCAAUUACCCAUAUACAAUUCUUCUAAUCGGAUUAAGCUCGAUAAGACAUUUGGGGCAAUAACUUUUAGAUGGAAACAGUCUCUUAAAUCUAACAGCCUUAGCUUAGUCAGUUGCCCUAGUGCUUUAGGUAACUGUACAAUAUCAGACCGCACAAAGCCAAGGAUUUCUAGAUUUUCCAACUUUCCAAUAAUGGCUGUGUCCAUGUCUCCCAAAUGCUUUGAUUAAGACAAAGUGUCCGAAGAUUUACUAGAAGAUCAAUUGAAGAUGGCAAUGACAAUAACCGCAUUCUAGUCAAAUCCAAAACCCGAAGCUUUUUCGUCCUUUUGAAGAAGUUCUCAGGAACAUUGGGCCCAACAAAAGAGUUCUUGGGUGACAUGAAUAAAAAUUCAAGUUGUGUAGAUUCCAACACUUCAGGAAUGUCAUUAAUAAUACUAUCUUUUAAACAAAUUGCAAAAUAUUUUUUUAGUGCAUCUGCAUCUGGCCAGUUCCACACAUCCUCAUUUCUCACCGCAAAUGCAAUUUUGUCACGACGUGCUAUUGAAAUGGCAACAUCGCGAACAACAUCAUGCAUGGAAAAGAAUUUACUGCCACCAUCCUCAAGCAACAAACAAGAGUCUCUUAGUUGAUGGACCCAUGCAUGUAAUUUGUUAUGUGCAUCUUCUAUCUUAUGGACACUUUCAAAUGCACCCAAGCCUAUGCUAUAUUUGAACAAGUCCAUAAUUGAAGUUGGUGUAAUUAGACUACACAGUAAAAAAGUUUUCUUUAGUUGCUCACCUCUUAAAUACUUGUAACUUAGCUCAAUUGUUGAGUAUGCCUCUACUGGUACUCCUUCAUCGAAGCUUGCCUCUGAAGGCGUUUGGAGUUCUUGCAAGGCGUUCUUCCACACAGGCAGCUCUUUGUUUCUCAGUGCCUUUGCUACUGUGGUUAGAGCAAUAGGCAAACCUCCACAUGCCUUGGCUACAUUUGUUGCUGUAGAUUUUAACUCACGAUUUUCAACAAAAUUACCAGCCAUUAUCUUGAACAACCUCCAAGCUUCAUGCUCAUUUAGAAUGCCAAUCAAGAAGUUAUUUUCAGAUCCCAUACUUAACAAGACAUUACGAUCCCUUGCUGUUAAUAAUAAUUUGCAUCCUCUAUGAUCAUCGUCAAAAGGAAUUCCAACAGUCUCUAAAUCAAGAUAUUUCCAGAUGUUAUCCAGAAUCACAAGGAUCAUCUUCUCUUUCUUCAAUCGUUCAUAAAGUCUACUAGCUCUUCUAGAUUCAGCCUCCUCGGACAACUCCAGACCUAGUUUCUCUGCAAUUUCCCCUUGAAUCUUUUUUAUGUCUGGAGUUUGGGAAACCUCUGAAAAAACCACCUGAUCAAAGAGUUUCUCUUCACUGGCUUGCGUUGCAAACUCCUUCACCAGUGUUGUCUUUCCAAUGCCGCCCAUGCCGUAUACCCCAACGAUGCUGACAUUGACAUCAGUCAAUGCAUCUUGUCUAGACUUCAGAGUAGAAAGUCUUGAUUUAAAGGCCUCGUAACCUUUGUUAGACUUUAGCCAUACCUCCUCCGCAAUGGUACGGUAGAAAAUUCUAUCAUCAAAUCUCCUAGCUUCUUCUUUGAGUUCAACAAGGGCCUUCACCUCUGUUUCUGCUUUCUUGCUAAGCUGAUAGCGGGUCUUGAAAUUAGGACACAAGCCCUUGAAACAUCGCUUACUUGUUGUCUCCCCAUCUUCAAUGAAUUUGGCUGCCUGCUCAAUGGUGUUGUUCGCACUAACCAGCCAGUUCUCAACCUUCUCUUCAAUCUUUUCUCCUUUUCUUUCAGCCUCAGAAACUCUGUGCUGAAUGCUCUUACUUUCAUCCUUGAGCUUGUCUAUUUCUGCCUUGAGAUUCUCAAAGUUGGCUUUAUAGUUACGCAAAUAACAAAGUUGGCGUUCUGUUGGAGGAGCGAAGCAUUUCACAACUUCUAACAGAACAGUAACAAUGCUUUCCACCAUCUUCGAUCCUCUUUUUUUCAAAGUUCCGAAAUGAAAAUAAACGACGAGCGAAACACAAAGAGAAAGAGAGGCAAAAAAAAAAAAAAAGAAAAACGAAAAAAAGAAAAUGAAACAACAAAGAUGACAAGUGUAUCUGGUUGUGGAAGCGGAGAAAUCAAAGAAAGCUUAAAAACUGUUGUGAAUCUGGUGAGAAGAUGGAAACAAGGAAAAGGUUUCUAGUUCAAAAGUGAUUGAAUUGAUAUAAGGAAUGAUUUAGAUAAUAGAGGAAAAGUGAAUCAGUCAAAAUAACUUAUGUAUUGACCAGAAGAAAGAUGCAAACAAUAUUAGAGACAACAACCGCGCUGUUGAUGCCCAAAUCUGAUCUAGUCUAUCAGCGACUUAAUGUCAGAUUUCUACACCAGUAUUAGAUUUAUUUGGUAGAGAAUCGAUUGGUCAAUCGUCAAGAUGUCCUGCAACCACUAGCGAUUAACCUAGGAAUACCUGAAAUCAUAGAAGAAGGUUAGAGGCGCCGGAAGUUUUUCCGGCGUGAACCCUCCGACACUCAAGUUAGUUUCUAGGCCUUUCGGAAAAACUUGUGCCACCACUCAUGUGGCUUAAUAAACAUUGCCUUAAAACCCAAGGCUUUUCGAGUAAUUUACAGAAAGUAAAGCAGAGUGUCAAAGAAAGAAUUUUCCAUGAGAGGAAGAGAGCCCAAAAAGCCCCCCUAGCUAACUCCCCACUCCCCUCUUUCCCCCCUUGUUCUCUCCCACUUUCGGAAGUUAAGGAUGAGAUAAAAGUAAUGCCCCCACUCUCCUUUUUUUCCUCCUUUUUCCGUUACCAAACACGCGCUAUUGACUGGUAAAAGAGAUGGAGAAAAAGAUAUAUCUUCACACGGUGGAAGUACAAAGGGUAGAUAUGGAACCAAACAGAGACAACAACAUGCCACAACUAGAUUGGGAAUGGAGAGAAACAAAUUAACAAAGACUGGAGAUUACAACAGAACAGAUGCCAAGAGAAAAGGGUUUCUUCAUCCAGUGAAAUUCAAGUGAGUUGACAGCAAAAGGGAGCAUAUGUGUUUCUUGAUUGAGAACGAGUGCAAAGGAUGACUUUUUAAUGAGGUUCUGAAGCUGACGGAUAACGAUUUGCUAAAAUUUUGAGAAAGUUAUAUAUUUCGUAACUUCAACAAGUGAAGAAUAAAAGAAUAAUAGUUCGUCAUCUUCACAAUGAAGAUCAUGGCCGAGAUUAAAAGCUAAAACUAGUCCAUUUGAAAAGCCAAAGUUCAAGUUCCUUGGCUAAGUUCAGAAGUGAAGCAAAGAAUAAAUAAAUAAAGAUCAAGGGAUGGGAAUAAAGUCACCCCCAGACAGUUGCAGAAAGAUUAUUAUUUGGUAAGCGUAGUUGAUUAUUAGUACAAAACAGAGUAGGUGAAACACAUCCUUUCUAUUUAGACUGAUCAGCAUCUAAAAUUUUAUGAAUUAUAAGUUGCAUUUUACUUUGUACAUUAUGUUAACACAUUUUAAUUUAGCCAAUUUUUCAAUAAAUGUUAUUGAUGUAUUAAAUUGCAACAACAAAACACAAUUAUUGGUUUUAAAGAAUGAAAAAAAAAAUACAAAAAUAGAAAAUGAAUUGAAUUCCACUCAUCGUCAUCUUGGCAAAUCAAGUCAAAAAAUAAAAAUCCAUAUGCUUUUGUUAAAGUUAAAAGCUACAUAAAUAAUAUCACAGAAGCUUCUGCUAAGGUUCAUGUGAAGUCACAGCUUUGAUACUUGUAAUACAAGGAGCACGGAGAAACCAUAAACUUCAGUUUAGGUAUAUACAUUGCUUGUCUUUCAAACUUGAAUUGAUAAGGGGGAAAAAAAUAAUACUAAAGCAAACAGAAGGAUCAUUUAGUUGACAAAAUUAUUAUUAUUUUUAAAUUCGGGUCAUUCAGUUACUUUCAUUUCAGUUUCACUACUGAUUCAAUUUAACCAGUUAACGUUGACAAAAAUAAAAUGCAAAUAUAAGGCUAAGGCUGCUAAUUUGAUGAACUAAUUAUCUCAGGAACCAAAGCAUCUAUAAGCAUGCAUGGGUGGCAACACCAUAAUUACUCAAGACUGGAGGAGUAAAAAGAUUGGAGAUGAUAAACAUUAAAUUUCAGGAAAAUCAUUCACAAAUAUGCUUUUAUAAAAGUUUUGCUGGUAAAGUUCGAGAAAUGCAUACAUGUCAAAUUUCCAUUUCUUGUGAGCAUUUCACCAAAUAGCUGAUAUGCAUUAAUAACUCCUAUCCUAUACUAUUGGCCAGUAGGUUGUUGCUGCUUCCCCAUUUUUAAUGAUGCGAACGUCUCAUACUUAGAAAUAAGGGCGGAGCCUGGAGAUUGAUUUAUAAGAUAAUCUUUUGAAUAAAAAUAAAAACAAUUACAGAUUUCAAAUGUGAGAAAAAUAAAAUUGCGUUAUAAAAUUAAUCCCACUAAGAAAGUCGUCUACGAAAUUGCCACAUUAAAAGAAAAUUUUUCCAUAAAUUAAAAUAAAAUUAAAUGAAAACUAUUUUUCAGUAAAGUCAAUUGCCCACGCUAGGCUAAGGCGUUUGUUUAUUUGUUUGUUUGUUUUUAUAAUCUGAAUAGGUAUAAAUUUUUCGUAAGCAUGAAUGAGCUGAGUACAAAUAUAUGAAUGAUAUAUUUAUUUUUCUUUUUCUUAAUACCCAAAUAUAAGUGACAUCUUAUUUAUCUUAAAUAUGGUUAUUUGAUAUUUAUAUUUUUACAAAUAAAAACAAAAAAAAGUAGUUAGAUUUUAUAGUUUAAGAAAUAAAUAUAUUUUAUAAAAAUAUUUUUAGAAUAUAUAUUUAAUUCUUAUUUAGACUUUUUCCUAUUCAAUAAAAGUCACAAAAGUUACUUUUUCUAUUCAAAUGUAAAUGCUUAAAAAUCAGAUAUAAGUCACAAAAAAAAUAAAUUUUAGAAAAAGUCAUAAAUUAAUAAAAUUUCAUAUAUUUAACUCCCAAUGCAGAUCCGCCCCUAUCAGUGUUAGGAAAUUGACUGGUGAAGUAGGUUCACAGCUAAAAUGAAAUUGGAAGAAAAUGAAGAACAAGCACAUAGAGGACACCAAAAAUUACAUGGUUCGACUUUUAGCCUACGUCUACGGGUAAAGACAAAAGGAUAAAACUUUACUGGUGAAAUGAGGAUUACUAGUAUUAUAAUAUUUUGUUUCACUUCCUAGAACCCCAAUCCACUCAAUCUCUUAAAACACUAAUCACUCAAGAGCAUUAAAACUCUUAGUCUCUCACUCUAGAAUUGAAGAAGAAAAGAAUGAAAUGCAGGGGUGAACCCCUCAUUUAUAGUUAAAAAUUUGGGCACUAUUUAUAUUUUUAUAUAUUUUUUUUAAAUUAAAAGUUUGAACUUGACAUUCAAACUUUGAAUAUCAAAAGGUAUUGGUCACUCUUCUAGAAAAGUGACAUUGACUUUGACAUUCUCCCACUUAGAAAUUUGAUUGAGAAUCAAUCAAUCUCCACACCAUCCUUUCUGCUUCGUCGCUAUCAUGUUGCUUAUGUCUCUACUAGGCCAUAAAAUGAUCUACUCCAAACAAAUUUAUCAGCAUUGAUAGGCUUGGGCAAAACAUUUGUUAAGUUCUCCUUGGUAUCCACUCUUGUAUCUUUCACUACUUCACGAAGAAGUGAUAUUGUACUCCUAUAUUCUUUGUCCUGAAAUAAAAGGUUGGAUUCCUUGCAUUCUAACUAUCACAAACCAUAAAAAUUUUUAUGCCCAAGCUCUUUCAGUAACCUUUGUAUCCAAAUAGCCCUUCCAAGCUUGUGUAGCUGCUAUGUAAUCUGCUUCUGUUGUUGAUAAAGCCACAAUGGUCUGCAAUUUUGAAAUCCAACUAACAAUUUCGCCUUCUGGUGUAAAUACUUAGCCAGUAGUGGGUUUCCUUUUAUUAAGAUUUUCUGCAAAAUCUGAAUGCACAAAGCCCUUGACAGUAAAUUCUAAUCCUUCGCAGCAUAAUGCAACAUCUGAUGUUCCUCUGAUAUUUCUCAGAAUCCUCUUAAUAGUCUUCCAAUGUUCUUUGCAAGGAUUCGCUAUGUAUCGACUAACUGCUCCCACUACUUGUACAAAUCAUAGCAAACCUUAAAUUUUCCACUGCUGAUGCAUACAGUACUCAAGACAUCUCUUCUUCUCUACUUCAUUACUAGAUGAAUACUUAAGAAUAACUUGAAAUUAAUAAGAAGCGGGGUAGAAAGCCAAAUCUUCUUGCUAUUACUAUCUCGGUGAAUUUGCAUCCCUAAAAUCUUGUUUGCUGGUUCUAAGUCUUUUAUUUCAAACUCCCUAGUUAACUGUGCCUUCAGUUCUUGGACUCGAUCUUUGUUGGGGCUUGCUACCAAUAUGUCAUCCACAUACCACAGUAGAAUGAUGAAAUCAUUAUUAUAAAACUUGUUGUAAUAUGUACAACAGUAUGAAAUGAUUCUAUUGUAUCCAAGGUUUAUGAUGAAAUGAUCAAUUCUCUUAUAUCAACAUCUCGGUGCAUGUUUGAGAUCGUAUAGAGAUUUGUUCAACUUGCAAACCAAGUGUCCCUUUUUAGUAAAACCUUCUAGUUAGAGCAUAUAAAUCUUUCCUUCAAGUUCUCCAUGAAGAAAUGAAAAUUUCACAUCUAACUGCUCCAAAUAUAGGUCAAAUGUAGCACACAUCGACAAGACCACUCUGACUGUCCUGGGUCAAAUCACUGGAGAAAAUAUCUCAUUGACGUUAAUACAUUCUUUCACCACCAAUCUUUCACGAUAUCGCUCCACUAGGUUAUUACCAUCACGUUUGAUCUUGUGAACCCAUUUGCAACCAAUGGUUUUUUUUUAUAUGGUAGUAGUACGAGUUCCUAUGUCAUAAUCUUGUGUAGAGCCUUAAUUUCUUCCUGCAUUGCUAUCAUUCACAAAGUAACAUCUGAGCUGUUUAAAAUUUCAUAGAAAGUUGAUGGCUUUCCAUUCUCUAUUAAAAGACAGUAUGCAAAAUUGAUAUCUGUGACAUAAUCCAAAUGCCACACAUACAUUUAUCUAUCACGAGUUGACCAACAAACUUUUGGGGCCUCAGACUUGAUUGGUUCUUGUUCUCAUACUUUGGUGCUGCUUCAAAAAAAUCUGAAUCUUCAUUUUCCAGAUUAUUUUCAACAUAUAUUAGCACAAUCUCUAAAUUUUAAUAGUGCUAUCAUCCAUAUCUCUCUUUUGCAUUUGAUCUUCUACAAAGACAAUAUCUCUGCUAAUAACGAUCUUGUGGGCAUUGAGGUCCCACAGAUAAUACCCUUUCACUCCAUCAAUAGAUUCUAAGAAGAUACAUCUCUUGGAUUUUGGAUCCAUCUUUAAUCUCACUUGGGUAUCGUAUAUCACGUAAAAGGACAUCAAAAUGCCUGAGAUGAGAGUAAUCAGUUGGCUUUCCUGUCCAUUUUUCCAUUGGAAUCUUCAACCCGAUUGCCUUGAAUGAUGACCCACUUACCACAUAAUAAGUAGUUUUUGCUACUUCCGCCUAGAAUGAGUUGGUAGACCAGCAGUUCUCAACAUAACUCUUAUUUUUUCUAUAAGAGUCAUGUUCUUUCACUCUACUACUCUAUUUUAUUGAGGAGUGUAUGCCACUGUAAAUUAUCUCUAGAUACUUUCUUACUUACAUAUGCAAGAAACAUGCUAUCUGUAUACUCUCCACCAUUGUCUGUCCUCAGGCACUUGAUCCCUUGCCCUGAUUUAAGUUCAAUCUACGCUUUGAAUUCUUUGAACAAUAGAAAUACAUUUGACCUUUUCUUGACUGGAUACACCAAAUAUCUCCUAGAAUAAUCAUCAAUAAAAGUCACCAAAUACUUUGCACCUCCCAUAGAUAUAUCAAUUGAUUCCCAAACAUUAGAAUGAAUCAAGUCUAAAAUACAUUUACUUUUGAAAGUGGAUCUGCUAAACUUUCAUCUAUGUUGCUUUCUUGUUUCGACAUGUGGCCAAGUUUAAGAUGCCACAUCAUCGCUGAAUUUUCUCUAUUUGAUGUGACACACACAAAAGUUUUCUGUAGUGUUUCCAUUUAAGCAUGAAUAGAUUAGCACCGAUCUUUUCCACCUUCAUUAAUGCAAGUGUGCCUUUGACUAUCUUUAUGAUCCCAUUUUCUACAUGAGUUUUGUGCACAAGGCUAUCUAUUUGUCCUAAAGACAAGAGAUAUUUUUCAAGUCUUUGACAUGUCUUACCUUCUCAAUUGUGCGAACCAUACCAUUAAACAUAUUUAUUUUGACAGUACCAAUAUCAAUGAUCUCAAAGGCAUGAUUAUCACCUAUGUAUACAGAUUCUCUUGAAAUAGGUUCAUAUUUGUGAAAUCAUUCUCUUGGAGAGAUCAUGUGCCAAACAACUAUUAAGUCUAUAAGCCAGACGUCAUAUAGUGGUUUUCUGCCUUUUGAAGCAGUUGUUGCCUUACUGUAGAGAAUUUUUCCAUUAUACGAGGUACUUACUACAUACCCUUGAGCAUUUGAUGACUCAGGAUCUUUACCCUCUCUUCUCUUCUAGUUGUUCCAAUACUCUUCCUUGACAUGCUCUUUCUUGCCACAGUUGUUGCAUUUAACAUUCUUCUUACUUCUUGAUUUCGAUCUACUGUGAUUGUGGCUCUCACUAGGGCCACGUUCCAUGGAUCUUCCUUUCAUCAUCAAUAGCGCUUCUACUUGCUGCGAACUUGUCUGUCUAUCUUUUUUAUUUUUUGCUACUCUCCUCAUUUAAUACGGAGGCUGCCAUAUUGUCAAAGACUAACUUGUUUGCUCGAUUGUUAUUAGUUAGAUUAAUGACGAAUUAAUCAUACGAAUCUGGUAAACCUUGAAGUAAAAGCUCUACAUGAUCAUUUUCCUCUAUUUUAUGACCCAACGUUGUAAGUUAUGAAAAUAAAGUCUUUAAAGUGUUGAUAUGGUCGAUCACUGAUGUAGAUUCCGUCAUUCGAAGAGUAUAAAGCCUCCUCUUUAAAAAGAUUUUAUUUUGUAGUGAUUUGACCUCGUAUAGUCUUGUGAGAGUAAACCAUAUUUCCUUUGCUCUCUUUUACUCUACCACAUUGAAUAAUACCUUAUUUGAAAGUGGUAUGUGUAGAUUUGCAAUGGCAUUAUUGUCUAUCUCAUUCCACUUGUCAUCAUCAGUUAUCUUUGUGAGCCUCUCUUCAAUUGUUGCCAAGCAAUUACUCUUCCUCAAUACAACUUUCAUCUUCAUUUUUCAUGACGAAAAAUUAUUUUUGUUGAACUUCUCAAUUUUGUAUUUUUCCGCCAUCAUUGUUCACCACGAGCUACCUUUGCUAAGAUCGAUUCCUACCAUUUCAUAUGAGCAGUAACUGUAUAUAUGAAUAAAGUGUUGUAUACAGAAACAAUAUCAUAUACAUGAACAGUACAAUAUAUGUAAACAGUAUCUUGACCCCAAAAAAUACAACCCGACUCUGAUACCACUAUUAGAAAAUUAAUUUGUGAAGUAGGGCCGCGACUAAAAUGAAAUUGGAAGAAAAUGAAGAGCAAGCACACUGAGGACACCAUAAAUUAUUUGGUUCGACUUUUAACUUAUGCCCAUAGGUAAGGACAAAAGGAUAAAACUUUACUAGUGAAAUGAGGAUUAUAAGUAUUUUAGUAUUUUGUUUCACUUCUCAAAACCUUAAUACACCCAAUCUCUCCAAACACUAGUCACUCAAGAGUAUAAAACUCUUAAUCUCUCAUUAUAGAACUAAAGAAGAAAAGAAUAGAAUGAAUGAAAUGAGGGGGUGAACCCCUCUAUUUAUAGCUAAAAAUUUGGGCACUUUUUAUAUUUAUUAUUAUUAUUAUUUCAAAAUUUAAAGUUUGAACUUGAUAUUCAAACUUUGAAUAUCAAAAGAUACGGGUUGUUCUUCUAGAAGAACGGCACCAACCUUGACUCUUAGGCAGACCUUUAGAGCUUUAAAUAAAGAAAAAGCUUUUAAAAAUGCCAUGUGUACUUGAUUAUACAAUAAUCUCCACCACAUAGAAUGAUUUGAUAAAAGAAAUUUUUUAUUUUUAAUUUUACUUUUAUCAGGCACGGUGCAUUUCCCCUUGGGCUCAUAUGUAAGGAUGUCAAUAAGAUGCGAAGGAGAGGGGAUUGAUUUCCCCAUACUCAUCUUUAAUACUCUGUCUAUCUCUUUGUACUCUAGACAUUUCCUUCAAAAUUACUUGAAACGAGGGGUUGGAUGUUUCUAAAUAAUACAAAGGGAUCUCUUAUGGCAUCCGAUCUCUGAUUAUUUAAUUUCUUUUUUUUCUUAAUUUAAUCAUCUUAAAGUAAAAAUAUAAAAUCAUAUUAACACAAAAAAUAUCAAAUUAACUAAAGUGAUUAAAAUCAUUUCCAUCAAAUUAAGUCAAUGUCAUCAAAUGAGAAGAUAAUCUUUGAACUAAUUAAGCAAAAGUAAAUCUUCAAAGUUGAACUCAUCCAUAAAUGUCAUAUAGUAUAAACCAUCAAUUAAAUUAUCUUUGUCAAUUUUAAAGUGUUUAUAUUUACUUUAUAUUGGCUGUUAUUUAUAUUAUUUUUAUAAAUGUAUUAUGAUAUUUUUUAUUUACAUCACACUAUUACAAUUGAAAUUUUAAAUGUAUUUACUAUAAAUUUGAAAAAAAAAAGAAUUAAAAAUAGAAACUAAAGAUGGAAAUAGAAAAAUGUGGAGCCAAAUAAAAUAUUAGGGCAAACACUAAAUUAUACACCCACACAUAUUAAUUUAUCAGAUUCUUGUCUCCACAUAGAAAAAUUAGAUCUAAAAUUAUCAAACUCCCGAAUGAGGAAGAUCCCUCGGGGCCAUCGUCCCUGUGGAAAUUUCUGCAUCCCUGCAGUCUACAACGCCUAAUAAUGAAUUGAACGGUUGAAAUCCCUCUAAAUUUUUGAUAAUUUCUAAUCGCCCCUCCAUAUUUGAUUGAACAUCAAAACUAUUGAGUCCAAAUUUAUAACUUUGAUUUAUCUUCCAUUCCAUAGUUUUCAAGUUCUCUCUCUCUCUCUCUUUUAAUCCUUUUUACUGCAACCACCAUCAAAGCCUAGUAGUUAAUAUGUAUGCUGCUUUGCUUUCAAAAUCGGACACUACUGGUAUUUAUGGUUUUUAUUCUUUAUUUGACACAAAAUUUGGCGAUAUCUCCGCGGAAAAACACUACUGGUGUAUUCAAUUUUAUCCGGUAAUGAUUAAAUUGAUUAUUACAUGAACCGUAACUUCGCCAAGCCCAAAAUACAUAUUAAGUUAUAAAGCGUGGCACUCAUUAUUUUUCGCAAAAAGUUUCGCCCAAAAUACAUAUAUUUUUUUAAUUUUUUCUGUGAAAAAAACUACUGUUAUAUUCAAUUUUAUCAUUAAAAACUACUGUUNNNNNNNNNNNNNNNNNNNNNNNNNNNNNNNNNNNNNNNNNNNNNNNNNNNNNNNNNNNNNNNNNNNNNNNNNNNNNNNNNNNNNNNNNNNNNNNNNNNNNNNNNNNNNNNNNNNNNNNNNNNNNNNNNNNNNNNNNNNNNNNNNNNNNNNNNNNNNNNNNNNNNNNNNNNNNNNNNNNNNNNNNNNNNNNNNNNNNNNNNNNNNNNNNNNNNNNNNNNNNNNNNNNNNNNNNNNNNNNNNNNNNNNNNNNNNNNNNNNNNNNNNNNNNNNNNNNNNNNNNNNNNNNNNNNNNNNNNNNNNNNNNNNNNNNNNNNNNNNNNNNNNNNNNNNNNNNNNNNNNNNNNNNNNNNNNNNNNNNNNNNNNNNNNNNNNNNNNNNNNNNNNNNNNNNNNNNNNNNNNNNNNNNNNNNNNNNNNNNNNNNNNNNNNNNNNNNNNNNNNNNNNNNNNNNNNNNNNNNNNNNNNNNNNNNNNNNNNNNNNNNNNNNNNNNNNNNNNNNNNNNNNNNNNNNNNNNNNNNNNNNNNNNNNNNNNNNNNNNNNNNNNNNNNNNNNNNNNNNNNNNNNNNNNNNNNNNNNNNNNNNNNNNNNNNNNNNNNNNNNNNNNNNNNNUCUAAGUUUUGAAAGAAAGGUUGAAAUAAACAGAGAAACAGGACAAACAGAAGAAGACUGAAUUAACAGAUCAACAAAGAUGGCAACUAACAAAUGGAAAAGUUCUCUUGUAAUCAAACUAUAGCAAACAGAUGACACCAUUACCAUAUAUCUUAAUGAGUAGAUUGAUUCUAAACAUAUAUGUUAGGAUACAUUUGGUUGUUUAAUAGUUUGAAAUAAGGAGGAUGAGAUGGUUUCCACAUAAAAGUGCUGGCCCUUUCAAUGACAUUUUCAAGGAAUUAUAAAAUUCAAAAUUAAAAAAAAAUAGCACAUUAUAAAGCCACACCGUCAAAUAAAUAAAUAAAUAAGUGAAGACCAAACUAAGUCACUAAGACCUUUAAUGAUAUAAAAUAAGCAUAUAAAUCUCAGAACAAAACAUUAAAACUCAUUCUAAAAGUAAAAAUAAACUAGUGGUGUAUUCCAAACAAUUUAGAUGAAGCGAUAAAACAAGCCAAGAAAUCAAAUAAAAUGAAAUGAAAUUGAAUUACCUGGGACUUUGUUUUUCAAAUUCACAACUCGAUUGUAAUUAAAGUAAAAUGCCAUUGCCAUUAGGACAUACACAUCAUUGAAUAAGAUGAGGACCCCUCCAACAGCUGAAAGUAAAAUUUUCAUUCAUUAGUUUCAAUUAAAAGUAAAGCACACAGAUUUGCAGGGAAGCAAGAGAUUUAAUAAAUUUAACAACAGCAAUUUAAUUUGACAGGACUUCCAUACAGUAAUGAAGCUAAAACUUAAUGAUUAACGAAUUUUUGUAAUUGAAUGAAUAAGAUUCUCUGAUUUUGGAUAAUUGAAUGAAUAUGAUUCUCUAACUCUUGUGAAAAUAUCAAUUUUAAAUAGGGUAGAGUUUCAAGAAUUAAGCACAUAUGUAUCCCAAGGCUGUUGAUCAUCUCUCUCUCCAUAGUAGAAGUUUACUCUCAGAGGCGCGUUUAAUUCUCCUUUAGUGAAAAUCUUCAUCUUGGGACAACCAAUUAUAGAUAAAUCUUCCAAAGAUGGGAAUUUGAAGGUGUAAUUGGCAGAGCAGAAACUUCUGAGACUAUCAGCAGAAACUUGUGAGACUAUCCAAAUCAUACAGAUACAAAAUCUUCAAUUUGGUGAAAACAAUCUCUUCUUCAAAAUUUGCUGCUCCAUCUUCUUCAUUUAUCACCACCUCUCUCAUUGCUCUGCAUCCAUAUACCAACAUUGAUAAGAGUCUCUGUAGAGUUUGGAGUGACAGAUUCGAUAAUGAUAAACUCCAAAUACUCGCCAAGAUCGCAAAUCAAACAACCAAGAUGCAAAAAGAAUCAAUCCAGAACAAAUCACAGAGACACUUAAGAACCUAAAAGAAUUAAAGAAUUAGCGGCAAAGACAAAAGAAUUAACGUGGUUCAGCUAGCUUUCACUAGCUUACAUCCACAGGAAAAACCAGGAUCAAGUUUAUUGAUUUUCAGAAGAUGAUUACAGAGAGUUUUAAGAGCUAAUAACAGAGUAUUUCUUGAAGCCUUCUCACGAAUCUUCUAAUCACUCAAUAGCUCUCACGCACAUGCCUCCUGUUGCACCAGAAGAAGCUGUUUAUAACAGCUUCUUCAACAAACCAAAAUGAACCCAGAAACUCACGUGAUUGGCAUGCGUUAUAACAGACUCAUAACGACCUUGAGCAGCUUCUUCGAGCACGUGUUUCUCUCGUGCUUUACUUAAAUUCCAGAGACAAAACAAAUUGCUCUUCAAAACGCAAUCAGCAAUUGUCGUAUUGUAGUUUACUUAAGCUGCAAAACGCAAGUCCAACUUGUCGUUUCAAAUAUCUUGAUUUGCUUCACAACACAACAGUCGCUCUAGACUUUUUGCUGUGGAGGAGGUUGCUAAGCUCAUCAAAUUCCUUGCAACGAAGAACUAGAAGUUCUUUUAGGUUCCCAAAAGAUACCGAUGAUGAUGGCCAUAGAUAUAACAGAUUUUGACAAUAAUGUACAUUUAGAAUUUCAAGGCAUUGAACAAAGGAGUCCAAUUUGGAGUCUUGUUUCCACAAUUGCUUCAGAUGAUUAAAUUUGUGCAGAUGUAAAUGUUUUAUCAUUGUAAACUUCCUCGCAUGUUUCUUCAAGUAUCCUCCAUUCGAAAAUACCUCUUCGCAUGAACAACGACGCCGUAUGAGAGUUUCCAGAUUAUGAAAUCUCUCAAGUAAAUCAAGUGGAAAACAAGUUGAGUCAUCAUCCAUUGUUUGUGGCAGUUUAAGACUGCCAAAAAGGUGUCGUGGGAAAUCGCUUUGCAAAGUCAUCCUCGGGUCUUUUCCACUUAAUGCCCGUUCCUCCAAGUUGGGUAAGCUCUGAUCAUUAUCAAUCACGCAAUAACUUAUUAAGUCAAUUCAUAUUCUCUCAAAUAACUUUUAAUGGCUAACACUAAGUUACGUUUAACGUAACAUACAUUCAGAUAACGAAAAUAUCUGUUAGCACCCCUAAACUUAAUGGAAACUACAUUAAUAGAGUUAAAAGAAAUACUUUUAAAUCUUAAAGAGGAAAUAAAAGAAAUUAAACAGGAAAUAGGAAAAAUAAAAAUAGAAAUGACUGUAAUACAAAUGAAUCAAAAGAAAAAUAAAAAAUUAGAAAGGUUUGAAAUAAUAAAAUCAAGAAUAAUUGGAACAAGUUUUAAGAAGCCCACACAAAAACCACAAGCAGGUAGUUAUGAUGCAUGGUUUAUGGACACCCAGUAUCCUAAAAUACUAAGAGCAUCACCAAAAAACUCUUCAAAUAAGAUUUUAUUACUUAUUUGAAGAGCUACAUCAACAUUUAAGGCUCCAAAAGACACUCCAAUUAAGAUUCUUGAAAUAAGAAAUGAUCAUCUCUCUUCAAAUUUGAAGAGUUACUUUCUCCCUCUUCAAUUUAUAUUUUAUUACUUUUUGUUGAAGAAAAAGAGAAAUGUGUUUUAAUUACUAUUGACUUUUCCUUUAAAAAAAUAGUUAUUUAUUUAAAAUAAUAUUAACUCAUUUCUAUUUGAAGAGUCUUUUGGAGAACAAUAUCUUUUUUCACUCAUCUAUUUGCCACAUAGGUAAGCAAAUGAAUAUUUGAAGAGUAAAAUUUAUAGAGCCUUUUGGAGAUGCUCUAAAAGAAACAGAAGAAUUAAGAGCAGAAUUAAAAAAUAAAGAAAAAGGAAAAGAAAAACUAGAAAUAAAAGAAACAACUCCUAGUGAUUCAGAUUAAUGGAAAACACAUUAGAAGAAUUAACUGAAAAAUUCAGUGAAAUAAACCUUAGUGAUUUAGAAGACUUUGAAAAAGAAUAUCAUAUAAAAAUGAAUACUUCUGGAGGACCAGAAUUGAAACCUGACAUAGGAGAACCAAGUCAUAGAUAUGCAACAAACAAAAAGAAAAAUAGACCAUUUUUUGAGUAUAUACCACCCGUUAAAAAUACUCCUUGGAAAAAAGAAUAUCAACCUAACAAUGAUAAUUUAACACCAAUAAGUAAUGCAGGAACAUUUUUAAAUCUAGACUGCAAAAUAAACCCCCAUAAGGUUUUAAUUGAAUGGGGAAUGCAAAUGUGAUUAUUUUUUCUAUAUAAUGGCUCUAAAGUCGAUUGGAAUGUAGAAACAGAAGAAGAAAAAAUAAAUUUAUUCGCUGACAUCCUCAUAGCCAGUUUUACAGGUAAUGUAUUUAACUGGUGGAAAGGAUUAAGUGAAGACACUCAAAGACUAAUAAAAGAUUCAACUAAAAUAGCUUUAGCCAGAAGUAGAGGAUUAGGAAUUGAAAGAAUAAUCGAAUAUAUUGCUAAUGAAUUCUUAGGAGAAAACUGGUUAGAAAAUACAGAAAGAGAAACAAAAAAUGAAAAAUUAGAGGCAAGGAUGAAAUUAAUAAACUUAACAAUUUGUAACAUGUGUUUCGUGAAAGAAUAUACCUGUGAAUUUAGUAAAUAUUAUUAUACACAAUUCUAUAGCCAAGAAGAUCAAAAUAUUUAUAAAAAUUUAUAUUAUUCCAAAUUACCAUAUCCCUGGAAUGGAUAUUUUAUAAAUGAGUAUGAGAAAAAUAGUACUGCUAAUAGAUCUCCAGACACAUUAGGAUCUAGAAUAAGGUUUUUGAAUACAAGAUUAAGUGAAAUAUGCAUUCAAAGAAAUUUAAUGAAAAAGAGUAAAAAUAUAGGAGAUACAUGUUGUGGAAAAACAGAAAUGCCAACCCAAUGGGGUUGUUAUACACCAUAUAAACGAAAAAGAAAGUUAUAUAAGAAAGAGAAAAAAUAUAAAAAAUACAAUAACUUUAAAAGAAAAUAUAGAAAACUGGAAAGAAAAUACUAUAAAAGAAAAUAUAAAAACCAAAAAAGAAAAUUAGAUAAAUCUAAAUGUAAAUGCUGGAAUUGUGGAGAAAUAGAACAUAUUAGCACAGAUUGUACAAAAAAGAAAGUAAGACUCUUAGAAGAAGAUUUUGAAAAUAUAAAAAAUGACUUAGAAGAAAUAAGUGAUAUAUCAGACUAUGAAGGAAAAGAAGUUUACAUGGUGAAAGAAUUAGAUGAUGAGUCAGAAUAAAGACGAAAUUAUAGAAAAUGAAAGAAUAGAAGAAAUAGAAGAAAUAGAAAAAGAAGAAAAUAAAAGUGGAUAUAGUCUUGUUGCCACUUUUAAUAAUGAAAAAUAUAAUAAACUUUUGAAAAUAAAUAUGGAAAAACCAGAAUAUGGAAUAAUACAUAAACUUAGAGAUAUGUUUAAAAGAAAAAGAAUAGUAUUACAUGAAUAUUAUGAACAAGAAAAAGUUGUUACAAUUACACAAGCUGAAGGAAAUAUCAGAUUCAGUUUAAUAAAUAAAAGAUCUAUAGAUUUAGCAUUAAGAAAGAUAAAAAAUGAAUCAACAAAAGAAAAAAUUCAAUAUGUAUAUCUAGCAGAAAUUCAAAUCUUAAUAAAAUCUCUUUUCAAAGAAGGCAUAGAUAGUCCCAUAGUAUUGUCACUACAUGAUCAAAGAUUUAAUGACCCUAGUACAGGACAUUUAGGAACAAUAGAAGGAAACUUAUGUUAUACUAAGUUAUUAUUCACAUGUCAUCCUAGAUAUUGUGUACAUAUAAAAGAUAAAAAUAUAGAUGAAACGCUAAGCUUACAUUUUAAACUACUAAAAAGAAACUUAAUGAAAGAAGGGAAUAGAAUAAUGACAAUACAUUAUUCUGCACUAUAUAGUUUUUGCAAUUCAAAUUACGGAGAAGUAUAUGGGAAUAAGCCUUACAUCGAAAUAAAUAAAGAAUGUGAAGAUAUAGCAACAUUCAUAGAACCAACAAUCCAGGAAUAUAAAAUUCCUAUAAACUAUGAGCUAAACAUAGAUGACAAAAAACAAUUUUUAGAUAUUGCUAACGAAAACUCCAUAAUCCCCAUAAGCUUUGCAGGAAGAACCUUAGUAAGAGGAGGUUCAUCUAGAAGGUUAAGUACUGAUAAACAAAUAACUAGAUCUAUAGUAACUAAUAACGUAAUAAAAAUAUUUGGACAAUAUUUUAAUGGAAUAGAUUAUACAACAAAAAUACCUAUAUUGGUAGAUACAGGUACAAGUCAUAAUUAUAUGAAUCACACAAAAAAUAAAGGACUCUUAAUAAAAGAAAAAGAAAUCCCGUAUCAAUAUACUGAUUUUAAUGGUAAUAAACAUAUUUGUAAACAAGAAGUUAAAGUCCCUAUAAUUAUAGAAGGAUUUAGAAUAAUAGUAUCUUGCUAUAUAGAUUCGUUCAUGACCACAGACCCAGAAAAACAUAUAGUACUAGGAAAUAGUUUUUUAAAUGAUUUAGAAUACUACAAAAUUGAAAAACAUAAAGUAACUCUACAAAUAGAAGGUAAAAAGAUAGUAUGUGAAACAUGUUAAAACAAGCUUAUAUAAAAUACCCUAUGUCCGUAUAUAUACAAAUAAACAUAACAGAAAAAGAUAUAGAUACAUGUGCCUUAAUAGACGGCAGUGAAAUAACGAUUAUGAAAUCCUUUCUAUCAAACCAAUGGAAACCAAACGAGAAAUUAAAAAUCAUUGGAAUAACAGGCGAUAAACAACAAGUAAACCAAUCUUUAAUAAACUUUGAAAUACUCUUAGGUAGUAAGAUAGUAUGUAUCAACCAAAUAUAUCAAUAUGAUGGUAUGGAUUGCGAUAUACUCCUAGGAAAUGACUUUAUACAAUAAUUCCAAUAUUAUCAACAAACUACCUAUAUGGUCACUUUAAAAACCCAUUGUAAUCAUAUUCUUCGCAUUCCUCGUGAAUUUAAACCUUAUCGAGUUCGGCCAGCCCAGCGUGGUGAUACAUUUAUUUAUGAAAAACAUUAUCUAAUACAAAAAUGACAGAGUUACAAUAUACAACUAGAAACAAUAAAAUCACAGCUUGAACAAGUCUAUAAAGAAAAUCCAUUAGCAUUAUGGAAACCAGAACAUCCUAGAGCAAAGAUAGAAUUAAUCGAAAAUAGAAUAAUAAGACUCAAACCUAUGAUGCACACAGAGGAAGAUAGAGAAGAAUUUAAAAUUCAAAUAAAAGAAUUAUUAAAUUUAAAGUUAAUUAGAACUAGCAACAGCCCACAUAAUAGCCCAGCCUUUAUGGUUAGGAAAAGAUCAGAACAGGUAAGAGGAAAAGCAAGAAUGGUAAUAAAUUAUAAAGAGUUAAAUAAAUACACAAAAUUUGACGGAUAUUUCCUCUCAAAUAAAGAAGUAUUAAUAAAUCUUGUAAAAAAUAAAACAUACUACUCAAAAUUUGAUUGUAAAUCAGGAUUUUGGCAAAUAAUAACAGGCGAUAAACAACAAGUAAACCAAUCUUUAAUAAACUUUGAAAUACUCUUAGGUAGUAAGAUAGUACGUAUCAACCAAAUAUAUCAAUAUGAUGGUAUGGAUUGCGAUAUACUCCUAGGAAAUGACUUUAUAUAAUAAUUCCAAUAUUAUCAACAAACUACCUAUAUGGUCACUUUAAAAACCCCUUGUAAUCAUAUUCUUCGCAUUCCUCGUGAAUUUAAACCUUAUCGAGUUCGGCCAGCCCAGCGUGGUGAUACAUUUAUUUAUGAAAAACAUUAUCUAAUACAAAAAGGACAGAGUUACAAUAUACAACUAGAAACAAUAAAAUCAUAGCUUGAACAAGUUUAUAAAGAAAAUCCAUUAGCAUUAUGGAAACCAGAACAUCCUAGAGCAAAGAUAGAAUUAAUCGAAAAUAGAAUAAUAAGACUCAAACCUAUGAUGCACACAGAGGAAGAUAGAGAAGAAUUUAAAAUUCAAAUAAAAGAAUUAUUAAAUUUAAAGUUAAUUAGAACUAGCAACAGCCCACAUAAUAGCCCAGCCUUUAUGGUUAGGAAAAGAUCAGAACAGGUAAGAGGAAAAGCAAGAAUGGUAAUAAAUUAUAAAGAGUUAAAUAAAUACACAAAAUUUGACGGGUAUUUCCUCCCAAAUAAAGAAGUAUUAAUAAAUCUUGUAAAAAAUAAAACAUACUACUCAAAAUUUGAUUGUAAAUCAGGAUUUUGGCAAAUAAAAAUGGAAGAAAACAGUAUCCCUUAUACAGCAUUUAGCACUCCACAAGGACAUUACGAAUGGAUAGUAAUGCCUUUUGGACUAAAAAAUGCCCCUCAAAUAUUUCAAAGUCGAAUGGAUAAAAUAUUUAGAGAUUAUAGCUAUAUCAUAGUCUAUGUUGAUGACAUAUUAAUAGCAUCAGAAACAUUAGAAGACCAUAGAACCCAUUUAAAAGAAUUCGUUAACGUAUGUAUUAGAGAAGGUAUAGUAUUAUCAGAAAGAAAAGCAGUCAUAGAACAUAAAAAAUAAAAUUUUUAGGAAUGAUUCUUGAUAAAAAAGGAAUAAGACUCCAAAGCCAUAUAGGAAAAAAGAUUACAGAAUUCCCAAAUAAAUUGGAAAAUAAACAACAAAUACAAAAAUUCUUAGGUUGUUUAAACUAUGCAGAAGGAUUCAUAAAAGACUUAGCAAAAAAGAGAAAUAUACUCCAGAAACUACUUAGAAAAAAUAAUACUAAAGGAUGGAACGAAGAACAUACGGAAACUGUAAUAAAUCUAAAAGAAGAAUGUAAAAACCUCCCAGCAUUAAGGUUACCAGAAGAAAAUGAUAAGUUAGUAAUACAAACUGAUGCAUCUGAUUUAUAUUGGGGAGCAAUACUUAAAACUGAUAUAAAUGAAAUUUGCUGAUAUACUAGUGGAACAUUUAAUCAAGCACAAGUUAAUUACCCAGUUCAUGAAAAAGAACUCCUUGCAAUAUAUAAAUGAAUAAAAAAGUUCUCGUUAUUUUUACUCCAGAAAUAAUUUAUUGUAGAAACAGAUAAUUCUCAGGUAAGUUCACUUAUUAGUAGAAUUUUGCCAAAUGAACCCCAAUACAGGCGACUGCAUAGAUGGCAAGCUUAUUUAUCUUAUUAUAAUUUCAAAAUCAUACAUAUAAAAGGAACUAACAAUUUUCUUGCAGAUUUCCUAAGCAGGAACAUAGAAUUCAGAGAAUGAAUGCAGAAGUAAAUAAAAUCAUUUCUGUAAUAAACACAGAAAUACAAAGGCUCAAAGCUGAAGCAUCAGACAUGCUUGAUGCCAUAAAUUACAUAAAAGAAGCCACAGAGGCUCAUGAGAAGGGAAUACAUUUGUUAGAGUCAUACAUAAACGACCUAACAAAAGGGCUUUCAAUAAACACUAGCCCAAUAGAGAUAGGAAGUAGUAGUGGACCACUCCCACAACAAGAACCAGUCUCUGACCCAUCAUCCAGCCGAACCAUAUCCAUAAGUGUUGAAUCACCUAAAGCAACUUCUUCAAAAAAGUUUAUCAAAAUAAACAACACUCCCUCAGAAGAAGAAGAAAAACCUUCUCCACUAAAUCCAAGAGAAGAAGAGUAUAAACAGUUCUCCACAUGGGUAUACUCUACAUGUACCCACAACAACACCAUUUUCAAAGCCCCUGGCAAAAAUAUAUAUCCCAGAAUGAUAGCCAUAAAAGGAGCAGAUCCUCUCCUUAUUGGAAAAAUAGCAAAAUACGGAUAUCUAGAUUUAAUAUAUCCAGAUACAGACCUAAGAGAAAUAGCCAGUUUAGAUGAGCUAUUAGUCAAAGAAGUCUCAAAAUUUGCCCAAAAAAGGCCCAUAUACUUAAAAUUUUACACUAUUAGCCCAGAAUACCACCAAAAUGUCGAAUACCAAGCAUUUUACAUGAUCUCUGUAGGCCACCUCACAAAAAAUUUUCAGAUAGAAGUAGGAACUGAAUAUACAAAUGUUCCUCAAAUAACCAAAGCAUGGAUCAGAACCCGUAGAGCCCGAGGAAUAAAAGCAAUAUGGAGUAUUGCAAAAGACCUUUAUAAAAGAAACUUUAGAACAAUCAUCCGAUUCCAAAAUUAUAUCCUCGUAACUUCUGAAGAUAGCCAUACACCAUCAAAUAUCUUCUUGGAACUCAUGAACGAAAUCAGCACCAUGAGAUUCCCCAGCAGUAGUGAGACCAUGCAGCAAGCUUAUCAGCUUAUGGAGAUGAAGAUGCCCGACAAAUAAAGUUGUUCGUGGCAGACAAAGAAGAUAUGUGGCAGACAAGAAGAUAAAAAGAAGAUAAAAAAGUUGUACGUGGCAGACAAGAAGAUGCUCGUGAUAAAAAACAGAGAAAAAGAAGAUGCUCGUAAAAAGCAAGAAGACAAGAAGACAAGAAUUCAAGAACCUCUUGUAAUGAUAGAGUGAUGAUGUAAGCAGUGUGAUCAGAAAGCAAUAAUGUAAAUCAAUAAUGGGAUCAUCUUUUCUAAUAUAAAUAGAAAGAGAAGGAGAAAGCAGAAAAAGCUUUCGAAGACAUUCGAUAACUCUCGAUCCAAAAAAUUCUCUGAAAAAGAAUGAAGCUCUAAACACUCUCUUGCUCGAAAUCCAAAAUCAGUACAUCAUAAACCAAAAACAAAAACCAUUAGAGAAAGAGACGAGAAACCUAACUUCACUCAAUACCUCUUUAACAAGAAGAUCGAAAUCUAUACAGUAAAGCCAUCUGAGUCCACAGAUCCCGCUGAGGCAGGAGGCCGUUAAGGGAACAGGACAACCAGGCUGCAGGUCACUGGAAGGAGAUCAGAAAUCAAAGAAGUAACAGUGAGCUAGGUAAUAAUACUCAACUCUUAUCUCUUGGUGGUGGUUGUUGAUGGUGGUUGAUGGAAUGAUUUUUGGAGAAAGAGCAGAUUCUUAAACUGAAGCAGAUCUGUAAUUAAUUUUAUGACAUGAAUCACAGAAUUUACUUAGGAGAAUCUAAAGAAUACAUGAUAAACCCAACUACUAAAAUAACUUAUAAUGAGUACAUGAUGAUAAUAGACUUCGAUUUAGGUUCAUUUAAACAAAGUUCUUAUCUAUUCAGUAAACAAGAACUUGUUAGAACAGAAGACCUAUUAGCCAUAGACCUUCUUAAGUUACCCCAAGAAAUAAAAAGAAAAAUUAUAAAUAACAUUGAAACAGAUAACCUAAAACAUAAUAUAAUUAUGUUGACAAUAGAAGAAGGAAUAGAUGUAGCAAAAGCCUAUUUAGAGCAAAAAACUUAUGAAUCUGGACCUUCAUAUAUCUAUGAUUCAGAUAACGAAGAAUUUGAAAUAUAACUGUGAAAGGUAUAUAGGCUGGGAACCUCUUCGGGUUGCGGACUACUAGUCCAAAGGGCGACCUGGAUCGCUGUACCUAGAGGUAAAACAACGCCACGUACUUUUCUAAUAAAAAUUUAGGACAGAUAAAGAUAGAUAAACAUCAAUUUGAUAAUUAUAAUCAAUAAUAAUCCUGAAUGGUUGAUUUUGUUUUACUGCUCUUGUAAUUUUAUUUUGAAUAUAUUUGUCUAGUCUUGUCAUAUUUUUAUAAUUCUGUUUGUACUUUUGUAUUUGUAAUUUUGUAAUUUUAUUUGUAUUUUUGUAAUUUGUAUUUUUGUUUGAAUUUGUAAUUUCGUAUUUUUGUUUUAAAUACACACCUGAAAAUGGUAUCAGAGCCAGCAGAAUCAUAAGACAUGGACCCUAUACAAGCAAUAGUAGAUAGCUUAUAUACAUUAAAGGUAUAUAAUAAAGAAGAAAUAAAAAAUUUAAUAAAGGCCAUCAAAACUGACAAAAAUAAUAUAAGAAAUAUAGAACUUGAGUUAACUCAGGAGCUUAGAGAAAGAUUUAUAGAAACAACAGGAGGAGAAAUUUUAAUAGAAAAGAAAAUGAAAUUUAUAGAUAAAUUUAUAAAGUUUUUAAUAUAUUGGUGUAAAACAGAAACAUUAUGAAUCAACAGGCUGUUAAUGUAAUACAGGGAUUGGCAAGCUGCAUAGAUCACCUACUCUUAGGAUGGGAAAAUACAGUAAAUGCAUAUAUAAAUCUAAUAAACCAAAAAAUAGAUUUAUUAGAACAAGAAAGGAUAGGACUGGUAAAUUUAGGACCAGAGGUCUAUUAUGAAUUUGUAGAUUUAUAUGAAUUUGAUAACCAUAUAUUGCUGUUUAAAGAAAUAAAAUAAAGUUCUCGAAAGAUUAAAAAAUAGAUGUGCAGGGAUGGAAGAAGACAAAUACAUCCAGGAUUAUAAAAAUUGGAAAUAGAAAGAAUUAUAAGAAUCCUUAUGAAAUUAACCAGGAGAAUAAGACAAAAUUAUAAGAUACAAUCAACGUAAGUUAGAGGCCCCCACUUUUAAUAAUCCAAUCAUAUACAGUGACUUUAAUAUAAAUGCAUAAUAUUUUACCAAAAAAAAGGGAAAAAAUCGAAUUAGAGGUAAAAGUUAUUCUACGAUUUUAUUUUUUGUAUAUAUCUUGCAUGCUAUUCCCAAAAGCAAUCAUAAACGGCCCUUAAAACAAUUUUACAAAAGCGGCUGUUACUUAUAUCACCAACUUUGUUAGGGAUGACAAUGGGGAGGGGAGAGGAGGAGACCAAUCUUGUAGUAUCUAUCCCUGAUAUUUUGCGUAUAUUCUCGUUCUCUCUCCAUCCCCGACAAAAUUACUUUAGGGAAUCACCUCCUCUCCCUGAAUAAUAAUAUGGGAUCUCCGUGGGUCAUUGAUCCCUGAAUAACUGAUAUGUUUUUAGUUUUUUAUUUUAAUUUAAUCAUAUUAAAAUAAAAAUUUAAAUAAAAAUAAAGUUUGAUGAUAUAUCUCACAUUAGCAUUAAUCCAUUACAAAAGUCACAUUACAAAGUAUAAAUCACCACAAUAAUUAUCUUCGUCAAUUUUCAAAAUCCUACAAUAAAAAAAAAAGAAAUUACUUUUAUAUCAACAAUGAAAUAAAUAAAAUAAAUAUAAAUAAAUACUUAAUCAAUAUUUCUAAUAAAAGUAUUUACCUCUUGCGUCUCUUGCUCCUCUUGUUCUUCCUCGAUGAAUGUGGCAAAUUGAAAGAUAGCCUCAGAUUUCAAAUUUAAAACAAUAAAAAUAAUAGAAGUAAUGUAACUUAUAAGCGAAAAUAUUAAUUAUUAUAUAAUAUAAUUACAAUGUAAAAUAAACUCAUACUGCCAUUUUAAGCUUGUAGCUUAUUUUGACAACACAUUAAAUCCUCCAAUGUGCUUGAAUGAAGCGUGUUACGAUACUCUACUAAUGGUGUUAAAAGUUGAUUCAGAAGCAACAGUUGUAAUUGGAAUUGUCAAAAUAUCUCUAGCAAUUCGUGCCAAUAUAUGAUACCUAUGGACAUUUGUUUUUAACCAACUCAAAAUAUUAAAAUCUUUCAUCUGUAGCAUAACUUUCUCAUCCAAAUAUUAAUGCAGUCAAUUAGGCCUAAAAGUUUAAUAAUAUAAUUAUUUUGAUAUUUUUUAUUUAUACUAAUAUUUAAUAUUUUAUAAUUUACAUUUUAUUAUUUAUUUACAAAUAAUUUAUAAAAUUAAAAUUAAAAUUAAAAUCAAUAAAUUAGGAGGGGAUGAGGAUUCUACUGUAUCCUCAUCCCUUUCUCGAAUAAGAAAUUGGGUAAAAAAUUAUUCUCGUCCCUUCCUUGAAUAAGAAAUUGGAUAAAAAAUUAUCUCUUUACCCUCUCCGAAUGGAGAAAAAUUCCGAGAAUCCCUAUCCCUGCGGGGAUUUCUGCCACCCCUAAACUUUGCAACAGCCAGUUGCUUUUGUGACCAUUUAUGUGACGGAUAGACUGCUCUCACUUAUGUUACUAAUAAGCUUGGCAAAAUCAGGGUCCGGUCCGGGCUUCUAAGCCCGCAUGUGAUAACUUUAAUUUUUUUCUUCAAUUUUUUCUUUCAUUUCUCUAACAAUGCAAAUUUUAAAAAAGAAAAUAGUCAAAUAAAUUCAUUCAAUCUCAAGCUUUAGAAAAGAAAAUAGUCAAAUAUAAAUAUAUAACAUACUAACAAUGCAAAUUUUACACAAAUAAUAAAUAAAAAUUGUUUCAAUCUACUUUAUAAUACCUAAAUUCAUCUAAUUUCUAACCUAAACUCAUUCAAUCUAUAUAAAAAUAAAAUAAAUUCAACAACACAAUAGUCACACAAUAAAUCUAAAUAACAUCCAACAUAUCAUAAAAUUCAUAAUUAUAUAUUUAUAUAUAAUAUAUUUAUAUAUUUUUUUUAAUUUAUUAAGAAAUCGGGUCUGAGUCUAGCUUCCUGGUUUUUGGUGUUGAGAAUUUCAAAUCCGGGUCUGGUUUUUUGUGUAUGCGGUCCGGGUUUUACCCGACUGGAUUGCCUGGGUUCGGUUCGGACGAGCUUUUUUGACGCCCUUACUAACGGGCUUUUUUGACGCCCUUACUAACCACGUGACGGUAGAGAGCCAAUUGGCAUGCUAUUAGUUUAGAGUUAUAAAUUGGAAAAUGAGACUCUUAGAGCAUCACCAAAAGGCUCUUCAAAUAAGAUUUUAUUACUUAUUUGAAGGGCCACAUUAAUAUUUAAAGCUCCAAAAGACACUUCAAUUAAAAUUCUUCAAAUAAGAAUUGAUUCUCUCUCUUCAAAUUUGGAGAGUUAAUUUCUCCCUCUUCAAUUUGUAUUUUAUUACUUUUUAUUGAAGAAAAAGAGAGAAAUACUUUAAUUGUUAUUGACUUUUCCUUUAAAAAAAUAAUUAUUUGAUUAAAAUAAUAUUAAUUUAUUUUCAUUUGAAGAGUUUUUUGGAGAAUAUUAUAUUUUUUUACCCUUCUAUUUACCACAUAAGUAAGUAAAUAGAUAUUUAAAGAGUAAAAUUUAGAGAGACUUUCGGAGAUGCUCUUACAACAUUAAGCACAACACAUAGCACCGAACGGUGCGUUUAAAGGCAACUAUAAAAGGUCACAGUAAUCGACAAUUGCAACACACACGUUCUCAACUACAGCACACGCUCUCUCCCUCACAUUCUUCCUCACGCUCUCUCUGUUCUCCCUCACAACACACGGCUCUCUCUCUCCCCCCUCCAAAUCCAACAGCCGUGGGUUACUCUCGCUCUUCGCCCUCCAAAUCCAAGACCUAUGGAUGCAUAAUAGAGUAAAUAGCAAUUCCCAUCCACUCUAGUAACAGAAAAUGACAGCUUCUGUGAUUGUGGUGAAAAGUUUCCCCUAGUAAUGCUAAGUACAGCGAGGAAACCAGCAAGGAAACCAUCAAUUCUGUACACAUAUAGAUGCCAAAAACAAGCAGUGAAUUGCAUCAGAUAUUAGUGAAGAAUAAUUACCAGCCGUAAACUCAGCUCCUUCGGUUGCUAGUGUACAAUAGAGCAAUAGGUUGUGUUUGGGGAUGUUAGAUGUCGAAAUAAUUGAGGCAAAAUUCUUUUAUGCAAUAGUUGGCUUGUGUCGACUUUUGAAAGGAAACUUAUUUUUGUGCUGUCAAUGUUACUUAUUUGUUAGUUUAUUUCUUAGGUUUUGUUGUUCGGGAUAUUAUGUAUUGGAUUUCAUUUCCUUUUGCCUCUGGUAUGGCCCCUAAUAGAACUUGACGUAAUUCUUUUUGGGAUAUGUUUUUCUGAACUAGAGAUGACAUCACUAGCAUCUGGUCUUUCUCUUUGAGACAGCCGAGAGAGUGAGGUGCCGUGAGAGAUGCAAUCGAUGGGGGGUGGAGAGAGGUAGCCGACAGUGAGAAUGGUAAGGAAGAACGGAGCGUAGUGAGAUUAGUGGAUUGGUGAGGAAGAGCGUGAGGGAGAGAAUGAGAGAGCAUGUGUUGUGGUUGAGAAUGUUGCAAUUGAGAAUUUACUGUGACCUUUUAUGCUUGCCUCAAAACUCACCGUUUUGUGCUAACUGUUGUACUCAAUGUUGUAAGAAUAUCGGAACUGUUAUAAAUUUGUUUCUAAAUAGAAAACUCUUUUGUGGAGUCAAUAUUUUGAAAACCAAAGUCUCGAGUUCUUUCUCGUGCGUGCCUGGCCAGCAUCCUAAACCUUACUGGUAGCCGGAGAAUGGCGUAAAACGGCGGCGAUCUUCUUCUUCAUCUUAUUCUCUCUGUCAUCGUUUCAGGUAACCUUGUGAUUAUGAGUUUCUUCUCUUUCUUAGCUUGCAAAAAUAGGUUUUGAUUUCUUUAAUUCGUAUUGUAGCCAUUAAUAUCAAAUUUUGUCCUGCCGGCAAUAUUUUUUUGUUCCUAGAGGUUGAAGCCCUUCUGUUCUUGUUCCAUUGGUGACUUUGCUCACUCAAAUUAAUUUUGUUCUGCAGAAUUUACAAAGUUCAAAUGGAUUCGUUUGGAUUACUAUUGAAUUUAGCUUUCAUUUCAACAUUCAUUCUAAUGUUUUACAAUUAUGUAUUUAGAUUUACUUUAAUUUUAUGUUUAAAGCUUCUGCAAUGAAUAGCUGAGCUUGGGUCUUAGUUUCAUUUUCUAAUUAACUUGUUUUAGUUUAUCUUAUAUGCUCACCAAGUGCUUGUUAUAUUGUCUGAUAGGUUAUAUAACAUAGCUGAUUAUAUAAUAAUAAUGUCAUGUUCCAUUUUCAGAAAUUAUAAUAUAAAAGUUUUUACAAUGGGGUGCAUCUACAAACUGAAUUGACUUGUAGAGUAAGAGCUUGGAGUAGUGUGCAUUCUUGAAUAAAUGAAAGUUCAUAUUGUGUAAGAGCAUGUAGAUGUAAAGCAUCAUUACCAUUUCUACCAAGUGCUUUCAUUCUGUUCAGAUGCUCCUCUUGAACUUUGGAAGGUGCCUCAUUCAAGUCCUAGCUAUAACUAAUUGCUCUGAUUAAUUAAGUUCAUAUGCUAGCUGAAACAGAUUUAAUUAAUUAAUUAAUUAAUUGUGUAUGUACUAAUUAUAUUGAAAGUAUAUGAAGAAAUUGUUUAACAUGAAUGACUUCUAAAUGACUUAAAAGCCUAGAGGAUAUGUGAAAUAAUGCUCAUUUCACUUGAACGAGCCUAUUAAUACUUGUAUGUCUAUGAUUGUCAAUAUUGCUUAAGUGUUUCAGUUAAGUGGUUUACCUAGCAGGGAAAAAAAUUUAAUGGAAAACCUUAGAGUUUUAAUAGAAAUAUAGUUGACUAUGCAGAUAUAGUUAUUUUACGGUAUAUAAAUCAUGUUGUCCUAUUCUCAAUGUCCUACAACCUAUUUUAUUUUAUAUAGUCAUUCAUUUUACGAUGGUUUUUUGUGUUUAUGAGUAUGGAAAUAGUGGGAUUUGGUGUACCUUAGCAUCUUUCGAAAAUUCUCUUUAAAUGCGGCAAACAGAAAUAUACAUAUAAUCAAGUUUCUUAAUCAUGUAUAUUAGGUUUGGGUGUGAAUGUUUUCCUAUUCUAGUUCUAGGCAAAGUUUCUUCAUUUUGGUCUUCAGAUUUCCAGUAGGUUAAGCUAAUCAACUAUCAUAACUGGCUAGCUAGUUAUUGCCUGCCUUGUCGCCAUUACCGACGCCAUUACAUUGCAUGGCAUAGGGAAUAGUAACUAUGUGAUUAUUGGUGAUUUGUUGAGCUUAUUAUUGACCAAACAAACAUAUUCGCCUUUACCCACAACUUGGUUUGAUUAGUUACUGGACAAUAAAGAGCCUUAAUCUAUGCAUUGGCUUUCUUAUUUUUAUUUGGUUUUUCUUUCAACAAUAUUGUUGAUUUCUUAUAUCAUUGGCUAUUUAAUGAAGCUAAUUAAAACUAAGGCUUCGGAUCACUUUCUUCUAACAACAAACAAAUGAGGAUAACCUAUCUCCUCUAAGCAAAUUUUUCUAAUAUCCUUGAUUUGUUAGGACCUGGAGGCCUGAAAUCCUCUAGAUUUUUUUAGCACUGCCAAUGUUCCUUUUAUUCUGAAAAGGAAAAAAAGGUUAUAUCGUUUAUACCCUAACAGUAAAAUGGCCUUUGACUUAACAUGCCUUCCUGAGGAUUUGCAAGAUUCACAAGCAGCCUAGCCACCCCCCAACGCAAAAAAAAUAAAAAAAAUAAAAAACUAAUAAAAAUAAAAAAUAAAACAACCCAAAUAGGAAGACUUUGCAACAUUCACAACGUGGUUACAUUUAAGUUAUUAAUUGUGUGUGUGUGUACUAGUUAUAUGUUGAUAGUAUAGGAAGAAGUAUUUUAACAUGGAUGACUUAAAACUUAUUGCUCAGUAAACAUAGUCUGCAUCAGUGCUAGAAAAUGUAUUUAUUGUUUGUAUUUUUUAUGGUUUUGAUUAAGAAAUGAAAUGUGAAAAAAUGCUACAUUGUAUUAGGAAUAAAUUGAAGAGAUUUAUGAUAUUUAUGUGUUAUUCAAGUUUCAGAUUCAAUUUUAAACUUUUGAUACAUGCAUUGAAAGCUUAAACUCCUUUAAGAAGUUAUUGAUAGACACAUGUUUUAUUAGUGUCAUCUUUGGAUGAUAGUGAGGAUCUUAUGUCUAUUAAUAAUUCUUGAAUUAUCCAGGCUCGGACAUUUUGGUAAUGCAUAGUUUUCUAUGGUAGCUAGUACCUGAAAUUUUUUUCCCACUAAAAAUGGGCUUUUCAGUAGCUGCUCCUCAUAUUCUGGGUGCAUACUAGACGAAUGGGUGUCGUUUUGUUUUGGGAUAACACAUAAACACUCAUAUAUCUAUGUCAUGUACUUGAAGAACUAUAGGGAGAUGCUUCCGAAAUUUCUAUAAACGUAGAGGAAAACUUUAGAUACUUAAGAUUGAAGAAACUUAUGCAUUCUUGAGUGGGAUAUAGAGGACCACUUACCUUUUGUAAUAUGAAGGGAAUGUUGGAUAUAUUGAUGGGAGUGGAGGAGCUGAGUGGGAUGAAUGUAAUCGGUUAUGAUUUUGCUGAGUUGACUUGGUUUUGAGUCUUGUAAUUUUGUUUAUAAAUGGAGUACUAUCUCCAAUGUUGGUUUAUAAAUAUUGUUUCAGCUGGCUGACCUAAUUUUUUAUUUCUAGGUAACAGGCUUUAUAUAUUCGUAAUUGAUAGCCAAGUGAAGUUCUCAGCAGUGGGUGAGGAUAUUUCUUUACAGAAGGUAUUGGAAACUGUUUUUCACAUUAAUUAGUAUUGUAUACAUACUUUAAUUUCACAUCUUUUUCUCUGAUUCUUGUGGCUUUGCUUGCUUUCAUAUAUAUAAACAUUCUAAUGAGAUUAACAUAAAAUUGUAUAAUGAUUUUUUUUAAUUAUAAAUUGCGCGCACACGAAAAUAUCUUGUUUAGUAGUAGAAAUGAAGAACUAAAAUGAUUUAUUUAACUAAUUUUUCUAGUGCAUUAAAAGGAGAUAGUCAUGGACAAGAGUUGGGUUGGUUUGCCAAAUAGAUAUCCAAGUCAUAUACUGAUGGGGUUGAAAAAUUUAUAGAUUUUGCAUUUGAGAAUGUUGUUGGUGAUAAAAGAAUUUAUUGUCCUUGUAAGAAGUGUCGUAAUAUCGAUAUUUCAUUAUAAGGGAAGUGGCAAGAGACCAUAUCAUUACAAAUGGCUUUUGGUUAAAGUAUUGAAACUGGAUAUUGCAGGGUGAGCCAUCUUCAUCUUUGAAAUCUAACUAAGAAACAGGUUAGUCAUGACUCGGGUGCUGAUGAUAGUAUGGUUGGAGUGAUACACGAUGCAUCACAUAAUCAAGUGUUCAAGUUACACACAGCAUUGUUAUGUUAUGGACUAUCAGUGACUUUCUAACAUAUGCCAACUUGUUUGGGUAGAGUAUUAAAGGUAAAUAAGCAUUUCUUGUUUGCCAACAAAACACUAGAUCUAAUUGGUUGAUACAUAAUAGAAAAUUUUGUUACUGGGUUACGGUCGAUUCUUACCAACGAAUCAUAGGUUUCGAAAAUAUAGUGUCUUUUGAUAAAACUAGGGGGUAGGGAUAAGCGCCUUCUCGGUUGUCUUGAACUGACGUGAAAAAGCAGGUGAAUAAUAUAUUUACUAAGUAUAAGAUUGAAGACUUGAAAAGAGGAGAAUGAAUAAAAUGAAAGAAAUGAUAAGAUUACUUGGAAGAAGAAAAGCAUUUUUUAUGAACUAACGUAUUGGGAGUUCAACUUGAUUCAUCAUAAUCUUGAUGUCAUGCAUAUGAUCUACUUUCUUUCAUUUUCUCACCUCCCAAACAUCCAUUAUACAAUAAAGUUUUUUUAGAUUUUAUUGUUUCAUAGAAUUAUAUUUUGCAUAUGAUGAAAUAACUUAACAUUUUAGUAUUCAUUUGCAUAUAAUAAUUAUAAGUAAGAAAAAAUAUUUGUUUACAAUCACUACUAGUUUUAUUGUCGUGAUUACAAAUAAAUUGCUCAAAUUUUCUGCUUCAGCUAUCAAACCUUUUAGCUGCUUCCAGACAUGAAGAAAUUAAACCCAUAAUUUCUAGGUACAAUUGCAUUCGUAUAUGCCAUGAUACAUAUGAUAUGAUUAGAACCAAAAGGAGAAAUAAAUUUUUGGGACUUAUUGUGAUGGUGAUUAAUCUUUUUCUACCUUAACUUUGAUAAGGUUAUAAUUAAAUUUUAUAUGAUUAAAGUGGUCAAUGGUUAAAUAAAUAAAUAAAUAAAACAGAUGAGGAUGGACUAAUGAAAUGACCCACCCCGAACUCCACAAGGUGAGUCUAUGUAAUAUCGUCUUACUUGACUGAUAAUAAUCUAAUUAGUAAGGAUUUUGCCGAAAAUUUGAUAGAGUCUCCACUUUGAAUAUAACAUUUCCAACCUGCAAAUGUGUAAAACAAGCACUCUCAAAUAAAUCAGUAUACAACCAACUUCAUUGAUCAACCUCCUCAACUAUAUUACUGAAUAUUACCCAAAAUAUCUACAAAGUAUCAAAAGAUUAUAUUAUACCUACUGUUGACAUAUAUUAAACUAUUUUUAAUCACAAAAAAUAUUAAAAAAUUAUAUAAUCCAAAAAAUAAGAAAUCAAAAUGCCCUGACAAUAUAAUCUAUAUCUCCUAGUACCAUCACAUGGCCAAAUUUCAAAAUACUAUAGUUGCUAAGUCAACUGGUGUCUUGCAACCUCCUGAGGGGUGGGAGCGAAUUAUAACAAAACGGGUGAGUAUAAAACUCAGUGAGCUCGGUGAGUGGAUAAUAGUUUUUGAAAAUAACUUACCAUAAAUAAUUAUACCACUUUUAUAUAUGAUUUUAUCAAACUAUAUGUAAGAAACAUGAAUAAAUUAUUUAACCUUUGAAUCAAGUAAUUGACAUUGAAAAGAAUACAUUAAGAGGUGCAUAAUAAUCAUGGAAAUUGUAUCACAAUAUAAAAUACAUGAUUAUGAAAUUAUCACAAAACAAGUACCUAAGGGAAUAAUCUUGUCGUACCUAGAGCUCAUACGGGCAAUGCAAUGACAUAUUCUCUAGGUACUGUCAUCCUCGGAGCUAGCACCGGUAGAUCAAUGAAGUGUCAUCUUAUAUAUCUUAUCAUAUCUUUGCAUGCAUAAACUAGUCCCCAAAAGACAAAGGUGUCCAAGCACAUAAUCCAAGGCCUCUAUGAGCCCCAAAGGCCCCUAUUUCAUUUGUAUCUUAGUAACUGAAUCUUUGUUAUCAUCAUAUUUCAUGCAUAAGCGCCCAAAAGGCAAAAGUGCCUAAAUAGACGGCCCAAAGCCUCCCUGUGUGUUCAGACGGGCCCCAAAGUCCUCUCAUCUCAUCUGUAUAAUUGUAAUUGGAGGGGAAGGGCAUUGUUCAACGAGUUUGAGAACAAACUUAUAUAUAUACACACAUAAACAUUUUAAUCAUACUUUAAACUCUUAUUUCCUUUUCAUUACAUACUUUAAAUUUGAUUUUCUUUUCUUUAUAUUACUCUCAUGUAUAUACUCAAAAUCGAUAAUAAAACCAAUAAUCAUACUUUUUAAUAAUAAAUAUCAAUACUUAAAUAAAACCUAUUUCUAGAAAAUCAUUAGAUCGGAGCAUUAAACACUUAUUUCCCAAACCUGCUUUACUAUACUUUAAAAUCAUAAUAAAAUAUGAAAAAUAGGUUUUGCUUAUUUCACUCACCGUGACGAUACUCAAACUCGGCUAUCAUUAAUGUCUGCAGGAUGGGUCUCACUCACUAUUCCUCCUAAAUCAAGGAUACGACAUAAUUACUUUCCAUAAAUGUGAAAUACAACUAACUGUAUGUAAUAUACUCGAAACGAACAUCUAUCCACAAUAUGCUACUCCUAUGUCUGUAACGUUACCAAAAAUACCCCCAAAAUCAUAAAUUGUCAAACAACCCUCAAAAUCAUAAAUUACCAAACUAUCCUCUAUAAAAUAUUAUUAAAAUAUCCACAAAGUCAGAAAUUAAAAAAUUACCAUCAAAAUAUAAAUUUAUCAAAAUGCCUUUGUUGGUCAAUGGUGAUCGGGAGUCAAGUGAUGGUGGUUGGAAUGGUCAAGAUAAAUGCUUUGGACCACGCUGAAUUUAAUGGUGGCAAAUUGACCAUUUCUGGUGACAUGGGUGAUUAAAAAUUGUAGAGGGUGUCGUGAGGGAGAAAACUAAGCAGUAGUGUGCCACAAGUUCGACGAAAUCCCAUCGAAUCGAGGUGGUAGUACCAAAGCUCUUCACAUUCUUGAUUGGUGGUCUUUUAGCAGUUAUUUAGUGACCAUGAUGGUUGGGGAAUGACUAGCAUUGGUUAAGGAUUCGAUCGAUACCUUCUGUUGUCGAUAGAGUGGCCGAAAAUAGUAGUUAGCGGCGGGUGGGGUUUCAAGUCUAUCAGUUAGGUUGAUAGCUCUUCCUCUCUUUGUUUUUCUCUUCCCCUCGAUUCCGUGUCAUAACAAGUUUAAACUAGUCCAAACUCGAACCAUUUAACAAGCGUGUCAAAUUUAACAACCCACACAUUUAUUCAUGUUGAGUAAUUGAGUCGUGUCAAAUCUGCCAAUAACAAUUAUAAUAAUGACUUUUAAAACUUCAAGUCAAAGAGGAGGAUAAAAUAAUGCAUUUGAUUAAACAUAAAAUGCAUAUGUUACAACUAAUCACUAUUCAAAAUAUUAAGAGUGGAGUAGCAAAUGUCAAUUUAUUUGGUUGCAGUCAAAUUUAUCCUAUGAUAAAUAGUGAUUAUUAAAUAAU